rnacentral:lncRNA from 1 species
UUUUUUUUUUUUUGGGGGUUUGAGAAUGGCUGGCUUUAAUUUUAAGAGUAGCAUUGUGCAACCCAUAAAAAAGAAAGUCAAAGAAACAUAGCACAGGAAGAGGAGCCACAGCAAAUAAAAGGAUUGUGAUGUGACAACAAUUCAAGUAAUUUCCUUGGUGUUUAUAUUAUCGAUAUACAAAGAGUGUUCCAUUCUUAAGAAGCACAGCAGGUCAUAGUUAGCAUAACUUGUUCAUUUCAGCCUUUGAACUGCUAGCAUGGCUUGAGUUUCCUCAUUCCACAUGUGAAAAACCCCCACCUUCAGCCUUUGUCCUGCAAACAAGCACACAAUUGACAAACAACAAAACCACAUACAUCAGUUCUUUUCUCCACUGGUAAAUAGUCUCAAAUUCUUUCGACAAGACAUGAAACUCUACAUUUUUUUUACUGAUAAACCCACAAAAAGUAACCCACAUUUCUUUGAAAAAGACCAAAUUUUCCGUUCCUCAAGGAUAACGAAAGCUUACUUGUGAUCGGAAGGAUUUGGCCUGAGUUCAUAAACAAUUGUUGCAACAACAUCCCUCUUCAACUGUUCAUCAAAGAAAAGAAAAUGAUGUAUUAGUUAUUUGCACAAUUAACGCAACAGAAUAUGCUCAUAUGGAAUGAAAUUACCUGAGUAGCCUCGCCUUUAAAGCCAAUGUACUCUAUCUUAGUUGUAUCACCACCAAAACUAUCAGGAAAAUGCAAUGUGAUGCUGGCCACGUUUUGAAACUUGGAAUACCUAAUUAUACGGAGAAAUGUUACAUUAGAGGGAUAACAGAUGGUAAAAUAAAAAUCAAACAAAACAAAAAACAACAAAAGAACUCAUUUCAGUGGCAAUUCAAAGUAAUUUACCGUCACUGUUCAAUUUGAAAAAGAAUAAGGUUUCUUUCAUUGUGCUCAAGUUUUAUAGUUUUCAUGUUCUAGAAAAUUAAACAACAUGGUUUUUGAAGUAGUAGUACUCCAAAAGGCAGUGAAUAAAUACCUUGUCUGGUACUCCAACACUCCUUGAAAAUUUUCGACCAAAUCCCACUCCUUAAAACAAUAAGAACACAUGUUUCAAGGCUGAAACGUUGAAUUUUUUCAAUUAACUCUUGAACAAGCUAAUAUGAAAGCAAUACCUGAAUGGCUUGCAUUCCUUGAACAUCUGAAAAGUCAAUGCCAUCUCGGUUGAUGAACCUAAUUAAGCAAUGCAGUCAUGUUUUUAGUUUUUUCAAAUAUAAAAAAUGUGAUCGAUAUUGAACAUCUGUCAAAGACUGAUUUGAUAUUUAUUUUGUCAGAAUCAUAUAGAACAAGACUCGUGAUCAGUACUAUUAAAGUUUGAACUUACACCCUCAUCUUGCUAGGACUUGUUCCGUCAGCACCGCCAAUAAUUGAUAUGCUCUUGAUCUUGACAUCUGAUGUAAAUCUAUCACAAAUAAAUGAAAAAAAUAUAGCUCAAUCAGAAUGUAAAGAAACAACAUCAAAGAUGACUUCAUCUAAUAAGUUGGUGUCAGAAUGGUAUGCUUUAAGAAAACUUAUCAAGAUGCCGACCAAAUGUUUGAACAAUAAAUACAACUAUAUUAAGCAUCAGAUAUAGGAGAUGAGCACAAGACAAAAGGAUAAUUAUAAAUGACACACAAAUUAACAGUUGUGUUUUGCUUUAGGUGUACCUGGAGAUGCUACUAAGGUUGAAUCCCUUACUCAAAACUCAUACAAACCCAACUAUGGAGAUCUAACAAAAUCAGACACAUAUUAUCAUUGUAAUUGAAUGAAAAGAUGGAAAAAUGUGUAAAAGUACUCAACCAAUGGAUCUACCUGAUCCCAUGCAUUUCGUAAUUAUGCAGUCUAUAACUCAUUUCAUGAAGAUAUCACAUAAAACAACAAGACGGGACACUCACGGAAUGUAAACAAGUAACUCGGGAUCACCCUCAUUGCUCUCCAAGUGUUCCUGUUGCAGAAAGUAGAAUCAAAAUGAGGCUUCAUAUGCCUAGUAAUUGAACAUAAAUUACAACCAAAAUAUAAGGUAAACCUGAACUAAAUCUCAAUCAAUGAUUCCUACAAAUUUUCGUAAAUGUCAUUCUGAGCUUUCAAGUAGAUUAACUUAUGAAGUUUGGAUCAUUACUUUUAACAAGGACGUAUAGAGAAGUAAAUAGAUAGCUCAUUACCCCAGUAGAAUUCAGCCGUUGCUCCCAAGCUUUAAAAACCGACUUGACACUUCCUGGAACCGCCUCAUUCAAAGCCGAAACCUAAAAACAGAAUAAGACAUUCUCUCAAGGAGAACACGUCAUCAUGUCAAUCAGCAAGAGGAAGCUCCAACGAAAUAUUAAUUUACAAAAUAACAAAGUGUGAAAAUAUUGCAAAGUAUAAAUCACCCCACAUCAACAAUCAUCAAUUACCAGUCAUAUAGCCACCCACAACCAAACUGCCCAAACCACAACACACAAGCACCCGUCUCCCAAAAAAAAAAAAAAAAAAGUUUCUAAACAUUUCUGGAAACUAGCAAUAACAGCAUCUGCAUGGAGUAUCAUUAACAAAGCUUCAUAUCCAACUAUUUUCAUUUACAACCAAGAAGCCUACACAUAAGAACCAUUAUGCUUACGGAUAAAUGCUUAUGAGAUUCAGCAUUUGAGCUUGAGGGUUUAUGUUGAUCACUGUUCUUUCAACUAAUUUUCAUUUGGGCACUUCCAGAUAAAACCAAAACAAUCACAAAAUGGGAGCAGACUGAAACGUACCAGUAUACGCAGAGCAGCAGUGUGAUAGCUAACAACGAAAACAUAGGAAUAGAAAAAUUAAGACUGAGCAAAGAAAAAGGCAGAGAAAUAGGACCUUGGGGAGGUCUAUAUGCUUGUAGAGAGACCAAUCAGAAGAACAAUCAUGCUCUUCGCAGCUGUGGUCAUGUAAGCAAGCCAUCUCUCUCUUUCCCUGGAUCACCAAAUUUCUAAGAAGCAGCACAAAAAGGCGAAGAAGAAAUAGAAGCAACCAGAAAUAGGGAGCGAACCGUGGCUUUUUCUGUGCAUAGUGCCGAAAAGGCCCUUGUAUCGGUACAAUAAAACGCACCGUUUACCUGUACAUAUAUGUCCUUUUAGGCUUUUACUGUGAAAUGCAAACGAGACUGUUUUCGCAAAACUUUCUUCUUUGCUUUCAUUUGGGAAGUUCAGCUCUGAGCUCUGUGAGAGAUGGAGGAAAUAGUAGAAGGGGACGGGUCGGGUGCGGGCAGAUACACGCUGAGACCAACGAGGCUAAGCAACGAGGACAUUCUGUUCUGUAUAGAUGUUGACCCAGAGUCUAUGGUGGAGAUGAAAGCCGCGAUGGGCCCAAAUGGGCGACCUUUAACCCGCUUGGACUCGAUCAAGCAAGCCAUACUUGUCUUCAUCAACGCCAAGCUCACCAUCAACCCAGAGCACCGAUUCGCCUUUGCCUGUCUCGGAAAGUCCGCGUCUUGGGUAGGUUCUCUCUGUUCAUCUCUCUCUUUAUUGCUUGGUUUCUGUUCGGUUUCCGAGAAAAUUUGCGAUCAAGGGCAGAGGAUUUUAUGGUUAUUAUGUGUUUUUUAGGAAUUGAACUCCUGGAAACCAUGAUUAUGGCUUUGGGUCAUAGUUUUGAGGUUUUUUGUGAUAUAUACGGUUAUGGGUAGAUUAAAAUUUUCAUUUGCAGGAAAUGUAAGCAAUUGCGUGCCAUGAAUUUGGUUUCUGGAUGAAUCAAUGAAGGAAAAUUAGUUUAAAUCACUAUUUUCAAGUAGCCCAUUGUACAGAGUCUCACCAAGUCAAAAACGUUUUGAUAGCAUGAAAGAGUUUAGACAGAAGUGUGAAACCCACGAUACAAUAUGGGGUUGCUGUGCAUGUAUAUUUAUAAGAAGUACUACGUCGGUAAACAAGAUUUGGAUAUGAACACUACUACUGAGGAGGCUUAUCAGAGAAUACUAAUGAUGAACCCUUGAAAUAAAAUACAUGAUAAAUAUAAACAGAUAAACACGUGAGGAAACUAAGCAGGUAGCACUUCUAUCAGUUUUCCUUUGAUUAAGCUUUGGUCACUUUUAUUGAAUGCGGGUGAGAAAUCAAUUCCUUUACUAUCUGUUAAGGAGAUUUCGGAUCUUGAUCAUAGUUUCAAAGUGUACUUUCCAAGAAUCAUCCGCAUACCUUGAUCAUUUUUGGUCCUAGACUUAUUUUAUGGGGUGCAGUACCAAGAAUCGUUCACAUACCUUGCUGUAGGGUUGAGUUUUGAUGCAUGAUAUGCAUAAUUAUCAUGCAAAUACCCCAUUAGUAGUAAAUAUUUAUGCAGUGUAAGCAAACCUUCUGCAGGUCUUUGUUCAAAACACUCAAUUUAUCCUUUGUGUCUGUUUGUUUGAUUUAUGUUUCUGUAAUUGAUUUGGAACCUUUUGUUUUUCGUUUUUAUGAAGCUUCGGAAAGAGUUUAGCAGUGAAGUCGAUUCUGCUAUUGCUGCAUUUCGAGUACUCUCAGCUACUUCAUCUUCUAGUAAUGCAGAUCUUACCAGUCUAUUUCGAGUAGCAGCUCAUGAAGCAAAGAAAUCUCGUGCUCAAAACAGACUUUUAAGGGUGGUAAGCAAUGGUUGGCUUAACUUUUCAUGCAAUUACAUUGGUUAAUUAUUACAUCCGUGCCAUUGUGAUAUUCCAUCUUAUCCCUUCCAUGAUGUUGAAAUUUUUGUGUGUUGAUUGCUAAAGGCUGACAUGCUUGCCCUUAGAUUCUUAUUUACUGUAGAUCAUCUGUAAGACCAAAUCAUCAAUGGCCUGUGAACCAGAAACUCUUCACUCUGGAUGUAGUUUACCUUCACGACAAGCCUGGACCUGAAAACUGCCCUCAAGAGGUCUAUGAUUCACUUGUGGAUGCCCUGGAACUUGUUAGCGAAUAUGAGGGCUACAUCUUGGAGAGCGGUCAGGGAUUAACUCGAGUUCUCUUCCGUUACAUGUGCAUGCUGCUAUCACACCCUCAGCAGCGUUGCCCACAAGACCAUCUGGACAUACCUAAGCCUCUUGCGAAAAAGUUGCCGGCAGCAGAUUCAACGACUACUGAUGAUAGUAUUAUAACUGUGUCCGGCAUAUCAGAAGUUCAGAACAUUAGAAAUUAAUUUUACUGAGGUCAUUUUGCUUCUAAAAGUCUCAUAUGUAUGUAGUUUGUCUGAUGUUGAUGUAAACCUCUUGUUGAGUGAGAAUGAGUAGCCGAUUUGAUCUUGGUCCUAUCUGUCUGUACAAAUUGUGAAUGUUAUGAAUCCCAAUGUUUAUUUUAACCUAUCUGUCGAAGAAUUUUUUAUGACAUUCAAGAUCACGUAAAAUAUAGCAAAAGCAAGAAGUUCUUAGUACUAGUUUGUAUGUGUAUCCCCAUUAAUAUGAAGAGGGAGGUGGGAGCUGGCUUGCUACGCCGCGUCACACGGCACGCGGCAGCUAGGCAUAUUAGACGUCGAAGGAUUCUGGCAUUAAAUGUUAAGCAUUUAUAAACUUUGCCAAGGCUCAAAUUCUCCCAUAAGCAGCCUAAAAUGAGGAUGUUGUAAGUUGAAUUUUGCUACAUAGAACUACAUUCUCGGAAAACAGCUUAGUUGCCACUUUGCCAGUCACAUCACGAGACAUGUGUCGAAAUCUCCCCCGCUCGAAAAAAUAAAAAAUAAAUAAAACAAAAAAAAAAGGUAAGCCUUCCUCAAAGUCUAACGCUACUAGAUUGAAAGGUGAAAAAACUUGAUUGCAUAAGUAUACUACCCAUUGGUAUUGAUGAAAGACUUAUGAGGUUUGAAAUUAAAUCUUUCAAGUUCCCCGCAGAACCCUGCCUUGCCCUUUGGAGUGAGGCUAAGGUUUUCUUCUCUUAUUAAAAAAACCAAUCGACUAUUAUUUGCAUUCCCACAAAACCGUAUGACUCAUUGCUUCCAAUGGUGAGGUCAACAUAUUGGUAAUCAGAAAGAAAAAAAAAAUGCAGAGCUCGAAAAGUUGAAAUGAUAACCAAAAUCCCUCAUCCAUAUAAUUUUUUUUAAGUAGAAGUCAACUUGGAGGGAUGAUCUUAAUCACACAAAUUGUCUGUGACAUCUCUAGAAUUAGUUUUAGUAAUGAAAUAAAUCGUUUAACUCUUUCGCUCAAGAAAUCUGCCGGCAUGACGUGUCGCUUGUGCGUUCCUUGUCCACUUGUGCAUGCUUAUAUAUUGCUUGCACGAGUACAAAGAAAAACUCCAGUUUGAAAAACUUUUUAUACUAAAAAUAAACCCUAAGCAUUAUUAAAUUUGUAUUGUUUUUAAAGUUUGACCAACUGUUUUGAUCUUUUUUUCAUGAACUUGUCCAAGCCGUUCUGGCGCUCUUUAACUAUUAUUAGUCUUAAUAAUCUAUUUCUAAUUGUCAUGAGUCAUGACCAAUCUCCCUUCUCUGUAAAGUGCAUCAAGUUGGUCAUGUCAACUCAUUCUUUUCUUUUUACAAGUGAUGGUGGGGAUAACUAGGUUAACACUUAAAAUUGCUUCCAUCUUCACCUACUUGAAUGACAGAAGAACAUGGGCUCGUGCCUUGUGGGUCACUUAUCUUAUCUUAUUUAACUUUUUUUUAUUGCUUUUAGGUGAAUCGACUGCACAAUCUUAAAUGCAUGAAUGAAUGCUUUAAACUAUUUAAAUUACGAGCUCUUUAUUGUGUUCCUUAGACAGAAGUUAAAACCAUCAUGAUUUGCUGGUUUUGAGUUGGUUAAUUAGUGUUUACAUGGUGUGAAUGUAAAAGUAAAUGGUAAAUGGCUUACAUAGCAAGUUAGUUAUAUAUAAGUUAAAGAAGACACCUCUCAAGUGGUAUGCGAAUCUUGGGGUGGCAUAAAAUAAUUGAGAAUUUAUUUAAAUAUAGUCAAAUUAUUGAAGCUCCUUCAGCUCUCUGUGGAGCCACUUUAAUUUGCUCCAAUAGAUGAUCAUUUUGCUAACAUGUGCCCUUUAUAUUCAUGAUUAAAGAGAAGAGGACUUCAAAUGAACUUUGGACUAUAGGAGAUAGAUAGGAGGAGGAGGAGGAGGAGGAGAUAAAGGAAAAAUCCAUUUCCAGUUUUAAUGGGACUCUGCAUAUCUUCUUCAGCUCACAAAAUUCAGGAUGGCCAUGAAGCUCCAAUGUCCUUUGAAAGGACUGACGAUUCUAAUGGAAUUCAGAUGCACGGUUCCCUUUAUUCUUUGGAAGGAAGCAAAGGAGUAAACCAAGAUAGUGCCAUUCUUUACCAGGUUUGUGAAUAUUUCUUUCCCCUUUAUUAUAUGGAAGGAAGCAAAGGAAUUGUUCUGUGUGUUUCUCUAGCUGCUCAUUUCAAAACCAUAUUGUUUGUUUUUCGCUUUGUCUAUACAUAAAUAUAUAGAAUGGCAAGGCUUGUUUUCUUAGAAAAUCAUCAGCAAUUUCGUUUCAAAAGCAUUCAUGCAAAGCAUGUUGCAUAAUCGGGUUUCAUAUUAUUUUACUAGGCUUCUGAAAGUCUGUUGAUUAUAGCUUUAACCUCUUCUUAUUUUUCUUGUCUUUUCAAUAGGGCUAUGGAUUGGAAGCUGAAGCUUUCUGUGGAGUUUUCGAUGGACAUGGAAGAUUCGGGCACCGAGUGAGUCAGCUGGUGAGAAGCAACCUGCCAUCACUCUUACAAGGCCAGAUGAAAGCUCUUGAUCAACAAGCCAUUGCAGUAGCAGAGGAUGAUGAUUCGAAAAAUCACAUUGACAGAAUAGAAACCGAGUCAGAAGAUUCAGAACCAAGCAAGAAAUUUCACAAAUGGAAAGAAGCCUUUGUUAGCUCCUUCAAAGUCAUGGACAAGGAGAUUAAGCUUCAAGAAAAUCUGGACAGCUCUUGUAGUGGAACCACUGCUGUUGUUGUCAUAAAACAGGUGAGAAAAACUACACAUGAUCAUUGAACAAAUUAUUUAUCUUUCUUUAUUUCUUUGUGUUCGGCUUUAAUUCAAGAAUCAAACAGGGUGAGGAUCUUUUUAUAGCUAAUCUGGGUGACUCAAGGGCAGUCCUAGGAACCACUAGAGAGAAUGGAAUUGAGGCCAUUCAAUUGACCACUGAUCUAAAGCCUGCUUUACCUAGUAAGAAGUUCAUCAUUUUUUUCCAUUUUUUUCCUCUUGUUUAAUUUGAAGUGAUUAUCUGACAGGUGAUCGUUUUUAAUGCAGGUGAAGCAGAACGAAUAAGGGCGUGUGAUGGUCGAGUGGUUGCACUAAAGCAAGAACCUAACAUCCAAAGAGUGUGGUUGCCUCAUAUUGACCUCCCAGGCCUAGCCAUGUCCUGAGCUUUCGGAGACUUCAUACUCAAGGACCAUGGCAUCAUUGCCACCCCUGACGUCUCCUAUCGCCGCCUGACUUCCAAAGAUCGAUUUGUCGUUCUUGCAACGGAUGGGGUAAGCCCUAUUGGAAAUGAAAUGUGUACUUGUUAAGAGUUUUAGCGUUGCCAAAGAAAAAAGGGCACAGUUGCUUUCCUAUGAAUGGCAUUUUAACCACAAUGAUGCGUUUUGUUCUUGGGCUUGGUAUUUAGGUUUGGGAUGUGCUCAGCAACCUUGAAGUUGCAUCCAUUGUGUGGGAAGCUGAUAGUGCACAAGCAGCGGCAAAGGCGGUGACGGAGACUGCGGUGGCCACAUGGAGAAGGAAGUUCCCUUCUGCUAAGAUAGAUGACUGCACUGUGGUUUGCUUGUUUUUGCAAGACAAACUACAUGAUCAUGUUGUGCCUGUAAAGAUAUGAGCUUUUGAGCAAUGCUUGUUGCUUUGUGAUCUUUUUUUAUCUUCAUACAUUUUAACACGACACUAUACUUUUUCAAUUUCUGAUAAGCUAUACUUUUUCAAUUUCUGAUAAGCUACCCGUCCAAUUAUGUACAUAAGCCCACAGGUUCCAUUUUUGGUUAAGACAACAGUUGCUUUCAAGAAUAAAUUUUUGGUCAAAUCAUCCGCCAGUAAAUGAAAUCUUUCAAAACCAAACAGAACCAUUGGCAACCUUCAAAAUGCUCAGUAAAUUUUCAAAAUGUCCACGAAUAAACAAUGAUGUUUUGAUUUGUUUUCUCCAGGCAAUUCUAGAAAGACAUCACAGGGCUAGAAAUUCAUGAACAUAAAUAUAAUAAGACUUGACAUAGUGGCAAAAGGCAUUCUUGAAAUUUCAUUGAAAUGCUUUUAAUCACAAUAGGAUAAGGCCGAUAAACUUCAGUUAAACUCUUUAAUAGGGGAAAAGAAUUAUGUUGCCUCCAGGCAAACGAAACAAAAGAGAACUUUCUGCAUAUAAAAACCCCAUUUGUGAGUAAACUCAAUGCCUACCAUCUGGAUGAAAAAAUAGAAACAGAAGAUCCCGGGCGAAUAUAAAUCCAUUUCCUCUAAUAUUCAAGUGCAUCAUCUUUGGGCGCCUCUCCAAGCAGGUCAUCAUCAUAUGAAACAGGUACCCUUAACCUAUCAUGAACAGAAAGUUGUUUCCCUUCAGUAUUUGACUGAAUGCCUUGAGUUUGCAUUUGACAAAUAACCGGUACGGCAUCUGAAAUAUUAGCUGGAGUAUCAUCCUUGAAUGAAUUCACAAUUGCUUUAGAUGAACCUUCUUUCCCUUGCUGUAUUGGUUGUCUAUUAUUUGUUGACCUGAAUUGCUUCUGCAUGGAGAUAGAAAACAUAAAAAGUAAUCAACGAUGCUGUAGUUUUACACUUUUUCUAAUAAAAGUGAUAUUUAAUUGACGUUUGGGAAAUAACAUCAGAAACAACACUAUGAAUCUAUGAUCCACUACUGCGCACCUCAAAUUCCCUUCCUUUUUUCAUUAUCUCUUUGUAGGCCUUUGGUUCUCGUGCUUUGAUGAUACUCCAUAGUACUCCACCACCAAAUCGGAAACGUUUGCCAUCAUGAGUCAUCUGACCUCCACAAGCCUGGAUCGCAUCCACCUGAAAUUUUUCAUCAUUUCACAAAUGAUAUCCUAGAUACACCAUGGUUUCUAGCAGGGAAAAAGUAUCCAUUCUCCUGAUACUGGAUUCCAUCCGGACUACAAAUAACUAAUAUACGAGAAACAUAGAAACACUUGUAACAACCACAUUUAAUAAAAUUCAGAAAUUACUUAACUAAGGAUAUCGUUCCCUACAAUCAAAGUAAGCUCAAAGAUGUUCAUAAUCACAAAAGUUUCUGUAAACCAUCUCCGGAUAGAGCUUAUGGUUCCUGGGGGAGGAGCAAACAUGAAUGAUGAGCUUUUUGGAGCAAAAAUAGAUGUGUAUUGCUUUGUUACGCGUAUCUAUUAGAGUACUCUUACAUGUGUUUUGCAUGCAUAUUGGCUAAUGCAACUCCAAGAAAAAAUGAUAUCAACCUACACAAAUAGCAUAUGAUGAAGUGGUUCAUCCAGGGGACAUCACAGCUCAGAGCACAAGAUUGAAAGGAGUAAAAUGGCUUCUGCAAGAGAAAUCUGCAAGGGUAGGGAAACAAUAUUGAGGAUCAGAAAUUAUGCAAGGCUGCGUGGCCAAAUAGUGUGCAUAAGCAUCGGCAGCUCUAAGCUGGUCCAAAAUUAAGCAACCCAGAAUCUCACCUUCCCUUGCAAAAGGCCAGUCGAAUCAUUCAAGUCCACUCUCAACAAAGGAUACCCUGCCUUCCCCUUGAAGCUAUAAUGUGAAGGGAACUUAAAAAGGGACAGAUGGCUCAGAAGGUAAAGACAACCUUAAAAGUACCCCAUAAAGCAUAACCAUCCUCCCAAUAACAGGACCCCCAAUUAGCAAAAAAACCAGCGUGUUCAAGAAUCUAUAGAACAGAAUUGGCACAGACAAUAUGAUAGGUGAUUUUUAAUUGACAUCACUGAAACCCAGCUCUGAGUGCAAAUCCCAUGUUCUGAACAUGAGCAGCAAGGUCGGAUCAUCUUAAAGCUAGAUGUGAAGCGGAGUCAAGGCAACCUUAAGAAGUACCCAUAAAGCACGCCCAGACACAACCCAUUCACCCAAUAACAGGAUUACCAUUAGCAGAAAGACCAAGAGUGCUCAAGCAGGUACAUAAUAGAAUUACUUUGAACAAUAUAAUAGAUGAUUUCAAUUGAGAAUAUCACUGAAAACUCCACUGAAAGGUAUUGGGCACAAAGCACAUGUUCUUAAACUGACAGCAAGGUCGGAUCAUCUAAAAAUGCACAUUAAUGCAGAUAAACAUGUACCAAAUUUACAACCAGUUGCUAAUGGCGUCUGUCAAGGAGAUUUUCAGAAGACAAUUACAAAACAUAAUGCAAUGCACACGUAGUUGCGUAUAAAAGAUAAAGAAAACAAUCCCCAAGUUAUAUAAUUUGCUUUGUCACAGCAUUUCCACAAAAGCACACAACGAAGGGCAGCAUACCUCUUUGACGAGAUCAUUCAAUGCAAGAACACCCAGACAACCAACAGCAGUAUAUACCAGAUAUGAUUUCUUCUCUUUCAGUCGCCUACAUGUAUCCAUCACAAACCUGAAAAAGACAUAACAUUAAAAGAAUGUAAAAACCCACAAGAGAGCUCCAAAUUCCUUUUGAAUAUAUGUAAUUUCUUUCGUUCUUAAUCGGGCAGGGCAUAACCUGUCUAUGUCAGUGACAUUAAUUCCAGGGCCACUGUUCCUUCUCCUAUUCCUCUUCUUCUUACCCCUGCGCUUCUGAUUCUUGCCCUGACGUUCUUGGUUUGCUACACUGACAUUGCCACCACUGAUCUGUCCCGAACCAUUUUGUGAGUUAAAAUCCACAAGCUCCCCUUCUUCCACAAGCUCUCCUUCUUCCACAUCAAGCAUCUCAACAUCUUCGCCAUCUUCAAAGUUAUCGUCUUCAAAUACUGCGUCUAGUAUGUUGUGUUCUCCUUCCAUAUAAGGUUUUCUUCAAUGGGGGGAAAAAACGCACCACAAAAUUUAUAAGCACCUACAGAGCAGAAAGCAGGAAGAAAACACGCAGAUUUCCACAGACGAGACAAAAACUGCAAACUCGUGCAAAUUUUCUCUAUGGCAAAUCACCAAACAGAUUAUGCGAGCCCUAACCAGAAAAAAUCACAAGUACAACGAAAACAAAAAAAAAAACGUAAAUAAAUAUUUUUUUUAAAAACCGAUGUACGAACCCUAACAAUGCAAAAACAAACACAGCAAUUCAAAGCUUAUGGAAUUUUCCAAUUAGAGUGCUCUGCUUAAGGACGAUGAAGCAUAACCGCGGCUUUUGGCGUUUGGUUGAUCAGAGGACUGCGUUUCGCUGGUAUGGUCUUUAUAGUGAAGCCUAGAUGAGCGCUGGCGGUAAUCAGUAAUGGCUUGUUUGGCUGCGUGGCAAACGAUGAUAUUAAUCCGGAUUGGGUUAUAGGUGGAAAGGCCCAACCCAAGGACGCUUUGCUUAUCUGUACUGAGCGAGCCCAAAAUGGCUGAAACUUAGUCCAUCCCCAAUCUAUUAGUGAUAUUUUAUGAUUUGUUUUUGUUGAAUACGUAAUUGUUAGUAGGUUAUCUGUCGACGUUUGAUUUCUUUUCAAUAGUGGGCCAUACGUCAUUGGCCAAUCCGUACGAGUCCACAACAAAACUGAGUUGAUGUGGAUUGUUGAGUGUGAAAUUUUGAGGAGUAAGUUUUGGGUGAAAAGCUCGGACCACGUAAUCUAUCUGUCCAACUGUUUUCAUAAGAGGGUAUAAAUUUUAUUGAGCGCCUGUCGGACGGAUGACAUGGUUUUAGAGCAAAGCCAAGCCCAACCUCAUAUUCAGACACCAUUGAUUGGAACGGGUAUGAAGUGGAAAUACAGGCCUUCCUUUAUCUUGUUCAGCAAGCAAUGGUGCAUUUUUGUCCUGUAAUUCAUAAAUCUAAUAGAUGCCCUUUGUCUGCAUCAUCACUUUUGUUGUAUUCUUUAAAUUAUACCUACCUUGUUUUCUACCUAUUCAAACGAGGGGAAGGUGGGCAUGAUUGGUACCAAAGUUUCAACCUAACGUUCUUCAACAUCUAGUAGCUUUUAUAUUAUAAAGUUAAAAGAAGAAAAAUACAAAAAGAAAACUCAUUAGAGCUUCCAGCUCUUGUUUUGAAUGAUGAUAGAUUAAGUCUGAUGUUGGGUUGAAAUAUUCUUUAUUAUGGCUAACUUAGCAUUGAUGUGCUAUGAAAAUAUACGCUGUUAGAUUUAUUGUGAGAAAAAUCAACAGUGAGAUAAAACAAUUUGGUGUUUGAUAAAAAAACAAAAGGGUCCCCACUUGCUCUAACAACAAAAAAACUAAAAAUCUUGCAAGUUAACUAAAGAAACUGUAUUCUUUAAUAAAUGAAAUUUCCCGUUAUUAUCUAUAUAUAUAAAGCAAAAGGCAGAGAAUGGUGAAACAUUCAAAAUACCAGAAAAUACCCUUGGUUAAUGCAAAUAUUAAGAAUUGAAAUUAUUAAUUAAAUGAGGAUAAUAUGGUAAAUUCACAAUUUUUCGUAUUAAAAAAAUUAAAAUUAAAAGAAAAUUCAGAUAAUGGAUCCUAUUUUUAUGGAACACAAAUAUCCAUUAUCUUUUUUAAUUCUAAAAUAAAUUUAAAUUUUUUUAAAAAAAAACCUCUCGCAUGCGCAGAAGCGCGUGCAGAGAGGCUAGUAUAUAUAAAGCAAAAGGCAGAGAAUGGUGAAACAUUUAAAAUACCAGAAAAUGCCAUUGGUUAAUGCAAACAUUAAGAAUUGAAAUUAUUAAUUAAAUGAGGAUAAUAUGGUAAAUUCAUAAUUUUUCGUAUUAAAAAAAUUAAAAUUAAAAGAAAAUUCAGAUAAUGGAUCCUAUUUUUAUGGAACACAAAUAUCCAUUAUCUUUUUUAAUUCUAAAAUAAAUUUAAAUUUUUUAUAAAAAAAACCUCUCGCAUGCGCGGAAGCGCGUGCAGAGAGGCUAGUACGAAUUACGGGUGAAAAAACCAGUGGAAUUAUACGGCGCCAACACUGUAAUUCCCGCAAUAAUACGGUGCCGACGUGUACGCUCCAGAUUGCACCCCUUUCCAAUUAAAGAGUGAGCUCACUGGGGCCCGCAAUCAAUCAUCCAAGUCGCAUUGAAAAAGAGAACCCACGUGGUCACCAAUAAAUAUCAACUCCUCCUCCGACCUUCGAUCUUUGUGUUAUAUGUCAGCUCCACCAAUCAGAUAUCCUCAUACCAAUUUGACCGGAAACCGCCAUGACUCGGUUGGCUAGCGCCGUCGUCCUGUUGUUCCUUGUCUCCCUCUCCAGUUUCGCUGCCGGUAGCCGGGACCUGAUCGGAGACGUUUUACGGUUACCUUCUGAAGCUUCUAGAUUCUUCGGCAGAGGCGAUGACGGCCCUGAUGAGCAAGACGACGGCACCGUGGGGACCAGAUGGGCUGUUUUGAUCGCUGGCUCAAAUGGAUACUGGAAUUACAGGCAUCAGGUCUUAAUUUUACACGAUAUCAUCUUUCUUAAUUCAGAAAUAUUCUUUUUUGUUAUCAAACUUCAGUUGUUAAUGGAAUUUGAGUUAUAAUUUUGGAUGUUAAUUUCAAUUUUUUUUCCCUUCAUGUUUUUUGAAUUGUUUGAUAUCUGAAUUUGGGUAACCUCAUAUUGGAAAGUUUAUGCUUGUAUAAUCUCGUUUAAAUUUGACUUUCAGCUUAUCCAAUUUCUGAUUCUUUUACCUUGUUGCUUUCGAAUUUGUCAAACUAAAUUUUGGAAGCUUAGAGUUUGUUUUGGAACUAAUAUGAAUUUAGCUCAAGCUUGUGUCUUUCUUAUCUUCCUUGAUCUCAUCUCAUUUUGACUAAGACAGAGUUUUAAAUUUACAUGUGGCUUGAGUUUGUUUUGGAACUCAUAUGCAUUUAGUUCAAGUUCGUUUUAUUAAUUAUUAUAUUCCUUGAUCUCAUCUCAGUUUGAAACUUUGACAUGGAGUACAUGAUCUCAACGUUAACCAUAUUUGUAUAGGAGCUGGAUUUCUGUGUCAGGGGUGAAAUUGAUACUUUUGUUGUGUCUAUAUCUUCAUAUGAAUGUCAAUAAAUAUCUUAUUGGUUUCACAUAUUUGAAAGCUAAGCCACCCUCAUUUCUUGAUUGAUGUUUAACACGGACCUUUUUAUCUUGUUUGUUUAGGCUGAUAUUUGCCAUGCUUAUCAACUACUGAAGAAAGGUGGGCUGAAAGAUGAAAACAUUGUUGUAUUCAUGUAUGAUGAUAUCGCUUAUAACGAAGAGAACCCUAGGCCCGGAGUCAUCAUUAACAGCCCACAUGGUGAUGACGUUUACAAAGGAGUCCCAAAGGUCUGUUAUCUUCCCCUCUAGGUGUUUACCUGCUUCUGAAUUGAUAGUUAUAAUUCCCCUCAUGCGGUCGAUUUUACGGUGGCAGGAUUACACCGGCGAUGAUGUUACUGUUAACAAUUUUUUUGCUGCUAUCCUUGGAAAUAAAACUGCUCUUACAGGGGGUACUGGGAAGGUUGUGGACAGCGGUCCAAACGAUCAUAUUUUCAUUUACUAUUCUGAUCAUGGUGGUCCUGGAGUUCUCGGUUAGUAUCAAUUCUGCACAUGACAAUACUGACAUUAUUUUGCCCACAUCCCCAUAUCUUAUCUACUUACUCUUUCCCUAGGGAUGCCUACCAGUCCAUAUAUUUAUGCUAACGAUCUAAUAGAAGUCCUGAAGAAGAAGCACGCAGCAGGAACCUAUAAAAGCUUGGUAAGUUUCUAGUUGAACUGUAAAUAGAUGCUGCAUAUACCAAUAGAGUUGGACUAAUUCGUAGAACUGCAGGUAUUUUAUCUUGAAGCUUGUGAAUCCGGAAGUAUCUUUGAGGGACUUCUUCCUGAAGGUUUGAAUAUCUUUGCAACUACGGCAUCAAAUGCAGAAGAGAGCAGUUGGGGGACUUACUGUCCAGGAGAGUAUCCUAGUCCUCCCCCGGAGUAUGAAACCUGCUUGGGUGACCUGUAUAGCGUUGCUUGGAUGGAAGACAGGUAUGCAGAAUUAUUUUAUUUUGUUAAAUUUUCAAUAAAGGGGUGGGAAGAAAAGCAGCUUAAUGUUAGCUUCAUUUUGCAUACCCUUGGUAAAUAAUAACAAUUUCAUCUUUCCCUAAAAGUGCAUUACUUCUUGAGUAUUGUCACUUUAAGAUUUGCCUCAAAAUAUGAAGAAUAUAUGAAUUAGGUAGAAGUUUGAAACUGUAUCAUUUCAUGCCAGUUGUUUUUUCUUCUUUAAUUCUUGCACUGGUGGUGUGGGUGUUUGGAUUGUCUUUGCAAGAGCAGUUUCUUUCUCAGGUUGGAGAAUGAAACUGUUCAAAUUAUAAUUUUCAUUUGAGAUUUAACAUUUUGACCUUGUGAACAGUGACAUACACAACUUGAGGUCGGAAACUUUGCACCAACAGUAUGAGCUGGUAAGAAUUCGUCUCUUAACACAUUGUUAUGGAACAGAUAGAGAUUUUUUUUUCUUCUUUUGUACAGGAAAGACCAGCUGUUUAUUAUUGUAUGUUUAAAUAAAAGAGAUUGUCUGUAUUUAGAGAAGUCUUGGGGGUCUAGCCAAGAAAUAUCUAGAUGUGAUCCUGCUAGUUGCUAAUGUCAGUUCUUUGAUUUCAUUAUGAUGGCCCAGGUUAAAACGAGGACAGCAAAUGACAAUUCUGGCUUUGGUUCUCAUGUCAUGCAAUAUGGCGAUGUAGGGCUCAGCAAGGAAAACCUCUUUGUGUAUAUGGGGACAAAUCCUGCAAAUGAUAACUACACUUUUCUGGGCGAGAACUCCUUGAGGCCAUCUACAAAAGCUGUCAACCAGCGGGAUGCUGAUCUUGUCCAUUUCUGGCAUAAGGUUAACUCUUACCUUUUUCAUCCGUGAAUAGUUAUUUUGCCUUUUCUUUUAAAUAUCUAGUCUUAAAAUUUAUGUACUAGUCAUCAUCGGUACUUAUAUUUGGAAGUAUUUCAUACUGUUAGAUAUUAUGAUUGAUUUGAUUAAAAGUCAGGAGAGAUCAGUAAUGAUGAUUGGGGAAUACUCCAUGUUUUCAUUGUUUAAACGGUAACAUAUCAUAAGUACCAUGGAGGUUUUGGAACCAUGCCAUUUGCCCUGCUCUCCUGUGAAGCUCCAAACAAAGCAGUAGAAUAUCUCUGCUUGGAACAAGAAUUUUGAAUACCAAAAAGGGAAUGAAACCAAGGUUUUGAUUAAAUAAAAGCCUUAAUUGUUAUGAAAAUCUAAGGUUCUACUUCUGAAUAUUCUGUGGUUUUGUAACUAUUUCUGUGUGUUAGCUGUCAGCCUGAAGAUCUAAGCCCCUUGUUUUCCCUUCUUUUCUUUUUCUGGAUGCAGUACCGCAAAGCUCCUGAAGGCUCACCAAGGAAAAUUCAAGCUCAAAAGGAUUUUGUUGAAGCAAUGUCUCAUAGAAUGCAUAUGGAUCAAACCAUGAAACUUAUCGGGAAACUCCUGUUUGGAAUCAAGAAAGGUCCAGAAGUGCUCAACACUGUUCGACCUGCUGGGCAGCCACUUGUUGAUGACUGGGACUGCCUUAAGACAAUGGUAGUACUUCUGCUGUUCAUUUUCUCCUUAAUGCUGUUAAAACUUUUCUGAUUCCAUCUUGUUCUGCAUAUAAAACAGAUUUUCACAAAUAAUAUAUGUGGCUGUGCCUGAUGGGUUUGUGUGUGCAGGUGAGGAGUUUUGAGACAUAUUGUGGAUCCCUAUCUCAAUACGGGAUGAAACACAUGCGGUCCCUGGCAAACAUCUGCAACGCCGGAAUGACAAAGGAGCAGAUGACCGAGGCUUCAGCACAAGCCUGCACGAGCGUUCCUUCUAGCCGUUGGAGCUCCCUGCACCGGGGGUUCAGCGCAUGAUUUCAAGAAGAAGAAAAAAUGUGGGAUUUGAAUAACCAAUCCGUGGUCAUCUCUAUAUGCAAAACAUAUCUUAGGAUGCAUUUCGAUUAUUGUUAAUGUUAUUCUGAUUGCUUCAGUGUAACCUUGUGUAAAUACAACUCAAGCCCCUGUACUGUAAUGCACGUACCUACUGAAUCUUGUAAGUAAAUAUUAGCAUGUUUGUUGCGUAUGAAUACGUACCUGUUUGCUGCAGCUGGUGUACGCAUCAGGCUCUGGUUAUAAAAAAGUUUGCAAUUACGAUAUGCCUUUGUUUUAUGUUCACUUUGGUUGCUUCAUUAAGGAAGUGAGUGGCUUGUCUCCAUCUCCUUCACCACCACCACUAACAGAACAUAAUUAUCGCGUAACACUUUCAACUUUAUGUCUAUUUGAGUUAUUAUUUACAAUUACAAUUUUUUUAUAUUAAAAUUUAUCAAAUAAUUUUGACAAUGCUUUUUGUACUAGCACUUCAAAAGAAUUAUUUAUUAAACAUGAAGUUGCUUUACUUUACAAUUAAUUAUUUUUAAAGCACAAUAAAAUUAAAUUUUUUAAAAAAGUCACAUCAAUCUCAAAUUCCCCUUCUUUCUUGUCCGUCUCCAAAUGGUAAACUGGUAAUCUAGCUUUUGACCCCCAAAAAAAUGGAAAUCUAGUGGGCCUUUCAUAAGAUAAUGUCAUUAUCAUUGUGUGAGUAUAUUCCGUGUAAUUGAGUAAUGAAAGAUAUCGAUCGCGUUGGGAAUUGGGGAAAGUUAGAAAUAUUUAAGAGACGGAUUUACUCCCUCAAUUAAUGUAAUUUAUGGGUUUUCAAGAAUUAAAUGACGGAUUUUAAUGUGGAACACACAUAAAUUUGUAUACCUGAUGUAAAUUUAAGAGUUGGAAUAAUUUUAAUAUCCAUUAUAGGCAAAUGAACAUGCCAUGCUAUAGGUGUGUGCCCAAUUUCAUUGUGGAGAACGUAGCCGUAGGAGAGCAUGCGUCCAACCCCAAAUUCCCUUUCUUCCUCACCUUGCUCCAACCUGUAGCUGCCAAAAUGUAGGUAAGCAACAGCCUACAUUACGGGUCCAAUAAUGUACAAUUUUGGCAAAGUCCAAUUACUUUAAUGAUGGAAUGAUUGUAUAGUUAAAUCUUACUUAAUAAGAUAAGAGUGAGAGUCAAAUUUAUACGGUGCAUAUUUAUUUCAUGUGUCAAUGCCAAUUAUAUUACAUAUUUUAAUUGAAUAAUACGGACCAUUUAACUUGACACAUGCAAAAUUAUAGAUGAGCUUGUAAUUGUAACAUUAAGAUUCACACAAAAAACGAAACUCACAAUAUUUAGCUGAAUGGAAAAUGUUUUCAAGAUGCAUCUAUCAUAAGUUCUAGCUGUGAACAUUAUUAUAUGGCAGUGUCCCAUCCCAUGGUCUCCCCAAGACUCACAACCCAACAUUUUCUUUUUCUUUUUCUUUUUCUUUUAUUUUUUUAUUUUUAUAAAACGCAACCCAACUUUAAAAAUAUGAUCCAUAAUUGCAUAUUGUCAAACCAACAGUGAAAAAAAAAAAAAAAAAAAGGGAAGCAGGAACCGACGCUCUAGAUUCAACAAUUUUAUUUGGUCAACACACAAAUAUUUAAGCUUGGCUUAUAUACGGUCUAUAAUCGGCCACAGGAACCGGACAUCAAGGACAAUUGUCUGAUAACGUGAAAUCCACGACUCUGGUUAAACUUACCAUGGUUAGUUCACUAUAACCAUACUACAACGAACCGGUUCACCAGAAAAAUAAAAUUAAAAAAUUAAAAAAUUAAAAAAAGGUAAAGGAUGAAUAAAAAAAUAAUUGGGUAAUGCAAAUUAUUGCCACUUAACGGAGUAGUAGAUUCUGUUAGAUUCAUUUGACGAGGCGAAGAGGGGGCGCAUAGUAAGAACGUUGUAACGAGGUUUAAAAGAGACGGAGCUGACGGUUUAAGAUAGGGAGACGCGGGAGCCGUUGGAUUGUUGAUCAAGGGCCGAUAAUGCAAGGCGUUGGACGGUUCAAGUGUGACGGAGAGUGGGAGGGGUCGUAUAAAGCCUGGGUUUUGAAAGGUGAGAGUGCAUUUCGUUCCAUCAAAACAAGAAGAAGAAAGAGGAAGAAGAAGGAGAAAGAGCCUCUCUGACGUUUUGGCCUUCGGUUUUUCUUCUGCUUUAGAAUUUAAAGAGGAAUUCGGGAGAGAAUUCGUAGAGCUGGACUGUGUGUAAUGUUAAGGAUCUAAUUACGAAGCUUUUCUGUGAGCCUGUUGUGUGUUCGCGGGAGAGAGAAGGAGAGAAGAGCUUGCAGAGGUUGGUGAUGGAGAAAACAGAGCUCGAUUUUGGUAGUUUUAAUGUAAUCUGAUUUCUUAGAAUGACCGGGUUAUUUUGUGCAAUUUCUGUUUUGCAGAUACAUUCAGAAGAGCUUUUGGAGGAAUUUGAAGUGAAAUCGAUUGCGAUUUGCUGGGAUAAUUUCCAAGGUGGACCUCAUUUCAUUGAAAUUUACAGAGAAAAGGUCGAGAAAUCUAGUUUAGAGGUGAGGGGAGUUGGAUUUGCUUAAUUUCCUAAACGAUUUCACUCCCUUAUUCUAACUCAUCGUUCGUUUGAUUUUGGUUUCACAGGUACAUUUCCCGGAGAUUUGACCCCUUUUUUUUGAAGAAAUCUCAACUGGGGUAUGAGAUAAAGAAGAACAAGCAUCUCUCAUUCAUGAGUGUCAGGGACAUAGGCUCUAAGUUUCAAUCAUUUCGUUGAUUUUCGGCUCUAGAUUUGCAUUUUGCAAAGUCAGAAGGCCUAGAAGAGCAAGAUUACCCAAAAGAAGCAAACUUUCUUUUGCAAAUUCAGGAUUGUAGCUGCUUGCGAAAUCUCAGUAUAACAGGUGAGGAUUCAUUUUCCGAAUCCUAGAUCAGUGAAACCAAGUCUCGGGCUUAGGAUUUCACUGGCUGAUUUGAUUUCCUUCCAUUUUCGGUUCUUCGAAUUUUGAUAUCUUUCUACUCAAUUUGGUUUCUUCAAGGAGGCUCUCACUUUUCUCUUCUUUUUCCUCAUCUGCAGCAGAGUCCAAGCAAUUGGUUUCUCUGUUUUUUGAUUUUCGAUGUUCAAAAGCAGAUAACUUUGCAACAGAAUUUUAAGCUUUUCAAAUGAAGCCAGCCGAGUUCCUUGACUCUCUCUCUCUCUCUCUCUCUCUCUCUCUCUCUCUCUCUCUCUCGCUCGCUGGGUCUUACAUUUGGAUCCAUCAUCUUUGUCCAUCAUCUUCUUUCAAUUUUCUGUCAUCUGCCUUCUGUGCAAGAAUUUUCAAUUUCAAAAAACUAAUUGACCUUUAUAUUUGGGAAGAUUAUCUCUUCUUCUUCGUCUUCUUCUUCUUCCUCUCCUCCUCCUCCCCAUUUUAAAGGCUUUUAAUAUAUUUUUCUGAAUGAUUUCCGUCUGUAUUAUCAGCAUUGAAAAGAAAAGACCUUCUCUAUGAAAUUUUACCCGCUGUUUUGUGAAAAAUCUAUCUAUCUUUGGUGUUCUUUGCUGGCAGUCCGAAGUUUGUGUCUUUUCCGAAAUUCAAACACCAGCAGAGUGCAAAAUCUUCUGUUUGGUUCUCGGGAAACUGAUACAAGAAAAAACUGAGCUAACAGACGUAAUUGCUCAACUUAUUUAAUCGCAAUUCGUUGGAAGCGUCUGAUAAAAAAAAUAUAUAUAUAUAUCAAAGAUACAAUUUUCAUUCUUUGUCCUUUCCCUGCCUUUUUUUUUUUUCGAUCUUCAUCUUCUCCGUCUGUUUGGGUAGGCCCUGCUUUUCAUUUGAAUUUUAUUUUUAGGCACUCGCAGUUGCAGAGAGCCAGCCACAAUCCAAUUCCAGAUUCUCAGUUUUUGCCAUUUCCGUCCCUAACUUUAAUUAUGAGCAUUAACCGCGGUUAAAGUGUAAAAAAUCAUGUUAACUAACUAACCGCUGUGAUUAAUUCUUGUUUUGGCAUGGGUGGACAGGUGUACAAAAGGAGAUGGAAAGGGACUGUCUUAGGCACACCCAUACUAAAGACACCCACAAUCCCAACACUCGAGACAAAACCGGAGGGGACGCCUCAGCCUCUCUGCUGUUGAGAGCGAGCCCCGAUGCCAUACGACACGCAACGACGUCGUCCGAUUUCGUUUUGCAGUGGGGGAACCGCAAGCGCCUCAGGUGUAUGAAGAUCCAGGUCAAAGACAAGGGCAAAGACGACUCCGACGCCCCGGUUACCCGAACCACAGUCCGGGUCGACCGCCGGGUCGUCCGACCUGAUAAGGACCCGGCCAAUCAGCCUUCCACGGCCGGUAACUCUAAUCAGACGAAUGGGUAUUUGAAUCUCCGUCAACGGCCGUUAUCUCCGCAGCAGCCGCCACUUCAGCGUGUUCUCAGGUUACCACUUGCACUUCACGCUUUUGCUUUAUCUAAUCUAUAUCUAUUGCUUCCACGGGACGUCGUUUCGGUCCUGCCUUUCGUUAACAUGUAGUUUCGUCGUUUUGUGGGGUAGUUGUGGUGGCGUUUUGUCGUUUAAAUUAGUGGCGGGUGGGCCAGGUGCGUGGGUUUUGUCGUUUUUAGUUAUUUUGGGACUUGUUGCCUACGGUUACAUCUGUACAGUUUUGGUGCGGUUUUUAUAUAUACCUUGAUCUCACCGUCAGAUGCAUGAGUCAUAAUCAUCAGAUCAGGAGAUUUUAUAUUCAGACUUGCUUGAUUUUAGAUUUUAGAUUUGUGAGGAAAAAUCUCAGAUGAUUGCGUGGCCAAUUUCUCUACGUCUGUGAAGGUCAAAGAGAAUAAUUUUGUUAGGUAAGUGUUUGUUGCUUUGAUUAGAUUAUUUCAUAUGCAACAAUAGAGUGAUUGCAAAUUCUGUUAUCUUCUUCCUUGUUUGGUUGAAGAGAAAAUCUUGUUUGCGUGAAGGGAAAAUCUCUGAUUUUCUUGUGCAAAUUUGUCGCUUUAGAUUGGAUUGAUUUAUAUGAGUGGGACUGGAUAAAUGGAUAAGGCUAGAAAGCAUGGAAUUUUGUCCCACACCACUGGUUUUUUAUAUUCCUGGCCUGCCAUUAACAUGGCUGUGUUUAAUCCUAUGUGCUUAAUGUGUAGUUGAAUGAAAUUUUGUCGGAGGGUUUUUGAGAUUAGGAGUUUUAAUGAUGAAAUUUGGGGCUGAAUUUGUUGUGAGGCUUAUCUUAAUGAUCAACUCUCCAAUUGGUCAGGUGGGUGAAGAGAUGUAAAAGCCCCAGAAGGAGAGCUCAUGGUAAGUGCAUGAGGGUAGGGUGCCUUCUUUGUUUGUCUUUGUAGGAAACUAGUAGCAUAUGAUUGAAUUAGGUUGCUCAUGUAGUCAUGUAAUCUUUUUGGCUUGAUUGUGCACAACAUAAAACACAUUAACAUAACAAACAACUUAAAUUAGAGAAAGAGAGAGUCUUAGUGCCAUAAGGUCAAGCAUUUACCCUCACAUUCACGGCAAGAGUUUGAUUCUUCCUCGUUCGUGUUUUUCAGGAUGCGGUAUUAAAUUAUGGUAUCAUACAGGAUGGUGUAUCAAUAAGUUGAUGUCAAGCAUGAUUGAUUUGAUACUAGUUCUAGUUUUCUUUUUUGGAAUAAAUGCCUUAUUUAUUGUGAUUGAUUUGUUAUUUAUUUUAGACACGAUGUUAGGGCUGAUUUGAUCAUAAAUCUAGAAUGAUUAGGCUUGAGUAAAUUGAUUUCCACUAGGACUUGUGUAGCAGGCUUAUGUUGCUCAUGGUCACACCGGAUCGGGGCUCCACUACAUCUUAGCAUGAUAGCGUCCGAUCCAUAACGACCGGCACCCUGAUUCCAUGGGCUCAGUGGAAAUAGGAAAUGGGCAACUCCUAUUCCACGUGUCCACGGAAAACCAAUUCUUCAACCCCGUUUCUAGCCCUGGGAUCACUGAUGGAUCAGGCAAUGGAUCCACGCCUUCCACGUUUCAACACGUGUUCCUUAACCCCACAAAAGGCACUCUCAAUCCAACGGCUAAAAUCCUGCCCAAAAACCAGCUGUGCACGUUAUACAGUACAUCACAUCCCUUUCCUCUCUCUCUCUCUCUCUCUCUCUCUCUCUCUCAAAUAUCUAACUUUUCAUUAAAGAAAAGAAAAUUAACAACUCCCUCGUUUAAAAGCAGAACACAAAGGUCCCCCAAAGAAGCCAAAAACCACGCUAAUUUUCUACGCAAAACCCAUUACAAAGCCUCUCUCUCUCUCUCUCUCUCUCUCUCUCUCUCACACCAAUCCACCGAUCUAGAUCGUCUCAAGGCCAUUCCCGUAAUUUCACAACUACCCACAUUAAUUUAAUUUAAUUUAAUUUUUUGCCCAAAAAGUAUCAUUUAUUAUGUUUUGUGCCAGCUUUUUUAUGGGUUUAUUGAAUUCAAUUGAUUUGAUUUGAUUUGAUUUUGAUAUGCGUAUCUGAAUUGUGUAGAAACUCAGAGACCACAACAAGUGCCAUGAGAGGCCAGAGCAACGGAGGCUUGAGGGGAAUUGUUUCACCCGACAACAGAGGGGGUGCGCACGAUAAGAAAGGCAACCACCACCAUCACAACCACCACCACCAUAAUAAUGAGAAUAACAACACCAAGUCUGCAGCUUCUUCGGACACGGCGCACGAUAGUAAAAAGGGGGGAGGUGGGUCUUCAUCGGGAAGCGGCGAAGCAGCGUUGGCGCCACCGAUGGUCUGGCCGCCGAAGUUCGUGAUUGCUUUGACCAACAAAGAGAAAGAAGAGGACUUCAUGGCAAUCAAAGGGUCAAAAUUGCCUCAGAGACCCAAGAAGAGAGCAAAGUUCAUUCAACGCACCCUCAAUGUAAGCUCCUCUAUUUUCCUUUUUUAGUUACUUUAUUAAUUAAUUAGUAUUAAUUAAAACUAACUAGUUUUUUUUAUUUUUUUUCUUUCUCUUUUUAAAAUAACACCAUUGCCUUGCAAAAACAAAUCAAAACCCAGUUUGAUUUUAUUAUAUUUAUAUGGUUGUUUUACCUGUAUUUAUGCAAAUUGUUGUUGCGACAAAAUGUGGACUAGCUUAGAAGGAAGGAAAAGCAAAAAAUAAUAAAAUAAUAGAAUAAUAAAUAGAACUUUCUGGUAUUUGUUUAGUUUGGGUUAAAAGAAGCCGAAGAAGAUUGCUAAAGUGACAGCAAGAACAAGGCAUACACGUGUCCGCCAAGCCAUGUAUGCAUAUACCUAAUAUGCCUAAAAGUUAGUUUGCUGUCCGACUGGAAUAGUAUUAAUAGGACGAUGGUUUGGGUUAAGAUUAAAUUCUAUAUUAUUCAUAAUAAUAUGAUAAUGAAAUAUUUUAUUUAGGGUCGCCUCGUUUAGUGGAAAAUUGAUGUCACACGUGGCAAUACAUGGUUGUUGCUUUUGGGUUGGUUAUCGUGGCGAUGGACGGUGCGUGGCGUCUCAUGUGGCCGCAUGUGAUUUAGUGGGCAUCAGUGGACGUUUAAAGCAAGUGGGCCUUAAUUCUGUACUAACCGACAAAAAAAGGGCAUAUGGGUCGAAACGGACCCUGGGCCUGUUACCGUUGGUUUUUUUUUGGGGGGUUCUUUUUGGGAAAUAAUAUGCUUCAUGUUGAGGGCAUAUAGGUAUUUUCACUAGCCCUUAAUUAUGCUAACUGUUUUCUGGCUUGGACCGCACUGCCAACUGCUGAGCACAAAAGCACGAAAGCUGACUACCCACAAUGCACCGUUUUCGUUUUUUAAGUUCCAAACAUAGCAAAACUCAUCAAAGUGCUUAUCAAAAAGCCUAUCCCGCUUUUUGCCCAUUACCUAAAGCAAAAGCUACGCUUUUGCCAGUCUGUUUUUGCUUGUUUUGGCCUCUUCCUUUUAAUUAGCUGGAAGAUUAUUGUUCUAAUUAGUUUUUUAUUUUCUGUAAUUUUGUUUUAUAGCUGGUAAGCCCAGGAGCAUGGCUCUGUGAUCUGACCCUAGAACGGUACGAGGUCAGAGAGAAGAAGAUUUCCAAGAAGGUAUUUUAUUGAGUAAUUUUCUUCGAUUCAGGGCCUAAAUCAAAUUUCCUUAAUUUGCCUUUAAUGUUGAUAUUUUUAUGCAGCAGAAUGAAUAGUUUUUUUGUGUUUUUGCAUGAUGCUGCAGAGACCAAGAGGGCUAAAGGCGAUGGGCAACGUGGAGUCUGACUCUGAAUAGAAAGGAGUUUUAGUGAAAAGACUAAUAUAGCAUUUUCGUUUUUUUUCUCCUCCUUUUUUUGAAGGUAUGAGAAAAAUGUUAGAACUUUGUAAAAAUCUUCACCUUUCAACCAUCAGAAUAAUGAAUGGAUUCAUUUCCGGUCCUGUAUACAGUCUUGUUCCUCAUCUUCCUACUAAGUUUGUUUAAUCAGAACAAGAAAAAAAAAACAAAUCAUCACGUCCAAGCACACGAACAAAUGAAAUUUCUCUCUUUCAAACCCUAAUUGUGAAAAAUAAUUAAAAUAAGCUUCAGGGAUGUAAUUCAAGUGGUUAGUCAUGACAUGUUACACAAUCCAACAAUUUUUUGUUUUCUUGUCAACCUACAACACAUUUUCUUAUGUCGUAUUAAGUUAGAAAAGGGAAUUAACGGUGUUGGAUAGUCGUCCAAACGCACGUGAGUGUCUUAUGAUUGUUCAUAUAUUAACAUAUGGGUCUCAGUCUAACAUACAUCGAUGACUUACGGUGGAAGUGCUCAUUAGGCAUGGGCAAAAUCAGUUUCAGACUUCACCAUCCGAGUGAAAAAGAAACUCGAGACUCGAUCGCUCUCAAGAUGUGAAGAAAAUCACGAAAUUGACUCUUGAGACGAGAUUUGAGACUCUUUAGAGGUUAGACUUCAAGAAGGAAGAAGAAAAACAACAAACCAUAACUCUCUUUAGCUGACACACGUAACGUAAAACCACAAUAUAUGAAUUUGCAAAGCUAUUAAAGACAAUGACAUCUAAAAAUUUACCCGAGACAGGAGAAAAACCAGAACCCCAACUCCCUAAAGUUACCUAGUCAUUAGCAAAUUGAAGGGCCACGUCUAAUUUAUAAUGAUAAGAGAUAAUAUCAUUGUUUGGUCGCAUGAUUUGUGGAUGCCACUUUACAUUAUGUGGCCUCCUUAAUUGGUAUUUUGAUGUGACACGGAACACUUAACGCGGUAAUUUAAUUUCUUAACGUAAUUGACAAUUUCAAUGAAAAUCCAUGACCUAUCAUAUCAGACCACCAAACCAAACCCAACUGAAUUAAACUAUUGGAAGAGGAGAAAACAUGGGUCCUAAUUCAAAUUAACAUUCAUAAUUCGCCAUCAUUGACGGGAAGACCCGAAUUAAUCCCCUUAAUUAUGCCACGAAGAAGCAUAAACACAUUUUAAGAAUAACAUCUGCUCUGUGAGAGUUUGUGGAGACAGACAGAUCCACCACCCACCAUCCAGCUGGUUCUCAAAAGGCAAUUCUAAUGCUACCUGCGGGUCGUGAAGAAAAGAGGAAGAUUUUUCAAUUUAAUUAGCCCCCAAAAAAUAGCAUGGAAAAUACCCCCAAAGGGCCCUAAAUAUACCCUUACCCACUGGGCAUAUUUGUCAAUAAACACUGAAAUUAGGGAUUUUUUCAGGACCCAAACACAAUUGCUAUAGUCGGUGACCCAGAGCCUAUCAAAUUAUAAACUCAUUACGUGUUGCAGUUGGAAUUACAGCUUUAUUCUGUUAGAAUAAAUGAUUAAUUUACACCGACUUGGCUACGCCGCUUUUUUGGUCCAAGCGAAAAUAAAAUAAUUGGAUCUGGAUUUGUAAUUUGCCGCUUUUUAUUUGCAGGUAAUGAAAAUGAAAUAACAAUUUGGAUAUUAGUUAAUUUUGAUAUCACAAGCUAGACAAACACCAUUCUCAAAGCAACUCAAGCAUCAAACACAGGAGGAGGAGGAGGAGGAAGACAAACGAAAUAAAAUCAAUGAAUUAUUUACUCAUAAUAAGGAUAAUAAUCGAAAUCCACAAAUACAAAACCCAUAGUAAUAAACCAAGUGCAUUAUAUAUGUAGUCUAUGCACCACAAAAACCCAUAUGACACUGAAAAUCCUAUAGAUCCAUAAUCACCAGCUACUAAAAUGACAAACGCUACUAAUAAAAAACCAAUCAGAAACCCAACCGCUCUCUACACAGCCCCAACCAUAGUUGCAGUAGUAAGCGAAGACUCAAACCCUGAGCGCAGAUCCGAAGACGAUAGCGGCGAAGGCGGCGGCGAAAGCAGAGAUGAACGACGGGGAGAUGGAGGCGGAUGCGGAGGUUGGGCUAGGAGCUGGAGAUUCGGCGGCCUGAGCGGCGCCGAUGACAGAAAGGACGGUGACGAAGACCGCCAUGAGAGCCACGAGUGAAGUUGCCUUUGAGACUGCCAUUGUUGAUUGGUGUGAGAGUUUCUUGUGCUUCGGAAUCUAGGGUUUUGGGAAUACGCCGAGAGACUGAAGCACAAAUAUCAGAGGUGGAAUGAAGUAGGCUCAAGGAACGUAUUUAUAGCGGGGAUUUUGGGCUGGGGUCGGGCAGCCUGGGCAGCUGCCCGGUUCUACAGGCUGGCUACUUGUGAUUGGUUCAGCGCGACAGCUCACACCGCUGGUCGGGGUAAAUUUUUCUCUGUGGGCCCCACUAGAAACCAGUGUCUACGCGGAGUCGUUUCACGCACGAUUUUACCUUCGUCUGAAACGACGCCGUGUGUUCACAUUCCUUAACGAAAGGGCUUUUCGCUUCGCGGCCGAGUCGACUCAGUGGAGAAUAUAUUCGCAAGAAUCUUCUAGCUUGCGACGCGCGGAUCAGAUUCUGUCCGUACGGUGUCAUUUGAGUCACAUCACAUGAUGAACGGUCCAGAUGAACCCGUGGGAACACGUGGGAAUGGAAGAGGUUAUAACGGUUUCGCGGUAAAAAAAUUUGGUUUUUUAUUUAUUUUUAAACUUAAAAAAUGGCCCACAAUGCGCAAUCAGGGAGAUUACAGCGCAGAAAACACAGAGAGGAUGCGUGACUUUCUGGUGAGCGACUCGAUGGCCAACGGGCGAUCGACACGUGGGGAUUUCGAAAAAGACAGGUUGUUAAAUUGCGAGGAAAAAGAUACGACAGGUGUAGGGUGGGAUUUGGUUCUGUUGCUUCUGAUAUUUUUAUUUCGCGGGAUUUCCAGAACAUUCGCUUGGCAUUUUGCGUUUUGGAGUUGAGGGGCGCACAUGCGUGCGGGUGAAGUUACCGUAAUGCCCUUGAGAGUGAUUGGGUGCGUGUCAAUUUUAUAUUCACGUUCAUUAUGAGGAGCUAUGAGUAUCUACUUAAGAAAACCAAAAGGAAUGUGGCGCUGAAUCUGAAUGGGUUUGAAGUCCAUUAAUGCGUUCCAGGGCUUUUCAACAUUUUGUUCCAUAUUCCAUGCCGUGCCCACUGGCUAAUGGGUUUGAUGUGGGCCCAACAUAUUCUUUUCUCGUCAAAUCCAAAUAAAGAGGCCGGGUGUUACGGGAGCUCCUAUAAUCCAGGUCGGUUUAUGUCGUCGAAGUUUCAAUUCAGCUGUCUAAUAAUAAUACUCUUAAAGUGUUGUUGAACGAACUCACAAAUUAACUGUGUUCACUUUACUAAUAAACUAUUUAUUGAAUUAUCAAUUUGCUCUAGUAUAAAAUGACCAAAAAUGAUAUAUUGAAUUGUGAAAUAAAUGUAAUGUUAAUAAAUACACCAUACACUAAAUAAAUAAAUAAAAAUUACACCUUUCUCACUAUAUUCAACCAAAUUGAACUUUUGUUUUCUUUUUCUUUUUCUUUUUCUUUUUCUUUUUUGGGUUUGUUUGUUAACCUCAAUAAUAAUAAAUGAAUAAUUAGGGAGGGACCAACCAUAAAGCCAAGCAGGAUUAACAAAUAUGUAUAGAGAUGGGUUAGUAUUAUGAGACAACCAUCACAAUGUCUGUCUGAUUCAUAUAGAACUGCAUAAUUAAUGACAAUGAUGAUAUUAGUGUGUAUCAGGGGUAUUUUUAAAGUUUUUAUAAUUGUGUAUUAGUGUGUAUCAGGGGUAUUUUUGGUAGUUAAAUAUGGUGUACUUAGUUAAUUUUACAUUUUGAUUUAAAUAUUAAAGUAUGUUUAGAUCAUAGGGUGUACUUAGUUAAUUUCAGAGUUCGUUUAGCAAUGCUCUACUUUUAUUGAUCAGACAACUAUGAAGACUCCCACACUAUAGCCUCAUACAAGUGGUACGCAGCAUAAAUGGGCAUGUAAACCAUAGAGGACCAAGAUAUAGAACCGUUGACGCACGUAAGUUCCACAAUACUGUUAAUAUAUGUGCGGGCGACUCCGAGUAACUGUUAACCUAGAGUCAGAGAAAUGAAAUUCAAAUAUAAAAUAUUUUAUUCUAAUGUCGAUUUCUGAAUACAAAAAUGUGAAUUUGAUGCAGUGCUAAAUAAGGUGUGCUACUUCUCUGUACAUCUGAUACUGAUACUGUUGUGGACGGGGGUUUUGGCCAAAGAGCUAUCAAGUGAACCUCAACUAAUAAUAAUAUUACAGCUGAGGUUGAAUUCUAUGAUGACAAAUAACACACACCACAAACAGGGAAUUUUGCAUGCUCUUCGGCUAGAGAAGUUUGAUUUGACUGAGGAUUUAUGUGUUAGAAGCCCAAAAACUUUGGUGCUAAAUGCAGAAGGGGUUCCAUAGCACUUGGAGCAAAUUUUCUUCCAAAAAGAAAGCAGAUUGAAGAGUUCCGGUCGUUGUAAGUGCAGCGAUGACCCUCGAGCAUUCUCUUGAAGAAUUCCUCAGUGAUAUCAGCUCUUCCAAAGGUAGCUGGGUGAGGUCCACCCCUUGACCAAUCCACCCAAGUGAUGCUUCUGUUUGCUAAGGAAUUCCCUGCUUGAAUGGUUAGCAUGGUGGGGAAAUAGUGCUCAUCAACAUAACAUGCGGGUCUACAGAACUUUUCAAAUUUUUGGUAAAAUGUCGUAUCUUCGACAAUGCUGAUGGCAAGCUUCCGGUUAACUUCAAACCAUUGGGAGCCCUUGCGCCACUGGGUUAUAUUCACUUCAGGUGCCAUGUUAUUAUUAUAGCGUCCUCUCCCGAAUGGCCCAGGGUCGUCAAAUGCACCGAUGAAGCUGUACUUGGAUUUCAUUAAGUAGUGGUAAAUGACACUGAAGUUAUAGAGCGGAAUGCAAGAUUCGGAAACAAGAAUGAACCAUUCAUUGGAUAUGUCAAGCAAUGCAUUAGCAAGGAGCCUUCUCUCAGCAUCACACAUACUCAUUCUUCCCCACUCAGAAACCUGCACAGCAGAAAACCAAAACUCUUAGCAGAUAUGUAAGAGAUAUUGCAUAAUAUCUAUCCAGAUUUGAACAGAAAAAAUUUCUACAGCAGCAACCAAGAUGACCUCAAAGAAAUUAGACAAAACAAGUUAUCCUCAAGCUACAAAGCAACAACAAUAUAAUUUUCCCUGGAUACUCUGUUUUUGAAGCUACUAACUGCGGAUCAUGAGUUUCUCUUUUGUUCAAAACACCCAGGUUAAAAAGUAAAACAAGCAGAGAUUUUAUGGAAUAUGUUCAUGAAUCUGAAAUAAAUACUUGGUAUGUUUCUAUACAAGCUUGAACUCUAUCACAAAGCAUCAUUCACAUAAAUAAUUAAUUUCUUCCUCAUAACCUGAAGGCAGAUAUCAUGACAGUAUGGAAAUGUCAUGAUUGUGGCACGAGAACAAGUCAGGAAUCAAGAACGUAGAUUAAAAAAAAAACAUCAGGACUAUGUGAAGAGGUCCAGGGUGCCACCCCAGUAGUCAAUGCCUUUACAUCAGCUGUUCAUCAUGUACGAAAACAUUUAUGCAUCUGCUUUUUUCAUGUUUAUAAACACAGGUGUUGUAAUAGUCUCAAGAUCCAAAAGUUAGCAGCAGAUGGAGUGGACCUAGUGGAGUUUCACAUGCAGGAUUGUCAAAUUCAUGGAAUAAAGAGUCAAAUCCAUUCACUUAGUUGAGUUUGCACUUGACACACGAGUCCAUGGAACAAAUAGGGCGUCCUGCCCUCCCCAAGAGAUGGUCUAUAUAUCCUACAUCACUGUAAUUCUCAAUACAUGAACAUGAUAAAACUGACCUGUUCCUUUCUACCAACACACAGAAAGGUAGUUUUAACCCUUUCUUUGAUGAUAAGCAAAAAUUACCAACUCUUGGAAAGAUGAAUUUCGGAUUUCAUCAUGUCUUAAGCUUCACAUACAUAACCUAACAUUUUUAAAUGCAAGAGACCAGGGUGUGUGCUCACCACAGAGCAAAUAUAGGAAAUCAAGAUGUGCAGAAAGUAAAAACCAGAUAAACCAGUGAUAGAGAACUAGAUAUCUACGAAUUUACCUCAAAAUAAAAAAUAAAAAAAUAAUUUUGUACUUGCUGAAGGAUGCUUAGUAGAACAUGCAAUCUCACAAAGGAUAGAAUAUGGACCUGGCUAGGAAUGUGUCUCCCAUAAAAAACGGACGAAGUGUGAAAAUGAGGUUGAAAUGACGGCAGUGAAUGAACGUAGAUUGAAUAACGUCCUUCAUGUCCCUUCAGAAACCUCUCCCAAAGGGGUGCCAGCGGCAACGGCCCCCUGGUCAAGAACAUAAAUGCAAUCUUUGGAACUCUCUCAAAAGGAUACUUCUUUAUUCUAGGCAUAAGAGAAGCCCUCCACAAUAAUUCCUUAUCAGUCAUAGUGUGUUGAAGAUUUGAUGGCGGCUUAAUCCACCGGUCCAAACCACUCGGUUCCUCAUAGCAUGGCUGGAAAGAGGACGUGACCGUUGUCAUCACCCCAUUAAUUCCAAAAUGACGAAUCGUCAAUAUGCUAAUGACUGAGAAAGUAAUACAGAAAAGCACAAACAGCACAAACAACUGAAGUAGCCUUAUCGGCAAUGCCUUGGUUUGGUUUGUCCUGCCAGUAACUCCGGGGUCCUUGCCUUCCUCUAAUGGCACAACCCUUGAUUGCAUGGUUUGCAUCUUGAUUAAAACACUGCACCAAAAUCAAUUUCUAGCUCUUCUGAUUACUACAGAGUACCUCCAAGUCUCAAAAUUUUGGACACCUAUUGACUUCUCUCAAACAAGAAAACCCACAGUCCAAAAUUGCAUCUUGCAUCACAAACGGUGAAGUGAACACGAAUUUAAUCACAUUGGAAUCUGAAUCACUCAGUUUUCUUCAAAACUGCAACCCCACCAAAUAAAAACACACUGCACAGAUCUGAAACUAAUACUACAGUACUGAACACAUACUGCGUAAAAAAUUUUAACUUCAGCACAUGGGUUCUUAAUAAACUGAGCUUAUAUCAACGAUCUAAGCUAAGAUCAUACAAAUAUGGAUCGAACUUCUCUUUCACCAGAGAAAAAAGUAUGACAUACCAUGUGACUUUUGAGGUUGAAAGCUAAAUUGAUGAAGACGAAUGAAGGAUUUAGAUCCUUGUAUUUGACUGCUUGAAUUGCGCCCAAGAAUACGGGAAGUGGUCAAUUGGAUGAAGAACAAGAGAACAGAAGGAGGAGGUCACGCAGAGGAGACUUUGGCGGCAGAAACAAAAAGGUGCAGUGACCAAUAAUAAUGAGAGAGUUUGAAAAACUUGGGGAGAAGUCUUGACCGAGUGUGCGCGUUGUGUGUGAGAUGAGAGAAUUGUGAGGAAGACGACGACUCUGUGAUGAUCUGUAGAAUCUCAAGUUUUAAGAAUGUCUCUCACACGGUGCGGUGCGAGUGAGGAGGGAGAGGGGAUCCAGCUUGUCGGCUAACUUGGGAGUGUGAUAUAUAAGCACCCAUCCAGUUUCAUAGCUUGGUGGAAAAACGAACUUGCCUCAUCUGUUGCGUGUGUGUAUUUUUGGGUAAAUUCAUUAGUGACUAAAAUGAUAAAAAUCGACCUUCGGAUGCGAUUACUAUGUUUUGAUUAUUUUUUUUCUUUUUUAGUAGAAGCGAUAGUUUCUAAACUGAAUGAAAGUGGAAUUUCUCACACACACACAUCUAUAAUGUCAUGGAGAUUCAAACUUGAGACCUCUAUUAUGCAAGUUAAAAUUUUUCCACGCAAUAGACCCUGUUGGCGAUACACUUUGAUUUUAAGAUGGGCAGAUAACAAUAGAAACUUUAUUUUAUUUAUUAUUAAUUGCAAGCACCCUAUUGGAACACGUUUCACCCUAUUGGAGCAUAAUUAGCAUCAAAGCAAGAAAAUCAACUAUUUUCCCCCCUCAUAGCCGCAUAAAAGAACAGAUAAAAGGAUAGAGUAUAGAAGCCUAAGUACAGAUGUAAAUGUAAUUAUUGGUUAGAGAUUGGGUUUAGUUUAAACAAGUUAAUGAGGCUUUGAUUGGUUGUUGAAGCUUAAUGUCUUAUGGUGGUGGAGAACCCAAUUGUAUCAAACAACGUAAUAAACACGACGUGGUGUAGUUGGGCAGACCGCAAGUCUUGGCCUCUAGUUAGGUGGGAUUUCAGUUCUUUCACCAAACCAAACAAGCCAUGAGGAAAGCUAAAGAAAGUCUAAAGGUAGGAGCCAUAUGUAGGAUCAAAUCUGCCUAGUAACCAGUUGUAUAUCCCCUUCUGUCUACAACACUUUACAUUACGUAAUCGGUUGCAUAUUUCUAUUCUAUCUGUUUAAAACAAUCAUCAUCUAUAUAUAUAAAGCAAAAGGUAGAGAAUGGUGAAACAUUCAAAAUACCAGAAAAUAUCCUUGGUUAAUGCAAACAUUAAGAACUAAACUUAUUAAUUAAAUGAGGAUAAUAUGGUAAAUUUACACUUUUUAUAAAAAAUUAAAAUUAAAUAAAAAAUAAUGGAUCUUAUUUUUAUGGAACACUUUUUAAUUCUAAAAAAAUUUUAAAUUUUUUUUAAAAAAAUGCCUCUCGCAAGCGCGUGCAGAGAAGCUAGUGUUACAUAAUGAGUGUUGUAGACACGAGAAUACAAAACCGGAGAUAGCUAAGAUUCUCUCCAUAUGUUGAGUCUACACCUACCUACAACCGCAUCUAAGAUUCCCCCAGCAAUAAGGACACAGGGACAGCUGAGGAUCCAAAAUGGUUCAUAUACAUGGGGUCCCGAUCUCGAUCUAAACUUCGUUAAAAAUAAAGUUGAUUGGUUGAUAGAAUCAACCACACUCAAAAAAACAAGCAGUUUUAACUCGAGAGAGGAGUAGAAUCAACCACACUAAAAAAAAUAAGCAGUUUUAACUCGAGAGAGGAGUAGAAUCAUAAAGCCUUCGCUGCUGUGAAUGGCGAUCCUGCAAAACAAUUCAUGAUGUAACUGUGAUUUGCAAAGAAAACCAUCCAUGCAUUCAUUUUGAACGUGUGAUAUAAUAACACGUCAUAUCGACAAUGAGAUCCUUGAAAACUGAGCAACGUCACAACAUUAGGUCUGUAAUUUGCCAGUAUAUCUACUGUCUAUGAAAACGCCAAAGUUGAAGACUAAAACUAAGAUACUACAGAGCGUUUUCUGCUCACAGUCACAGCACAUGAAACAGCUAAGAUGUAGAUGUUUCUAUCUUAUUCACAAAGGAACAGUUAGCUCCACAUCCCAAAUUCUAUAUACCAUGGCAUAUUUCUUGUAGCAUAUACCACUCUACUUCACCACAAAACUGGCACGGAGGUUGGAAACCAUAACUGGGCACUCUCCCUUCUCAUCAUAUUCAACAAAGUCCCCUCCCGACAAGUCAACAUGGUCAAAUUUUGUCCCUUCCACCUACAAGAAUGAACACUAGUUUAAGUUGAAAUAAAGAUGCAUCCAGCAGAGUCGAUUGCAGUACAUAAAAAUGAAAACUAGAACUUCAAAAAUCGAAACUAUUCUCCUAUUUUCAAAAAUUCAACAAUUCAAAUGCAAAAAUUCAAUUCACUGGGGCCUCUAGUAAUUCGUUUUUCACUCCUUGUUUCUUUUUCUAAAUUUCAUUAUCAAUCUAAUUUUCACUUUUAUUCUCCUUGGGGUAGGGAAUGGCGAUAGGCGGGCAUGACACUCCUGGCCAAGCAGAACAGUAAAAAUGAGUUGACAUUUGGUGACACCAUCUCUGGUCCAAUCCACAUGGUAGGCUUCCAUAGUAAAUCUAGUGUACAAGACAAUUAUACUGUUUGUGGGAUGCCCUUAACGUCAGAAAAAUAAAAUAUCACUAUUUUCUGCAGUUCCCACCUCUUGAAUAUGAUAUGCUCAUGAGAUGUACUAACCUUAAGAUCUUUAUGCUAAAGGACAGAGACCUGAGCUUUCUCACCCCAAAAAGAAAGGAUCAGAACUCAAAAGGACAAAAAUACCAAAAUAAGCUUUGAAAGGCGCUACCACAUUAUGGAAUAGGAUAUGCAAUCCUUAAUGCUUAAUGUACUAUGUACUAUAAGUACAAACAAGGAGAGUUAAGAAGAGAAGAAUAAAAGAAUUUAUACAUAUGCGCUGAAGUUCAUAGGAGUUAGUGAGAUUUAGUGCUUAGGAAUGUUCGCACGAUUACUAUUUAUAAGACCAUUCAGCUCAAAGGUCCCAGCAAAGUCAUUUUCCAUCCAUAAGUACAAUAAGAAAGUUUUAUACAAUAUGCUACAUAAUUGGAAGGUGGUGUGUGAAGAAGAGAAACUUACAGAUUCAACCUUCCACCCACUAGCAAAUACAUAGUCCACAGGCUCAUAACCCCUGCACUCAAACAUCAUCAAGGGGGAAAAUUUCCUUUCUUCACACAUUUGCUGGGUCAGUGGUUUACCAUGACCUGGCAUCAUUGUCAGAGUUCCAUCCCUUCCACAAAACUUGCACUACAAGGGGAGAUGCAAAUCACCACACAUAUAUAGCAAACUUAACCAGAAAAUAUUCGUUCAAAGAUAAAACAUAAAGGGAACAACCCCCAUAUCCAUGAAUUGAAGAUAUGCAAUAGUAAUAACUUAUGUCAACGUAGUUGACUCAUAUGUCAUCAAAUAGAAACUGCACAGAGAAAUGUGUUGGAACCCACACAUGUAAACUUUAACCAAGAGAAGAGAAAUGAAAUCCCGAUAAAAUCUCAAAGUUGUCGCUACAAUUAGGCACCCAAACAAACAAAGCAUUUGCUCAACCAAACAAGCAUACUACAGAAAACACAAACUACCAUAACUCUUCUGUUCCUUUCCUUCUAUUUCCUCAGAAACUAAAUAUACUUCAAUAAGCUCUUAAAUUCCAAAGCCCAUUGAGCAAUUAGUAGAGAGAGAGAGAGAGAGAGAGAGAGAGAGAGAGAGAGAUAAUGGUUACCUUCUGAACGAGAUUAACGGUUGCCUUGCCCGAUGGAAGAGGAACAGUCUCGUUCAAGCUCACACAAGUUUCCCUCUGGCUCAGCUCUCCACACCUCUCACAUUUCAACUGCAAGAUUACAAAAAGAAUAGAAUCAUGUUAAUAAUGACUAUAUCAAGCUCGGGAGACUAAGCGACGAACAUCGACGUCAAUUUUAAGCUACAACCCCUAGAAAUCUGAACACGAACACCAACUAUAAUGACAAAAUCGACUGCAUUUUUGGAGCAAAAAACUUGACGAAAGGAAAUGAAGGUGACCUUGAAGAGAUAGGAAAAGUUGGGGUCGUUGCAGCCUUCCUGGGGCUGAAGGUUCGUCAGGUUCUCGAGGUCCGCAGCGAUCUGAAGUAAAAAUUUCACCAUUUUCGAUUUGGCGUCAAUCUCGAGCUGCUCACCGCGUCUUUGUCUCACUGUGUGUAGCUAGUGGCAGGAUGAGUAAUAAAUAAGGGGGGCUUGGGCGACGAAUAGACGCUAUCAGUUAAACGGCGUCGUUGUGCGGAAUUUAAUUUUUUUCCGACACGGGGAUUUUUAGCUCAAGUUAACUACAAUUUACCCUAAAAUCGAUGGCCUAUGUUCGAAUCAUCUUUCUUAAUAUCGUUUGUAUUUUAAAAAAUAUUAAAUUAUAUGAAUCAUAUUGUGAUACCUGUUACAAAGAGAAGUUUAAUAUUAUGAAAGUCUUUCAAGUAGCAAAUGUGAAUUAGGUCAGUUAGUCAAAGUAGUGUGUCCAUCUUUUUUCACAUUAGUUUUUAGAUUUAUGAUAAUAGUACUUCAUUUGAAAUUUUGAAGGCCAUUGAAGUGAAGGAACCAAAGCAAUAUUGUAGGAAUUUAACAAUCAUUUUGCCAUUCUAAUUUGUGAGGACACGUCAUAAUGUUAGUCCUCAUACCAUUUUCCAUUUUACACACCGCAGUUCAAAUAUUGGACCAAAAAACAAAACGAAAUUGGCAUGAUUGGAAGGUGAACCAUGCAAAGUUUGCAGAUAUGUAAUCAGAAUCAUGUGCUACAUAUUAUGGAGGCACUGUCCUUGAAGAGAUUCAACUAGUGUUGGGAUCUUAGCCCAUCUCAUAUACUGAAAGAAAGAUAAUUUCCAUUUCAUGAUUUUGGGUGUUUGUGAUUAGUUAACAACAAAUUAAUGGGGGGAAGGGGGUUGUUUGGUGGUGAAGGGAUUGGAAUAAGGGGCAUAAUGGUAAUUAUGUUGGGAGCAACUGUGACUCUUAUUAGAUGUGGGGUGCUUGUGGAGGGUAAGUUGUUCUCUAAACAGAAGAUUUUGGAAGCCGAAAGACAAUUAAACCAACUUAGAAGGCCUGCAGUUAAAACCAUUCAGGUAAGAAUUGUCCAGAACUUGAGCCCUUCACAUAAGUUUUCUGCAUUGUAUUCAUUUACUCAGUUCAUAUUAAUCUCUAUGAUUGCUUGUAGAGUGAAGAUGGUGAUAUCAUUGAUUGCAUUGACAUCUACAAGCAGCCAGCUUUUGAUCAUCCUGCUCUCAGAAACCACACCAUCCAGGUCUGCCUUCUGUUGUGCAAGUUGAAAGUAGACAAAGAUUUACUCUGCAACUUUAAUCUUUUUGCUACCAUAUAACAACUGCUUUGAGUCUUUUUUUCAGAUGGCACCAACAUAUGAUACAACCAAGGAGACAAAGACAAUGAAAAAAAUGGACAGAUGGAAGAAGAGGAAUGAAGAACAAUCUCCCAUUACCGUGAAGCAAACAUGGCACAAAAGUGGAAGCUGUCCUCAGGGAACAAUCCCGGUCCGAAGAAUCCAGAAAAAGGAGCUUCUGAGAGCUAGCUUGGUUAAGGACUAUGGAAGAAAGAAGCACAGUUCUACCUUGUCUCGUCAUGUUUCACAGUUAAGUGACAACAAAACUGUGUACCUUCAACGAGCAAACCACUCGGUACAUCAAUUCCCCACACACACAUUUUUAAUUCAUUGGAAAAUUAACUACAACUAUACACCUAAUGAAGAGGGUUUUUUUUUCUCUGUGUGUAAUUUGUGAUGGCAUCAGAAGGCAAUAUUGUUUACAGAAGGGUACAGAUAUAAUGGAGCCAAAGGAGACAUCAAAGUUUAUAACCCAUCUGUCGAGCUUGAUGAUGAAUAUAGUACUUCUCAAGUUUGUCUCAUAAAUGGUGCUUAUUAUGACUUUGAGAGUGUUGAAUCUGGAUGGGCGGUAUAUAUAUAUUAACAUAAUAAACCCUUUCACUUUCAUCUUGAAGCUACUUACUUCUUCUGUCAUAUUAUGUUCAUGGCAUAACUUUUUAGUCUGAAAAAUUACUCUAAUCCCUCUUCAGGUAAAUCCCAGUGUAUACGGGGACAGACAGACUCGAUUUUUCGUGUAUUGGACUGUAAGCAGCCAUGAAUAAAGACUUAACAUUCAUGCGAGUAAUUCCACUAGAUUUGAUGUGAUUUCUGAUGUUUCUGCAGGUUGAUGGCUCACAGAAAACUGGUUGCUUUGAUCUCACUUGUCCUGGAUUUGUUCAGACUAGCCAUGAAAUUGCUCUUGGUGCAGCAAUCCAUCCAAUCUCUGUUCCUCAUGGGCUUCCAUAUCAAAUAAUAGUCUACAUCUACAAGGUCAGGUCAACAGUUUAACAACAUAACGCGCUUGAUGAACAGUUUAGCAACAUAACAUGUCUAACAUUAUUCGUAAUACUAAAUAAGUUUUCCUAUCGUAUCUUCAAUUGAAUUUCUUUUUUGUUUUGCCUCCAAAUUUAGGAUCCAGUAACAAGCAACUGGUGGGUGCAAUAUGGGGAGAGAAUUAACAUCGGUUACUGGCCGCCGGAGCUGUUUGUUUUAUUGAGCUACCAUGCAACAAGUGUUGAAUGGGGAGGUGAAGUUUAUAGCUCAAGAGUGGGAACUACGCCUCACACAAGAACAGAUAUGGGCAGUGGACACUUUGCUGAGUCAUCAGUUUGGGGGACUUCAGGCGUCAUAAAAAGAAUUCGAGUACAUGAGAAUUCACCUGGGCUGAAAUUCCCUGAUAUAGUUAAUACUUUGAUGGAUGAGUUCAACUGUUAUGAUGUCAAGUAUCUUUCGGAUUAUGUUGAAGAUCCUGAGUUCUAUUAUGGAGGGCCUGGUAGAAAUUAUAUGUGCCCUUAAGCUUAUGUUAACUUUGCUAGGACUUGUUUAAGACCCCAUUAGAAUGGGUAAUUAUGUUGUUUUAAACUUUCAUUAGUUAUUUUUUCAAUAUCAAACUCUGUAAACCCCAUCUUAUUUCUCAAAAUGACAUAGUUUUAGACAUAGACACGAUACAAGCACUAAAAACACAAGUGGAUAAUCCUAUUUCGUCCCCAAAAGGAAAAGCCUUAGAGAGUGGAAAUCUCCUAAUAAAUUGGUAAAAAUUAGGCAUAUUAAUUUUAAUUUCUAUCCAGAGGUUGCGCAAUAUUUGAAUUCAGAUUUAGAGGGAAGUGAAGUUUUUGGUGUAUAGGCAUCGAUUGUGUGUUACACUAACAUAACAUGUAUAACUUUGCACAAACGACUUGGAAUUUCAUUUUUUAUAUAUAUAAUAAUCGAGAAAAAUAUUUGUCUCAUUUCUUAAAAUGAGUCAUUCCUCCUUACAUGCAAAUUACAAUUUGACAUGAUCUACACGUGUUAGGUUGACUCGUUUAAUUCUACUAUUGACACGUAGCAUUAUCUCCUAAUAACAUAGAAAUUUAACAAUCAUACUGUAGAAAUUUAACAAUCAGUUCAUACUGUAGAAACCAAGCCAUACUGUAGAAAUUUAACGAUCAGUUCUUCUUUGGCUAAAGAUUUAUGUAGCUGGGUUUACCAAGGUUAAGGACACACUUGUCCAAAUAUUCAACAGCUACCAUUUUGAAUUUAACACUUGGCAAUUCAAAUAUAGAAUAAAAAUGUGAAAUUUGCAUGAUUUGGAAGGUGAAUCAUGCAAAUUUUGCAGUAUAUGUAGUUUGCAGAAGAUAUGUAUGCUGCACAUUGUGGGUGGCAUUGUCCUUAAAUAACCUAAGCUUAACUUAGAUUCUGAAAGCAAGAUAAUCAGUUUCCAUUUUAUGAUUUUGGGUAUUUAAAUUACCUGAGAUUUAGUAUAUAAUCAAACAAAUGGGGAAAGGGUUGUGUAGUGGUGAAGUGAUUAGAUUAAGGGGGAUGAAGAUGAUGGUAAUUAUGUUGGGAGUGACAGUGACUCUAAUUAGAUUUGGGGUGCUUGUAGAGGGUGAUUUGUUCUCUAAACAAAAGAUUUUGGAAGUUGAAAGAAAAUUAACCCAACUUAGAAGACCUGCAGUUAAAACCAUUCAGGUUUGAAUUGUCCAGAAUGAGCCCUCCACACAUAAGUUUUUUUAUUAUUGUAUUCAUUCUCAGCUCAAAUGAUUGUUUGCAGAGUGAGGAUGGUGAUAUCAUUGAUUGCAUUGACAUUUACAAGCAGCCAGCUUUUGGUCAUCCUGCUCUCAGAAACCACACCAUCCAGGUCUGCCUUUCUGUUGUUCUAGCUGAAAGUAAAAAAAAGAAAAGAUUUACUCUGCAACUUCAAUCUUUUUACUACCAUAUAACAAGUGGUUUGAGUCUUUUUUUAGAUGGCACCUACAUAUGAUGCAACAAAGGAGACAAAGACAAUGGGAAAAAUGGACAGAUGGAAGAAGAGGAAUGAAGAACAAUCUCCCACUACAGUGAAGCAGACAUGGCACAAAAGUGGAAGCUGUCCUCAGGGAACAAUCCCGGUCCGAAGAAUCCGGAAAAAGGAGCUUCUGAGAGCCAGCUCGGUUAAGGACCAUGGAAGAAAGAAGCACAGUUCUACCCUGUCUCGUCAUGUUUCAGAGUUCAGUGACAACAAAACUGUGAACCUUCAACGAGCAAACCACUCGGUACACCAAUUCUCCACACACACAUUUUUUAAUUAAUUGGUAAAUUAACUACAACUAUACAUCUAAUGGAGAGGGGUUUUUUUGUUUUUUGGUUUUUGUGUUUGUGUAAUUUGUGAUGGCCUCAGAAGGCAAUAUUGUUUACAGAUGGGUAUAGAUAUAAUGGAGCCAAAGGAGACAUCAAAGUUUAUAACCCUGCUGUUGAGCUUGAUGAUGAAUAUAGUACUUCUCAAGUUUGUCUCAUAAAUGGUGCUUAUUAUGACUUUGAGAGUGUUGAAUCUGGAUGGGCGGUAUAUAUAUUAAAAUUAAUAAACCUUUUCACUUUCAUCUUGAAGCUACUUACUUCUGUUACAUUUUAAGUUCACGGCAUUACUUUUUAGUCUGAAAAAAUGCUCUGAAUCCCUUCAGGUAAAUCCCAGCGUAUACGGGGACAGACAGACUCGAUUUUUCGUAUACUGGACUGUAAGCUGGCAUGAAUCAUAAAUUAGUUUUCAUAUGAGUAAUUCCACUAGAUUUGAUAUGAUUUCUGAUGUUCCUGCAGGUUGAUGGUUCAAAGAAAACUGGUUGCUUUGAUCUCACUUGUCCUGGAUUUGUUCAGACUAGCCAUGAAAUUGCUCUUGGUGCAGCCAUCUAUCCAAUCUCUGUUCCUAAUGGGCUUCCAUAUCAAAUAAUAGUCUACAUCUACAAGGUCAGGUCAAUAAUUUAACAACAUAACGUACCUAACCGAUAGUUUAGCAACAUAACAUGUCAACAUUACUACUUGUAACACGAUAAUAGGUUUUCUUCUCGUAUCUUCGAUUGAAUUUCUUUCUGUUUUUGUCUCCAAAUAUAGGAUCCGGUAACAAGCAAUUGGUGGGUGCAAUAUGGGGAGAAAAUUAACGUCGGUUAUUGGCCGCCGGAGCUGUUUGUUGCACUGAGCUACCAUGCAACGAGUGCUGAAUGGGGAGGUGAAGUUUAUAGCUCAAGAGUGGGAACAACUCCUCACACAAAAACAGAUAUGGGCAGUGGACACUUUGCUGAUUCUGUUUGGGGGACUUCAGGCGCCAUAAGAAGAAUCCGAAUACAUGAGAAUUCACCUGGGCUGAAAUUCCCUGAUAUAGUUACUACUUUGAUGGAUGAGUUCAACUGUUAUAAUGUUAGGUAUCUGUCAGAUUAUGUUGAAGAUCCUGAGUUCUAUUAUGGAGGGCCUGGCAGAAAUUAUAUGUGCCCUUAAGCUUAGCUUAGCUUUGCUAGGACUUGUUUAAGACCCAUUAGAAUGGGUAAUUAUGUCGUUUUAAACUUUCAUUUAUUUUUCCAAUAUAAACUAUAAAAACCCAAAACUCUUAUCCUCAAAAUAACGUAGUUUUGGACAUAAACACCAAAAACACAGAUGAUUCUAUUUGUGAGAAUGUGAAGGUAAAGAGUCCCACAUUGGAAAGUUGAGAAACCUAGCAAGGGCUUAUAAGGAGUUGGGUUACUCCCCCCAUUGCCAAUUGGUUUUGGGGUAGAACCUCAACUUCCUUCAUGGUAUCAGAGCAAGGCUUCACAUGUUGAGCCCAACAGCCACACGUGCUCCCACGUCACCCAAUAUGUGUUGUCCACGUGUUAGGCUUGAAAGUUCGCCACACGUGCGGGGGCGUGUUGAGAGUGUUUGUCCCACAUUGAAAUGUUAAGGGACCUAGCCUGGGUUUAUAAGGAGUUGGGCAACUCCCCCCAUUGCCAAUUGGUUUUGGGGUGGAACCUCAACUUCCUUCAUGGUAUCAGAGCAAGGCUUCACGUGUUGGGCCCAACGGCCACACGUGCUCCCACGUCACCCAAUAUGUGUUGUCCACGUGUUAGGCUUGAAAGUUCGCCACACGUGCGGGGGCGUGUUGAGAGUGUCACGUGCUCCACGUCACCCAAAAUGUGUUGUCCACGUGUUAGGCUUGAAAAUUCGCCACACGUGCGGGGACGUGUGAGAAUGUGAAGGUAAAGAGUCCCACAUUGGAAAGUUGAGAAACCUAGCAAGGGCUUAUAAGGAGUUGGGUUACUCCCCCCAUUGCCAAUUGGUUUUGGGGUGGAACCUCAACUUCCUUCACUAUUUCAUCCCAAAAAAGAAAAGCCUUAUGGAGUGGAAAUCUCCUCAUUAAUUGGUAAAAUUUUGCGUUAGUUACUUACCAUCUUCAAUUUGACCGAAGUUCUAUCCAAAGGUUGCACAAUAUUUGAAUUUAGAUUUAGAGAGAAGUGACGUUUUUGGUGUAUUGGCGUCGAUUAUGUAUACAUUAACAAGUUCAAUUUUGCACAAAGGACUUGGAAUUUUUUUAUUUUUUUUAUAAAUAAUAAAUCAAGAAAAAUAUUUGGUUCCUUGUUAAAAAUGAGUCAUUCAUUUUCAGAAUGCAAAUUAAUUUGACAUGAGUGUAAAUUUUUUAACAUGCUUUUAAUAAGUUAUUUAUGUAUAAGUGUUAAGUUGCGAUUUGAAUGUAAGGAGAAACGACUCAGUUAGUUCUAUAAAUCAAACUAGAAGAAACACAUACACAUCCGUGUGUAAUUUGCUAAUUUGUAAUACCGGUUGCAAAGAGAAAGUAGGUAUGGUGGAAGCCUUAAAAGUCCCCCAAUACAUUGUAUAGCCGUGCGGCUCUACUUUUAAAAUUUUCUAUUUAUAAAGUAUAGCCGGCUAUACCCUAAAAACGCCGUGAAAGCAAAUUCUUUCUUUAUAUAUACUAGCCUCUCUACACGCGCUUCCGCGCAUGCGAGAGGUUUUUUUAAAAAAAAUUUUAAAUUUAUUUUAGAAUUAAAAAAGAUAAUAGAUAUUUGUGUUCCAUAAAAAUAGGAUCCAUUAUCUGAAUUUUCUUUUUUUUUUAAUUUUUUUAAUGCGAAAAAUUGUGAAUUUACCAUAUUAUCCUCAUUUAAUUAAUAAUUUCAAUUCUUAAUGUUUGCAUUAACCAAGGGUAUUUUCUGGUAUUUUGAAUGUUUCACCAUUCUCUGCCUUUUGCUUUAUAUAUAUAGAUAGAUAUAUACAUUACCGCCCAAUAGAUUUGUAAUUCAAAGCCGUGCGGCUAUACUAUUUUUUAUAAUAACAACCAUAGUAUAGCCGACCGGCUAUACCCUUUUUAUUAUAUAAAAAAAAUCCGAGUAUAAGUACCAUUUUUAAAAGAGGACCCACUGGAGCCUAGCGCCCCCUUUUGCCAUGUGUCAAAAAUAGUACAGCCGAGCGGCUAUACGCAAUUAAUUAUAAAAAAAUAAGUGUAGCCGAGCGGCUAUACUAUUUAUAAUAAAAAAGGGCCACCGCUUAACGAGCAUGGCCAAAGUAUAGCCGCGCGGCUAUACUCUAUAAAUAUAAUAUUCUGAAGGUAUAGCCGGUUGGCUAGACUCAUACUCGUUUGCCCGUAAUUUGUUUUUAAAAAGUAUAGCCGACCGGCUGGACUCGGCAUUUUCUUAAUUGUUUUUUAAAAAUAGUAUAGCCGAGCGGCUAUACCCGGGUUUUUAAUUUUAUUUUAGGGUUCAGGGUUUAGGGCGGCUAUACUCGUUUUCCCCUAAUUUUUUUAAGAAAUAGUAAAGCCGAGGGAAGGAAUCAAGCCAUAUUGUAGAAAUUUAACAAUCAUUAAUUCAUUGGCUAAAGAUUUGUGUAGCUAGGUUUAACCAAUUCUAAGGAAUUGUUUAAAUAUUCAACAGGAUACCAUCUUGAAUUUAACAUGUGACAAUUCAAAUAUUGAAUAAAAAUGUGAAAGUUGCAUGAUUGGAAGGUGAAUCAUGCAAAUUUUGCAGAUAUAUAUAGUUAUCAGAAAAUAUAUAUAGGUUUAGGAAGAUAACCCAAGCUCAUCUUAGAUUCUGAAAGGAAGAUGAACAAUCUCCAUUUUAUAAUUUUGGGUAUUUGAAUUACCUGAGAUUUAGUACAUAUCAGACAGAGUUUAGUUAACAAAAAAUGGGGAAAGGGUUGUCUGGUGGUGAAGUGAUUAGAUUAAGGGGGAUGAUGGUAAUUAUGGUGGGAGUGACAGUGACUCUAAUUAGAUGUGGGGUGCUUGUGGAGGGCAAUGUGUUCUCUAAACAGAAGAUUCUGGAAGUUGAAAGAAAAUUAACCCAACUUAGAAGGCCUGCAGUUAAAACCAUUCAGGUUUGAAUUGUCCAGAACUUGACAUAAGUUUUCUUCUCAUUGUAUUCAUUUAAUCAGCUCAUAUGAUUGCUUGUAGAGUGAGGAUGGUGAUAUCAUUGAUUGCAUUGACAUUUACAAGCAGCCAGCUUUUGACCAUCCUGCUCUCAGAAACCACACCAUCCAGGUCUCCCUUGUAUAAGUUCUAGUUGAAAGUAAACACAUUUUUCUUCUCUGUGACAUUAUAUAUUUACUGAUAAUCUAACAAAUGCUUUGAGUCUUUUUUCAGAUGGCACCAACAUAUGAUCUGACGAAGGAGACAAAGACAAUGACAAAAAUGGAUAGAUUGAAGAAAAGGAGUGAACAAUCUUCCGUGACAGCAAAGCAAACAUGGAAGAAAAGUGGAAGCUGUCCUCAAGGAACGAUCCCAGUCCGAAGAACUCGAAAAAAGGACCUGCUUAGAGCUAGCUCAGUUAAGGACUAUGGAAGAAAGAAGCACAGUACCCUGUCUCGUCAUGUUGCAGAGCCUAGUGACAACAAAUCUGUCUACCUUCUACGAGCAAACCACUCGGUACAUUAACUUCCCAUUUUCACAUUUUUAAUUGAUAAAUUAAUCACAUCUCAUGAAGAGGGGUUUUUUUUUUGUUGGUAAUUUGUGAUGUCCUCAGAAGGCAAUAUUGCUUACAGAAGGGUACAGUUAUACUGGAGCCAAAGGAGACAUAAAAGUUUGUGCCCCUUCUGUUGAGCUUGAUGAUGAAUAUACUACUUCUCAAGUUUGUCUCAUAAACGGUCCAAGUUUUGCCUUUGAGAGUGUUGAAUCUGGAUGGGCGGUAUAUUAACAUAAACCCUUUCACUUUCAUCUUGAUGCUACUUACUUCUGUUACAUUCUAUGUUCAUGGCAUAACUUUUAGUCCGAAAAAUUACUUGGAAUCCCUCUUUAGGUAAAUCCAAGCGUCUAUGGGGACAGAAAUACUCGAUUUUUCUUAUACUGGACUGUAAGUUGACGUGUUUCAUGACUUAGUUUUCAUGUGAGUAAUUCCACUAGACUUGAUGUGAUUUCUGAUGUUCCUGCAGGCUGAUGGUUCAAAGAAAACUGGUUGCUUUGAUCUUACCUGUCCUGGAUUUGUUCAGACUAGCCAUGAAAUUGCUCUUGGUGCAGCAAUUUAUCCAAUCUCUGCUCCUGAUGGGCUUCCAUAUGAGAUAAUUGUCUACAUCUUCAAGGUCAGCUCAACAGUUUAGUAACAUAACAUGUACAGUUUAGCAACAUAUAUAUCUGAUAUCUGAAAAAGACAAUGUAAUAUUAAGUGUUCUUCUCAUAUCUUCGAUUGAGUUUCUUUUUUAUUUGCUUCCAAAUUUAGGAUCCAGUAACAAGCAAUUGGUGGGUGCAAUACGGGGAGAGAAUUAACAUCGGUUAUUGGCCUCCGGAGCUGUUUUUUGCAUUGAGCUAUCAUGCAACAGGUGUUGAAUGGGGAGGUGAAGUCUAUAGCUCAAGAGUUGGAACUACUCCCCACACAAAAACAGAUAUGGGGAAUGGACGCUUUGCUAGUACUGCGGGAUUUUCAGGUGUCAUAACAAGAAUGAGAAUACAUGACAAUUCACCUGCACUGAAAAUCCCUGAAUGGGCUGAGACUUACAUGGACGAGUUCAAUUGCUAUGAUGCUAUCUAUGUUGAAGACUACGUUGAAGAUCCUGAGUUCUAUUAUGGAGGGCCUGGUAGAAAUUAUAAGUGCCCUUAAACUUAGCUUAGCUAGGAAUUGUUUAAGACAACACAAGUCGAUAAUACAAUUUCGUCCCGAAAGGGAGAACAUUUCCAAUUAUCAAUGUUUACCAAAAUGGCAUAUCAGCUUAAUUUCCAGGUUUCCAAAUGAGGUUUUUUUCUUGGUAGGUAACAUGGAAUCUGUGUUUGUAUGUAGUCGGUAUAGCAUAUCUUAGAAGAAAGUGAGACAGAAAGGUAACAGAGAUGUUAAGCAAAUGUCCACGAUUCACAAUAUGUGACUCUCUAAAUUAAAUGAAGGGACAAAAUGCUGCUAAUGGGAACAUCUUAAUUCACUGGAUAAAGAUAAAACCCGUUUUCUGUACAUGCAAUUAUGUCCAAAUAUUGCACCAAGACAAGAGUACUUAUUAUGUUUCUAUAUUUAAGAGAGGCGUGCAUGAACUGCACAUUUGACAUGUGGAUGAAGCCGCGAGGACUUGCAUCAUAUAUAUAAUAACACAUUAUCUUCUUUCUUUUCAACCAGACAUGCCUUCAUUUGGUUUCUCAAAGGUUAAUUUUACCACCUAAUUAUCCUGUUAAUUUUAUCUAUAGCUUGAUUGUAUCUCUCUGUGUGUACAAGAGUGUAAGUGAGACACAAAAAGAGAUUGAAGAUGGGGAAGAAGAGGGCUUUAAUGUUCUCGUUAGCAUUGGGAUUGUUUGUUUUUUGUGUUAGUGCAGCAGAACAUCACCAUGUGAAGGCUAAAACUAAACGAAUUUCUUUGGAAGUUCAUAAGAAGUUGAAGCUUUUGAAUAAGCGUGGCGUGAAGACUAUCAAGGUCUGAUUUUCUGCCAUUUUUAUUAGCUUUCUGACUAAUCACACUUUCACAGAAUUUUAUCUAUAUCAGAUCUGUUAUACAAUUUUCUUUCAGCAGUCUUCUCCAUUUCAAAAUUUAGCUCAACCCUUUGUGCUAUUGCCUCUGCUGUCUUAAAUUUCACAAUUUCUUCUUUGUUGUGCUACUGCUAUGACUUGGUAAGCUCAGAGGACUGACUGUAUGUUUUACCACUUGAUUAUUUGAUUUCUUGCAGAGUGAGGAUGGAGAUAUCAUUGACUGUGUUGACAUCUACAAACAGCCUGCUUUUGAUCAUCCGGCAUUGCGCAACCACAAAAUUCAGGUCGACUUUUAAACCUUUGUACAUUUGGAGAAUGUAUGAAACAAAAAAUAAAACAUUCUCCAAGUUUUAAAAACGUUUUAAAAACAAUCUCCAAGUUUUAAAAACGUUUUAAAAACAAUCAUGUUUUCUUCCAAAUGUUGAUAUAGUUGGUGUAUAAUAUUGCAGAUGAGACCCAGUAAUCAUGUACAAAAUGAUCAUAAUUCUUCUCAGCUGGUAUCUCAAAUUUGGCAAAGGAGCGGAAGCUGUCCAGACGGAACCAUUCCCAUUCGGAGAAUUCGAAAGCAAGAUUUAUUGAGAGCUACUUCACUUGAAAACUUUGGGAAGAAAAUGCCAGUGCAUUCUUCCUACUCCCCCACAGAUGACAAGGGCACUGUGUACAUCAACAGCACCCGAGUCGAACUCGGGCCUCAAGUCAAUCGUUCAGUAAGCAAACAUCGUGAAGAUUUAAUUAACAAAGUUUACUUUGAUCCUUGUCUAACUUGUGCAAAACUGUGUUUGCUAGGCUGCUAUCCUGUUAACUACUGGAUACAAUUACAUAGGUGCUCAAGGAGAUAUAAAUAUUUGGACUCCAAGAGUUGAAUCACCAGAUGAGUUCACUACUGCUCAAAUCUGGCUUAAGAAUGGACCUGGAGAGGCUUUUGAAAGUGUAGAAUCAGGCUGGGUGGUAAGUAGUAUAUUAUGGUAACUUCAUUUGGAAAAUAUUACUUUUCAACUAUCAGUUCCUCAAAAUCACUCCAUAUAUGUGUAUAUAACUGCUACUCUUUUUUGCUCCUCUUCGUUUGGCUUUGGACAGGUAAACCCAAAGGUAUAUGGUAAUGGAGCAACUCGACUUUUUGUAUAUUGGACUGUAAGUACUUCAUUACAAAAUGAUCAAAAGAACAGGAAAAUGUAGCAUAUAUUAUGUUUGCUCCAUCUGAAAUGUGCCUGCACUUAAUUCUUCUUUUUUUUUUUGGGUUUUUUCAGAAGGACUCAUACAAAUCAUCAGGCUGCUUUGAUCUCACCUGCCCAGGAUUUGUGCAAACCAACAAAGACAUAGCCCUUGGUAUGGUCCUUGGACCUGUAUCAUCUAAAAUGGGACCCCAAUAUCAAACCACCUUCAGCAUCACCAAGGUUUGAAAAUCUUAAUCACUUUUCGUGCAUUCAAAUCAUUUCCAUUGUUAGUCAACGGGAUUUAGCCCAGUGAAAAGGGCUUUGACUUGCAAACCAGUGGUCUCAAGUUCGAAUCCCCAUGGCACAUUGACAGUUGCAUGUGCGAGAAAAACCCAUCCCCUUCCUAAAUUUGACGCACAAAAAAUACAUUUCCAUUGUUGAACAAAAAUGUGAUGGUUUAAAACAUACGUUGUAGGAACCAAGCACAGGAAAUUGGUGGGUGCGUAUUGGCCAAAACGUUCCUGUGGGAUAUUUUCCUGGAGAGCUCUUCUAUUAUUUGACACGCGGUGCUGCAACAUUAGUUGAAUGGGGAGGAGAAGUGUUUAGCUCCAAGGUGAAGCAAAAUCAUCCACACACUGCAACAGGGAUGGGAAGUGGAGAUUUUGCAUCGGGCAAAUUGGGCAAUGCAUGCUAUGUGAAGCAAGUUAGGAUUAUAGAUUAUUCAAAGCAAUUGAAGUACCCAGAAUGGGUAGGCACUUAUUCAGAUGAAGAGUAUUGCUACUCUGCAUUGAACUACGCUCUGUCACUUGCUCAAGAACCUGUGUUCUACUUCGGCGGACCGGGUCGAAAUCCUCCUUAUUGUCCCUAAGUUGUUCAUAAUCUCAAAUGAGGACGCUUAAUUUCCAUAGUUUUUUCUUGAAAUAAUGUCCAAAUAUAUGAUGGCUUGAGCCAAUGUAGCAAGACUAUUUUAUAUUUGAAGCCUAUUGUUAUUGAUUUAUAUGUGAUCAGAAAUGGACUUAUAAUUUUGGUCCCAUUGUCUGCGAUCCUCUUGCAUUGCUCACUGGUUGUGCUUUCACAGAGAUACAUCUACAUAUAUGAGCAUAUAAAAGCCAAAUUACAAGAGAUUUAUCAACAUAAUUGGUCUAAUAGCCCUAUUAACUUUAUUGGCCUCCUCACAUUCUGAGGUUUCGAAUGAUUAGGUUUUUUUUUUCUUUCUUAUUUUAAAUUUGGUGAAUAAUUAAAAUGGAUUUUGAGUUUGGUAAUUAAGGUGAUCACUUGUUCAGUAUUGACAAAGCUUGGAUCGAAAGUAACAUAAAAGGACGGUACAAUUUCUGGAACUUGAUUUUCACUUUUUAGCUUGAACUUCCAGACAACAAUAUCAGAUAUUCAAAAAUGGACAAUUACUCCUAUUACCCAAAUAGUUGCUACCUAUGCCCAAUAACACAAUACAUGAGGGGAAAUAUCGCAUAUUCAGAUUACACUGCUCAGGUUGUGGUAUUCCAGAGGUAUACAAGAUAUACAUAUACGAAGAAUAUACAAUCACAAGAUCAAGAAAUAAGGAAAACCCCAUUACAGAAUAUCAUACCAAAAUGGCCAGGCCACACCAACUUCGAUGAGACCAAUAUCAUUUGCAAGCCAAUGAGAGAAAAUCAGCUAGAUCGAAUCAUGCUGUUUUCUCUCUUCUUGUAUAGAUUGGAAAAUACGAGCAGCUGAUGCAGUUGCAGUUCUUGGAUUGUGUGGCACAACUCUAAUCGCUCGUGUUGGCUGGCCUGAAUCAUGAGGUUGGGCAACUCCUUCUGGAAUUACCGGAGCCAUUGGAAAAAGUUGAAGAGCAUCACUUCCUUCAGCAUUUUGAUCUGUCCCCAAUCGUGCUGUGUCACCUGGACUAUUUGCAGUACUUCCUUGUAGCUCACUGUCGUUAGAUGCCUGAAACAUCAUGGCAUGAGGAAUAGCUCCACUUUUCUGGGAUGGCAUAUUGCAUGAGCUUUGAUGCUGCACAUUAGAGUUUGUUCCCCCUCCUGAUAACUGAUCGAUUUGACCAUGUGAACCAGGUCCGGCAAACCAAUGCAUUUGUUCAAUGCCUGAGCUUGGCAUGGCUGGAUUCAUAACGGACAUGCCAUAUGGAGGAAAGUAAGUAUGGCCUAAUGGAGGAGGGGCAGGAAGAACCCCCGUCCCUUGAUGAUGAUGAGAAGCUGGAACCCCAUAGUUUGGCUUAACAAAGUUACCCGUCAUGGGAGUUGAGUUGAAAGGUCCACAUCCUCCACAAACUGGUCCCAUAAAUCCAGGUCCAUGAUAUGGCUUAUAUACAAGUCCUUCAGAGGGAGACAUUACAGGAAUUAACAACUGGUGUCCAGGUGAUUGAUGGAAACACCAAGGACUGGCUUUAUUAUCAGUACCGACAGGUGUUGGCUGUGGGUUCCCUACAUAUGGCCCAUAAUUUGAAGUCUGACUACCAUUUUUCACAGAAGAAAGAGAUGUUUUCCCAACUGCAUUUUCUGCGGAACAUUCAAUUUUGUUGUUUGGCUUCUCAGGUUCAUGUUUGCGCUUUACAACACGUAGUAGUGGCUUUACAACAUACUCUGAUGAAAGUUUCUUUGCAGGAGAACCCCUUAAAGAAGAUGUGCCUAGGAAAGCAGUAUCUUCAAGCAAAAGAUUAGGAGACCCAGCAAUCAGUCGUUGGACCUGUUGAAAACAACUAGAAAGUUAAAAAUCUACCCUCCUGUAGUCCUUUUGGGGUUCAAAUAGCAUCAUUUAUUCUGUGUUUAUAUAUACAUUUUUUUUUUUGGGACUAUAUACACAUAUAUGUUUAUUUGCAUCUCAUAAUUGCAUUCCAAGAGAAGCAGAAUUACAGGGUCAGAGACUAUGUUAUAGUCUUACCUUAAUGAGCCUAUGCAACUCAAAUACUUGCACUGCAAACAAUCUUUGCUGACUGUAGAAAGUAACAGGGGUUGGAUCAAAAACAUAAUUAUACAACAUAUACCAAAUCAUAUGAAACUUGGCAAAACACAAAACCGAAACCAAUACAAGGAAAAAAAAAGAACUGAACAGAAAUGAAGGAUCAGGCACUUGAAAGAAUCAUUUAUACCAAAACAAUCCUUACUGUGUAAUAUAUUCCAUAUAAAACUCACAUUAUGUAAGAGAUAACAGCCAAAGGACUAGGUGCUUUAAUCACAAAAUAUCUGCUUACCCCAUGAAAAGCACCAUAGCCUAUUAACUCCACAUGACCACACCCCCAAGCUAAUCCUUAGACUUGAUAUUGAUCAGGAGUGCAGGCAAAUAUGACAUUUACCAAACAUGGGAAGAAAACAUCUUAAGGAUGGAUUCAGAAAAUUGCACAUCAGAAAAUAGUUAUAAACAAUGAGGCACAGAUCAGUAAAAUAAUAACAAAAAAUAAUAAUAAUAAUAAUAAUAGUGAAUACAAUAAAAAGGAAAGCUAAAUGCUAAAAACACUAUCUUCAGAGCAAUAAAAACGAAAGCUAAAUGCUAAAACAGAUUCGAAAACAUAGCAACUAUCUGCAAUAUAAAUCAAGAUGUCUGCAAAUCUCCUUUAUUUCACAUAAUUAGAGCUCCAAAUAUGUAAUAUUCAAUCAAAACCAUAUAAGAACUAUACAUUCAGUUGUAUGGAUGUCAUAAAUGAUCCUCGUUACAACAAAGUCGGACAGCAAGCGCAUAAUAGAGCUUUCUAAUUCACAUGUAAAUACUUACAGCUCUUUUCUUAUAGUACAGAAAGAAAGAAAAUACAAAACCUUCAAUAACGAAAAAAGAAUAUGUAAUGAUGAGAAGAAGCCAUAUAUAGGGGAAAUCUCAUAUUCUAUAAAGCAUAUAAAAAGAGUACGCAACCCCAACCCAACAAAAUCUUCCAACACAGGACAUCAAAGCACUACAUAAGAGAUGUAAUCCUCCUCACCACCAUGUCCACCACCAAUUCCACAAUGUCAAAUAUAGUCCAAGAUCCACAAAAUGUAGUCCCAAGGAUAAUCCUUCAUCACUUGUUCCCCUCCUUGCUCCCAGCCCUCAAGUGCCAUGAAGGGAAAAUUUUCCCAGUGGCCAAAAAACCAAAGCAUUACGAAACCGAGACAGGAAUACACCCAAAAGGCAGAUACAAAAGGGCAAUGAAUAAUGAGAUGAUCCGCUGUCUCGGAGGUCGCGUUGCACAAGAUAACUCUAUUAAGAUGUAUGUUUCCCUGCUUUAAGAUGAUCCAUAUCCACUGUUAAAAUGUUAUCGAGGGCCUUUUAACAAAAAGAAAUUCCACUUUAGAAGGGAUCCAGGGACUCUGCACUAUGAAAUAUCACCUCCCUCAAAGUCGCAUUUAAACAAAAUUCAGUCUAUAGUCCUAGUUGUUAUAUUUGAUGGUGUAAACGCUUAUGAAACAAAAAAUCCAAAGUACAAGUGUGGAAAUAUUAAAUAAAACAGAGGUAUUAUGAGACCAAAAUGCUUCACAAGGACAGCAAAACAUGUACUAUAUUUGGAAAAGGGUAAACUUCAAAUUAAGCACAAAGUAACAACUGAAUUGGAGCAGCUAUUGGAGAAAAUAGAGACUUACUUGACGAUUGCUUUUCUUGCCUUCCAGAAAUGUUUCUGACCUAUUAUUCCUACAACGUCAUCGGGAGAGAUAUCCAAGCCAGAUAUAGAAUCCACCAUGGAGGUCUCUGAGACAUCAUCACUUUUGUCUACAUGUCCCAUUUGAGGUGAAAUACACGUUCUAUCUCCACGGUAUUCACUGUCAUUAUCAAGCUCAUUGGGACCACCAGGAUCCUCCCCAGAAUAAGACAGACUUCUUUCCUGGAAAACAGCUCCCUUCUCUACAUCUCUUGUACACUCAACAAGACCAUCACCUUGCCCAGUGAUGUUUGGCUGUGAUCCAGAUCUAGACUCUUGUUGUAAGCAAGCAUCACUCUCAGAUAACCUGCUGAAUCUAGGAACAGGAUAGUCUGCAUACUCUUGAUUUGGAGAUGCACUUACUUCUUCUGCAGGCCCAUCAAUCUUUUGUCUAGUUGAUAUUUUUGUGGCAGAUUUUGCUGAAUGGUCCCUAACCGGGCCACUUACUUUUAUUAGAUCCUCUUCUCUUUCACUUCUCAAUUCUCGUCUCAAAUUGAGAGUAGUUGGGGAGCUUAAUUGUUUUGGAUCCUUCUUGCCCGUAUUUUUUAGUUUCACUGUAUGGCCAGAAUGAGAUGGGCCGAUUGGAGCAAGUUUUUCCUUAUCAAUACCAAUUUGAGUUUUACUAUGACAAAGACCCAUCCUUGAUUGAACAAAUACAGGCACCCUAAAAUCAUCCUCCUCUCCGACUUUCUUUCUUUGGUCGGGUUGUGUCAAGGGCGUGUUCUCAUUUGCUCCAUCAGAUUGACGAGCAUGAAACAUCUCAGCCUGACGACUAGGUGUAGAUGGAUGAACAUGAAGCGGAACAGGCAAAUUUCCUUCAGAACGACUUCCCUGAAAACAUAAAUUGCUCCAGAAAAAUCAGAUAUGAAAUAACCAAUUUUCCCUAUAGAAGCUUCCAAUACUAUUUCUGAAAACACUAUUGAUUUUCCCUUCUUAAAGUGCAGAUAUAGCAAUAUUGGUUAUAUUGGCAUUUUCUUUUCUGGACUGAACUAUAUUGGCAAUAAAACACAACACAUGUACAUAGUAGCAUGCAAAACUACUGGAUAUAGCAUAAAACAGAAUUUGUAGUUAGCUACUACAAAAACAGAAAACAAACCUAGUGAAAUCCAUAACCUAACUAAAGCUUAAAAGGAUAACACUUCAAAACUAAUCCUCAGUAAACCUUAAACGAGAAAGCUAGGCACAAAUUAUGAGUUUACCUGGCUCGAGAAAGCUGAGGGAACCACACUGCUAGUGUUAUUUGGAUUAAGAGGCAUCACCACAGGGUUGAACCUCUGAGAAGGGAUACUGAGCUGUUCAUAGAGCGCCAUCUUAUUCCUUGGAGGUGCUCUUGGCCCUCCUUUAUCUGCAUCAUUCACAUGGAGUCUUGGGAACAUAGGUCCCAUAACCUUUUCUUCGUUCCCUCUCUUCAUUUUCAACACCAACACCAAGUCCAAAAAUCUAUUCUUAUAUUAAAUUCCCAAAACCACCCUCAAAAACUCAAACUUGUUCAAACCCAUGCACCAAAAACAUCUCUUUUGUUGAAAUUGUGCUCGCUAAAACGAGAAUACCAAAAGGGAUCUAACAAAAUCCCAGCUAGCUAAAAGCCUUCUCCUUUCUCAUAAUAGAUCAAAUUCCAGAAAACCCAGAAGCAGACCAGGCUUCUAAAACCUGAACCGACAUAAACAGACUCAGCUUAUCACACCCGAAAAAACCAAGCUCCAAAUUAGGCAAGACCCAGAUGUCAAACACCAAAAGUAAACAGAUUCCCUUUGAAAAAACGAGAGAUUUCUUCACAACCCAGCUGGGAAAAAAGGGUACUUGAGAACUGAAACUGAUGGAGGAACGAACUAAAAGCGUGAAUUGUGGAAAAGAAGGGAUAGGAAUAAAAGAAGAGCCAAGAAAGAGAUUGGGAGUUGAGGGCUGAGAAAGGCUAAGGCUUAUUUUAGGGAUUCCGCAAAGGGAUCGUCUUCUUAGAAAAAGGAAAAGUGAAAAGUGCGGGGGUUGGUUGGGCCCUUGUUUGGGAUAGACCCAGAAGAAGACUAGAACCUCCUCUUAAGAAUAGAAAAAGACCAUAUGUUGCCAUUGCCAACUUGGAAUUAUCUUUUUCUCAAGACUACUCCUUCUGGUAUAAUAUAUUUUUGUCUGAACCAUGAUUAACUCUUUUUUUAACUACUUUAUCUGAACAUAAUUCAACUCAACGAGACGGAUGAGGCCAUUUUAGUUGAGAUCAUAGGAAAAUUGAAUAUACAUGGUACAAACCCAAUUACCUAUGGUAUUUUAUUCUCAAUUCUGAUAAGUGUCUAAUAUUCAUAUUUUUUAUCUCGGUCGCAUAUGAGUUACAUUCGAGUAAGUGAUGUAUGUGCAUGAUUAUAAGUCUUUUUAUUUAUGCAGACGUAUGAUUAUAAGUAAUUGAUGAAAUGAGUCUCACAAUUCACUAAUGUCUAACGAGACACAUGCACAAUGCACAAACGACUGACGAUAACAUUCUCUUAUAUCCUCUCAUUCCUUUUUUCUUUUCUAUUUUGUUAUAAUCUCUAUCUUGCCCUCAAGAUUGGCCAUUUGGGUCAAUUUUGCACUUUUUGAUCCUAGGUGUAGCUGGAACAUAAGGGACACGUGUUAGUAACUUUUUUGGAGAGUGGGAUCUAAAUGGUGAACAGCUUGACAAGCAACACAAAAAGUUUGAUUCGGUAAAAUCUGCAGUCGUCACACACAACCAAAACUAUUUUUAUCUGAUUCCAUAAGCAUUAAACCCAAUACUUUUGCCUUUUAUAAACAUUAAACCCCACAUGAUUUUCUCAGAUAACAUGGACAAUAUCACAAAAUGGUAGUAUAGAAUAUAGAAAAUAUAGCACUUUAGACUAGUUUUGGGUUAGGGGGAAUGUGGUCCACUCCUACUACAAGUAUAGAAGUAUUCAUUUUUCUUUGUCAAACCAAAAAAAGUUUCAAUUUUUCUCAAUUGGUUUGUCGAAAAUGAAAUCGGGUCGGGUUAUCCCCACGGGCUGUCGGCUUUCUCAAACUAAAAAUAAAAAUAUAAUAAAAGAAAUGGACAUAAUAUUUGGUGAAGUGGAGAGAGAACCAGGGUUAGUUGGUUUCAGAGGCAAAAUUAGAUUGGCGUGGAUGGUCCGAUCACAUGGCCUCUUUACCUCCUCCAUAUCAGACACACCUUCCUCUAUCGCCUGACCCAGGUGGGUCCUUUCAAUCAGAUCCAAUUCACGAAAGUUUUCAUUUUUAUUACAAGUUUCGUGUGCCUUUGAUUUUAUGUUCCCUUCGGGGUUUGCUCAUUUGCUUGCUGGGAAAAAUGUGGGAAAGAAAAAAGUAUAUGCAAAAUGUUGAAUCUUUGAUGAUCGAUUUACAUAUAUGCGUGACCCCAAAUGAUUUUGAAGUGGGUUUAUGAAUUUGAACUAAAAAAUAUUUCCUUCUUUUUUUUUCUUUAAUUUUCUGGAGCACCCAUUAACCUGUAAAUUUGAGCUAUUUUGUGUGUAUUGCAGGUGAGAAACCCCUAAAUUCUGAACCCCAGUUGCCGCUGGUUCCUAUUCAUGUAGUCACUCGUGCAUCUCAGCUUCCUGCCGAGUUCCUGGAGCCAUCAGCUGAAAGGCAAUUGGUAAUUGGCUUUGAUUGUGAGGGAGUUGACUUGUGCCGUCAUGGAACACUCUGUAUCAUGCAGGUAUGUAGAGUUUUACUUACUCUGUACUCUUAUGAAUAUUUGUUCCACUUCAAAUUUCGUUCCAAUCAACCUCAUUUAGUAGAUGCGUGCCUAAUCCAAACAAGGACAUAUGGGUUGCUACUAAACUACCACAAACAAAAGAAUUAAUAAAAAAAGAAAAGCAGUUAUUUGCAUCCCAAAUUGGUUGUUGAUUGGUUUCUGAUUGAAUUUCAGCCAUUUGCUUGUAUUCCCUUGCAGCUAAAGAAAAUAACGAGAGUAUCUUACUUAUAGGUCUUCUUUAUUGUGAAUUUUCUGCUACUCAUAUCCCUGGUUCUCGUUCUUGUUUUCUUUCUGUCAGCUUGCAUUUCCAGAUGCUAUAUAUCUGGUUGAUGCCAUUCAGGGAGGGGCUAUGCUUAUCCAAGCCUGUAAGCCUGCACUUGAGUCUAGCUACAUCACCAAAGUUAUUCACGACUGCAAACGAGAUAGCGAGGUCUCUGAUUGGUUUUAUUUGCAUCCCAUCAUGUACCUUCUUGUAAUAUGACAUUUCAUUCCCAUGAUUGAAUUUUUUCCUAUUUUAUAGGCCUUGUAUUUUCAGUUUGGCAUCAAGUUGAACAAUGUUGUAGAUACUCAGGUGAGCAUCCUUUAGCACUGGCUUUAACUUUUCAAUGGAUUGUUUUUUUAAGAGAAACGUUGAUUUAUAAGAUAAUUUUGAAUUCUUUCAAUGGAUUGUUGUUUUAAGAGAAACGUAUAAUGGUAGUUAAAGAAGUAAUAUAAUUGAGAUGGAGAAAAUACUCAUAUGCUAAGUGAUUUGAAAUUUCCCUUUUGGUAUUCAGAUUGCCUAUUCGCUGAUAGAGGAACAAGAAGGGAGGAAAAGAUUGCUGGAUGAUUAUAUAUCAUUUGUGGGCCUCCUUGCUGAUCCACGCUAUUGUGGUAUUAUAUAUUUCGUGGUAUCCAUUUGAAGUUUCUGUUUCUGAUCAUAUUUGAUUAUGCUUUUGGAUUACAUUGAUUUUAUGAAAUUAAAUGAUGCUUUUAUUUUUCUAAGAGUUUCGAAUUAAUAUUAACGGGGAAUUUAUUUGAAAGAUCAUUCUUGAAGUACUGCCUCCAAGUAUUUUACGUUAGCUUAUUCCAUACCAGAAGUUUUCUGGAUGACAAAAUAAAAAUAGACAUGAGGGCAUGGUGCGUUGGAUUAUUAAGUUUUGAUCUUCACAUAUGGCUUCAGUUUUCACCGUAAGAGUUUGAAUGCAGGAAUAUCUUAUCUUGAGAAGGAAGAAGUUCGAUUCCUCCUUAGGCAGGUUAGUGCCAACAUCCUAAGAAUUUUUCUGGAUUUUUUUCGUUUUCUUAUUCUCUAUGUUUAGAUUUUCCAUAUAACUCAGUUUGUUACUAGUCUUCUUAUUGUUAUCUGAUACUAUACUAGAUUUCUAAUAAAAUAUAUUGAAGGUUUAAGUCAGUAUGGUGACUGGGAUGUGAUAAUGAGAUUACAGUCCAAUGAACAAUAGGUUUAGAAUCACUCUACAGUGGUUUUAAACUUGAGGUUAUCAACAGAGCAUUAGCCUUAUAACUUAAAUUUGUCUAUUUUGUUGAUUCAUAUUUGCUUUACACUUAGCAAAGGACUUUAGAUAAAUUUGCUUCUAGACCUGUAGUUUUACCAGUGCAGCCACAGUAUUGUUUGGGACUAGGAUCUUCUGUCAAAUGACAUUUAUUUUAUAUGUAAUGUACAGGACCCCAACUUUUGGACAUACAGACCUUUAUCUGAACAGAUGGUCCGUGCAGCUGCAGAUGAUGUCCGCUUUCUUCUGUAUAUCUAUUACAAGAUGAUGGAGAAAUUGAAUCAACAGUCAUUAUGGUAUCUUGCAGUUCGAGGUGCUCUCUAUUGCAGAUGUUUUUGCAUCAACGACAACAAUUUUGCAGACUGGCCACCUCUCCCCCCUAUUCCAGGUAUCGAAUCCUCCCUCACAACUAUACCAAGACUUCAAAAUGAGAUGAAAUAUUUUGCCUUCAUAUAAAUACGUUCUCAUAUGAAUACAAGCUUAAAGCUAUUAUGUCUGAGGCUGAUGUUCGUAAUUCGGCUCCAAUUGAUUCUGCCACUAAGCAUUAUGUGCAUGUCAUCCAUUAAUGUCCUCAUUGCUAAUUUUUGAUAGAAUUAUGUGCAUGUCAUCCAUUAGUAGAAUCUCUAGCCUCGUAAACUUACUACGGAUACCGUUUUAUGUAUGACAUUAGACCAUAGUGUUUCCCUAAUGUACUUGAGAGCAUACGGUUUUGUUGGAAUGUGCAGCAAAGCACUUUAGAGUGUACAUUUAAUUGAAUACUAAUUGCAUUUCAAAAAAACUUGAAUACUAAUUCAGAUGUUAUUUCUUCUAGCAGAUAACCUAAUAGUGGAUGGCAAUGCUCCGGAGGAAGAAAUCCUUUCAGUGCUUGAUGUUCCUCCAGGAAAGAUGGGACGUGUUAUCGGGAGAAGAGGAGCUUCCAUUUUGUCAAUAAAGGAAUCUUGCAAGUACCAUUCUAUCUCUAUCUCUGCAUGUUUCGGUAGUUUGUGCUCCAUUUUUCUCUCCAUCUCCCCCCACUUAUUAUUACUUCAAUGGUACAAUUUUACAGUGCGGAAAUUCUCAUUGGAGGUGAUAAGGGCCCACCCGAUAAGGUCAGUCCAUUGCAUUUAUAUAACAGUUUCAAAGUAGGCGUAAAAUUAAUCCAAUUUUUUUUUUUUAAAUGAUUUAAUCAUCAAAGCAAAAAACAACUGGAAUUUGGAAAAGUUUCAAAUUCUUUUGUAAAUUUUAUUUGGUUUUGAUGUAGGUGUUCAUCAUAGGACCAGUGAAGCAAGUGAGGAAAGCAGAAGCCAUGUUAAGGGGGAAGAUGAUGGACGUGUACUACUAGAAACAUAUCAUGUUGUCGUCUUCGCCCCUUUCUUUAAAAAUAAAUAAAUAAAAGAAUUCUAAGAAAUUGGGCAUCUUUUCUUUUUCUUCUUUCCGUGCUCUUUUUCUUUUCUUUCGGUACAGAACAGAACCCGUCAUCUAUUCAAAUUGUUCUGUUUAUGAAACGACAUCCUGUUGUGCAAAUAAAUUAUAUAAUUGUCAAACAAAAGGACAAAGUAAAAAAAAAAAAAAAAAAAUCUGUCGUGGCUGAGACAUUGGCAAAAUUAAACGUUUAAUAUACAAAUAAAAUCAUAGUCAUCUAUUGAUAUCUAGAAUAAUUUUUUUGGACCGACUAUGUUAAUUGCCACCACAUUGUUCAAAAGACUGGAGGAUUAAUUUAAUCACGAAGCUGUUUGCAAUCCACUGGAAUUUAUAAAUAAAAAGUGUCGCAAUCAUCUUCACUCACGAUCAAUACAAUCCUCAAUACCACAAUAUCCAUUGACGGAUGUAUGAACAAACUAAGCACACCAAAAGAAAGGACUUUCUCUUCAAUAUUUUGGCCGAGUAGGCAAAAGAAUAUGUAGACGGAAAAAAUGGCAGAAAUAACAAAAUUACUUUUGGAAACCACCGUAUUGGUAUUGUUGGCCGCCGCCACCACUGAGACUUGAGAAGAUGUCAUCGCCUCCCAUUCCCGGCGAUGAUGGGAACCCAGAUUUUCCAAGACCAGUCCCGGAACCCAUUGCUCUACCCAUGUAAUACGAAGUUGGGGGCCCUUUCUCCCUUUCAUCUGAUCCGUCAGUCAAUCCACCCACAAUCCCUACAUCCGCCAGAUUUACCUUCUUGGCUGCAAGUACAUGAAGUGAAGAGGGGAUUACAACAGCAGCCUAAACAUGUGAUUCGAAAUGUCAACAUACAUAGUCUCUGCUCAAACAAUUAUAUAGGCAUACAUUACCCGGACAAUUUUUCUAAAUCUCAACUCACACCUUGAACAUUAAGCAAAAUUUACUUUCAUGUACACACAUAUAAAUUGUGCUCAUGAAAGGCAAAAUGCUAGUUGAAAUGGUUGAACUUACGAGCAGAUAUAUUAAGAUCAAUCAGUCCACGGCUAAGUGAGUCGGCCCAAAUGCCAGAUUUCACCUGGAAAUCCUUCUUGGGUGGACCAUUCAGGUCUGCUGAAGAUUUUUUACCCAAAUUAGUGUCGCUGCCAUCAUUGACAGAACUUUGGGAAGGUUCUGAAGAUGUUGAAUCAGACUGAGAGGUGAAGGCCCCAAAAAUAUCAGAUUCACCAAAAUUGUGAAGUGGAACAGUGGCAAAGGGAUCAACAAUGUUGGUGUUUGUUGGGGCAGCAUUUGUAGACUUGGUUUCUGGCUGCGUAACUGGAUCAGGGGCGGAAAAAAGAUCUACUGUUGAAGAAGCCAAUGGAGAAAGGGUUGGUUGAGAAGCAAAUAGAUCAACACCAUUCUGUAUAAUUAGUUAGAAAAGAAGAUUGUUAGCACUGAACUUUAAACCCUGUAUGAGGAACAAAAGUAAUAUUAAAAUAAAACUUAAAAAUGGAAACUCCUAAAUUCAGUUGCUUGUUAGAAUUCCAAAAUCACAACUAAAAUAUUUCUACAUGUUCGAAGGUUGCAUAAAUUAAACUCUGCCCCCUGUAAUCAGGGGUACGCUUUACUCAUACCCCUCUUUGUUAUUGUUUGGCAUUUAAUGACAAACGUCACAACCAAAAUCGAUGACUGGCUAAGCAACAAGCACACUGAAAAAGCUACCUCAAUUGUGAAUGGGUGUACAUGAGCUAUGUGCCAAAAUUGAGUCGUAACUGCGUCUGACCUGAGUUUGAGAACUUGCUCCAUUUGCUGUCUGGGGUGGUGCUGAUACAAAAGUUGAGUCUGCAAAUGCUCCAGUUUCUGCCUGGGGUGGUGCUGACACAAAAGUUGCAUCAGCAAAUAGAUCAACCUCUGAUGAACUGCUGUUAAUCCCAGGCUUUUCUGCAGGAACAGAUGUUGGAGCAUCUAUGAAGUCAUCCAUCAAACUUUGUCCAAACAGAUCCACUUGGUUUGAGCUUGCAACAGCAGCCUCUGUUGAAAUAAUAUAGGGCAAAAUGAAAUGUUCAACUAUAUCCCAGGAAUCAUACAUAUUAUUUAAAAAACCAAGAACAGUAAUUCAAUAAUCAAUGCACUAAAAGAUUACCCCAUUAAACGUCAUUGCAUAGGAUAGAAGAAAAAGCAGGAAAAAAUUACAUCAAAAAAUAAUGUGUUGAAUGUAACUAGUGAUAUUCAUAUAAACGCAUAUGUUUGAACAACUACCAAAGAAAUGAACUAAAUAUAUAGUACAUCCUAUAGCUCAUGCAAAUAUUCAAAAGAUCAUUAUGUUUAACAAAUCAAACAAUCUCGAAAAGCAUCCUCAAUGCCUUCACGACAUCACUUGUGAUAAAAAAUCAAAGAGCCAAAUGGCAUCAAAUUGAUUGUAGCUACGAGACACAUAGUAGAUGGUAAACAUGUAGCAACAUUUGCCAAUGUCUGCCUUGCAAAACUUCCUUUUAACUAACACUAAAUUAACAACUGCACCAGAGUUCGUAUACUUACUAGCAGCAGAAGUCCCUCGGGGAUCAAAAUCAUCAUCAUCGUCAUCAGGAACAUUUGCGCUUUGAGUAUGAACUGAACUGUACUUCUCAGAGUCAUUUGAUUUAUUAGAUGACUUUGACACACUGGAUGAUAUAUUAUCCUGAUCCUUCCUGCAAGAAAAACAUUCGGAAGUUAAUAAAAACAAAAUCACAAAGCAACAUAUAUGUGCUACAGUCUCUCUGUAUACAUCUGUGCAAGGUGUGUGUGCGUGAGAGAGAGAGAGAGAGAGAGAGAGAGAGAGCUGCAGUCAAAAUUGGUCAUUUGUAAUAAAAAUCAUAAUUAUUCCCAAAUCUUUCCCUCUAGUUCUGAAUCUCAGAAGAGCCUUAUCCAGUGUUGGUCAACAUUUCUCAGCAUAUAGGCACAAUUGUUUGACCUAUCAUGAACAGUAAUGAUUAAGUACCUGCUGCCAUAGCGUGCUGAGGCCUUCUUUGAAGAGCUCUCUCGACGUGACCUGCUAGAGCUGUCCUUCUCAAUCUUGUCUUCUUCAUGUCGAUCCCUGUCUCUAUAGCUAUCUUUGAACCUAUCACCAGCUCCAGUACCACUUAGACCUCCAUAGCGUUCGCUACUCUGAUAGCUGCUACUACUAAAUGAGGCUGAAGUUGCAGAACCUGACUUAUAUGUUAUCCCAGUAGAUGAAAGUCCAAAGUACCUAAAGUUGGCAAUGUGCUAAAAGUUUAUAAGAUGAAAACUAAUCAAAAGAUUUAGAGAAGUUCAAGUAAACUUGAAAAUUUAGUCCCCAAAAAAUAAACUUACUUGUCACGAUUCGCAGCAGCUUUAUUUCUAACUUCUUGUAUUUUAUCUUUGUUAUUUAAAAGAGCCACAAUGGUUUCCGCCUUCUUCCUCACAUUUAUUCCCAAAUCCUUCCCAUUUGGCUCAACAUAUUCAAAACUUGUGAGAGCCUUCACCACCAAAAAAACCAAAGGAUAAAGAAGUUUGAGUACACUCAACCGUAUUCUUAACUUCAUAUCUGCCAAAAAAAUUCAGGAUAAUAGAAAUAGUCCUUACUGAGAUUUGGAAAGUAUGUUCUAUAAUGUCAUCCACAGCUCGUUCAGAUCCAUGUGACACCAAAUAUUCUAUAACAGCCAAUGCCUGAUACAGAAAUGAUAAUGUUGAGGGCAUAAAUACGCACAUGAUUCUAUGAAGUUAUAAUACACUAGAAUCCUCUUUAAGCACAAUAUUUGAACAAUAUUAACUGAAUUCUUACCUUAUAGACAUAACGCCAAUCUUUUCCUGUCUCAGUCAAUCUUGUCCACAAAACAUUCAUAACCAUCUGACAUUCCGAACUGAAAGAUAACAAAAGUCAGCAAAUGCGGGUAAGUACAGCAAGCCAAGUUCUUUCUGAUUCUGAACUUUACUGCAGGGAGGAUUAAACAAGGAAAAAAACAGAUAAAUGGAGUUGAAAAUUACAAUUUUUUUGUGGCCUGUGCGAUCUCUGCCAAUGCAGAUCCAUGAGGACCCCAAGGUUCAUUAUCCGUUGCAUCCAAUACCUGUAACAUAUCAGUAAUGAAACAAAUUUGCGUGAGCUAAAAUUAAAAAUCACAAAUUGAGAAAUAGCUGAUAUUCAUAUCAUCCACAGUUUACCACUAGAAGACGAGAAAAAACAAAACGUAUCAGCUACUUAAGCUAAAAUACAAAUUUGAUGCAUGGAUUUCUUAAUUGGAGAAGACUUUUUCCACCAACCUCUCAAAGCUAAAAGAUCAAAACUAAGUCCAGAAUAUCAUUAUUUCUGUCUAAAUGUAUCUUAAAAGAUAGAAUUUAAGCUUGCAAAACGCACAAUGGUACAACAAUCAUUGAACACAAACAGAAAGGGCACUAUUCGCACCAUGAAUACAAUAAUUCGAGUUCAGAUCUAUAAUUUUAAUCACAAAAUAAAAAUUCUAAUGAAAAAUGAAAAAUUCGAAGAAAUUAAACGUAACCGAAGUUAAUUAAACUCUAUUUGUUGCUUUACCUUCUGUUCCAUCUCCGGAACCUUCAAGACCUUCAGAUUCACCUCCCUCUUUCUGCACAUUAAGACAAGGAAAUGGAAUUAACAGCUGAUAAAAAUGAAUAAAUUGCGUAAAUCGAAAAUGCCAAGGUCGGAAGCUGACAUUUCUCGGACCGUUUGAUCGAAGACCUUCAUGAAAUCCAUGACAAAUCUGCAGAAUCUGAAAUAUUCAAAAAAAUAUUCGGAAAUUCGUGAUCAGUUUGGAACAGACAAAUAUUGCGAUGCAUCCGAUGGAACCGCAAAAUUUGAAGUCAAUGUAUGAAAUUUUACAAGAUUAUAAUGGAAGAAGAAGCACCUUUGAGUAGAAACCAGAAAGGAAAGGAUUGCAGAUCUUGGCGUGCGUCGCAGUGGAUAGAGAGAGAGAGAGAGAGAGAGAGAGAGAGAGAGAGAGAGAGACGUAAUCAGGUGGUCUCGUCUGUGGUUUUAAAUCUCAUAUACUGUCCGUCAUAUUUUGCAGUUACAAAGAAAUUGAAGGUUAAACCGGUAAAGCCAGCGCGGCUCGCAAUCAUAUGCUGCCAAAUAAAAAUUAUGGGCUUUUUUUUGUUCACCCAAAAAUAAUAAUAAUUUGUUACUUGCCAAAUAAAAAUUAGUCGUUUUUGUUACUUAAAUUUGAUUUGAUUUGAUUUGAUUUUUUUUUUGAGUAAUGCUAUUUAGACACACAAUAUUGACCACCUUAUGUGGCAACUGAUGUGUCAUGCUAGGGUAAUUAAUGAAAAAAAUCAGGUACAAUCUAAAACAUCAUUAGUGGCAAAAGCCUUUCUUUUGAUUGGGGACGUGACAGCUUUUAUUUAUUUAUGGGGGUUAAAAUUCAGCGCCCACUAAAGUUGUGGAUAUCAUUUGUUAGAGUGACGUUCCCGCUUAAAACUACCCCGCCCACAAACAAUCUACGCACAAUAAGCUGACUCAGAAGCUCACAUUCCUGUUAUUCCUCUAAAAGAUUUUAUUGUCAAUAACUAAAUGAUUACUUUUGCCAGAUCAUUACGAGAAAAAGGCAUUAUCCUACACACCACAACCUAAAGGAUAGAAAAAAAAAAGGAGCUUCAUGUACAUCAAUAUAAUAAAUUUGGGUACAAGUUUGUAUACACUUUUCAAGUUAAAGGGGAACAAAACUCAGUCAAUGCGUGGUCANNNNNNNNNNNNNNNNNNNNNNNNNNNNNNNNNNNNNNNNNNNNNNNNNNNNNNNNNNNNNNNNNNNNNNNNNNNNNNNNNNNNNNNNNNNNNNNNNNNNUUGAUUUGUAUGUCAUAUCAGUGUCGCUCUAGACUUCAAUCUUGACAGGUACUAAUAAAAAUAUCGUCUAUUCAGGCUACCCAACGGAAUAAUGUCGUGUAGUUACACAAGAAACUUCGUGGUAUUUGUCCUAACUCUCAUUGAUCUGAAUUGACUGUUCUGAUGCUAACGCUACUUAGACACGCAAUACUUACCACUCUUAUGUGGCCACUGAUACACACGCCAUGUCAAUGAAUAAAUGUUGUCAUGACAAUUAGAAACUAAUUGGAAACACUCAAGCAUUCCUAGUGAGUGGCCUCAUGACAGCAUUCACUUAAUUGACCUGGCAUGACACAUCAGUUGCCACAUAAAGUGGUCAGUUAAGGUGGUCAAUGUUAUGUGUCCAAAUAGCAUUUUUGGUUUCAUUAACAAAUUUUAUUGACACUCAGAAAUUAUGAAUGUACACUAGAAGCUUCUUAACUUUGGACCCGAAGUUUUUGAUUUUAAACUACCUUGUUACAAUUGGUUUCUCAAUCUAGCAAGUUUUCCUUAUUUCAAAUAGGACUUAGGUGAGGUUAUAAAAUCCAGCUCAAUUGUGGGCAUUUAAAAUCACACAAGGAAGUUGAUAGUGAGAACCAAACGAGGUAUAAUAAGUUUGAGAAAGGGUGUAUAAAGGUUUUAUUCAAUUGUAUACAUGCUCGAUUUUGAGGUUAAAAGCGAAGAUUCUUUGACAAUAUAAAUAAAAUUUUGCUGAAUCACGUAAAUUUUUAGUUCAAAAACUCUGUAAGGAUGUAAAUAAAAUUUUGUCGAACCACGUUAAUUCUUGGUGUGUUGUUUUUUUGGUUUUUUUCGUAUUUCGUAUUGGGCUUUAAGGGUGGCUCACGGUGUUUUUUGCCCUUUUCCGAAAUUAGGGUUACGGACAAACUCAUGAAAUUUGUUAAUUGGAUCUGCUAAUGGGCCCAAUAAGCCCAACCCUAGAAAUAUAUGGGGCCUGGGUUUUCUUAAGGCCGCUCGGCCUUCGCGUGCUGGUUCAUCAACUCCAUUUCCUAAUUAACUGUCUGGCUCAUUUCUUCAUACAACGAACAAAUCCCAUCAUCGUAGUCCCGCUGAUUAUUCGUCUGUCAUAGUAAAUUACCUCACAGCCUGUGAUAUAAGUCUCCCUCUUUUGUCUGGUUAAGUUAUUUCUGGUACCUAAAAAAAACUACCAUUCCUGGUCUGCUUUUACUCUUUAACCAGUCCAACCUCCGUGACCGAUCACCCUGCAAAACUCUGAACGCGGUUUUCAAUAUUGUCAGUCCGUUUUUUUUUUUCUUUUUUCAAAAUUAUUUAAAUUAUAUAGCUUCAUUUAUGUUGACCGUAGCUUUGUUCAAUCAGAUGGGUCAAAGUCACUGAUCAACUUGUUUGAUUUGGUUGCAGGAUCUUAAAAGAUAUUGUUUUGCUUGUCUGGAAAACAAAUCAGAGCAAAAAUGUUUAAGCGAGUAUUUGGGAAAGCAAAGCAGGAAGCCAAUGCCCUGCCAACUAUACACAAAUUAAACGAUGUAUGAUUUUGGGUUUGUAGGUGUUGUCAGGGUUGUGCUGGAAUUUUUCGCAAAUUUUACGAGUCUGAAUCUUGUGUUGAGAUUAUAGUUAUAUGGGUUUUUGUUUUUCUGCUAAAAGUAUUGUUUUUUGGGAUUGUGCAGACACUUGAGAUGUUAGAGAAAAAGGAGAAAGUUCUUGUAAAGAAGGCAGCUGCGGAGGUUGAGAAGGCUAAGCAAUUUACUCAAGCACGAAACCGAACUGGUAAGACCCCCUACAGGCUACAUGUCGUUUAUUUAGUUUUUUUUCUGUUCCUUUUCUCUUUUUGGUGAAAUUAUAUCAUAUGAAUAUAUGUUUUGUAUAGGAUCCGGAAAGAACUAUUUUUUUUCUUUCUUUUUGAUUUUGUUGGGUUUUUAAGAAUGAUGCUAGGCUGUUGCAUGGUUUGCCAUUUGUGGUGGAAGGACAUGUAAAACACUAGAGAAAACAAUGGAGUUAUUAAUUAACUGUUUAAAUCUGAACCCGUAAGCAAGUAAAUUAUGUAGGUUUUGAAAGCAAACCGUAUUUUUUUCGCAAUUAGUAUCAAAUUGUAUAUCUUAUUCUUGUUUUUUAUCCAGCGGCAAUAAAAUGUUUAAAGAGGAAAAGGCUUUACGAACAACAAAUUGAGCAGCUUGGAAAUUUCCAAUUGCGCAUUCAUGAUCAGGUAGGUACUGUUGUAAAUUUUAGUGAAGUUUCAUUUGUUGAGAGUUUAUCAUGAAGACAUAUUUUGAAUUGGGGUUUCAGAUGAUAAUGCUGGAAGGUGCAAACGCUACAACGGAAACUGUUGAUGCAUUGAGAAGUGGAACAUCUGUGAUGAAGGCCAUGAACAAGGCCACGUAAGUUGCAUUUAAACUGCAUUCCGUAGAAUUUAUAGAUUCCAUGGCCAUAAUUGCCAUAACAAUGAAAGAAAUUUAAAUUCAAAUGAACUAUAGCAUCCUCUGCAAAGUCAGUCUUAAGUUACUCUCAAAGCACUUUGGAUGAUCUUUCAAAGGAAGCAUUCCAUAUCCUUCUGUUCUGAAUUGUACAUCUCAACUUUGGCCUUUUUUUAACAGGAAAAUUGAUGAUUUGGAGAAAACAAUGGAUGAGAUCAAUGACCAAACUGAAAGCAUGAAGCAGAUUCAGGAGGCAUUAUCAGCACCUAUUGGUGCAGCAGCUGAUUUUGAUGAAGUAUGAUCUUUGCAAGUUCUUAGUUCAUGCAUGCAAUGGUUUAUUUUCAAUAUAUUAGGUUCAAAUUAUGCAACUUUGUUUCUGCAGGAUGAAUUGGAAGCAGAGCUUGAAGAACUGGAAGGAGCUGAAUUGGAGGAGGAGCUUUUCCAGCCAGCCACAACUGCUCCCGCAGCUACAGUACACGUAAAUGCCCCGGUAGGCAGGCAACCAACCCAACCAGCUCCUCAGAGGAACAACCGUGAUGAGGAUGAGCUUGCUGCAUUACAGGCAGAGAUGGCACUUUAAGAGGUUACUUAUAUGUAUCAGGUUGGUAAUUUAUCUUGACAAUGGACUCCUCACUCAAGCGGGGUGAUGCACAUAAUAAGAUUUAAAUUGUCGUAGAACUUAAAUAAGAAUUCAGCUUCUGUUGGAUUAAGAUUUAAAUUGUCAUUUGAAUCAAAGUUAUGUUUCUCAAAGCAUUUAUGUUACUUCAUAUGAUCUGAUGGGUUUUGUUGCUGUGUUUGCAGUUGUUAACAUAUAGAAGGAGAAGAUUAAUAAAACUUGAAUUAUGGAGGAUGAUGCGAAUCUCUCGGACUCUCCAGACUGACUUGUGACUUUUAAUACUGCAUUUGAUGGUCUGUAUGUAUACAAAAUAAUAAGUUGGUAAAACUGUUUUUACUACUUUGUAAUAUAAUGGGUCAAAUAUUAGGCUUCUUUGUACAACUAAUACUGGGAACUUAUAGUCAUUUUUUUUUAUUUUAUCACUAUCGAAAUCUUAUUAUGAUUUUACAAAGUUAAACAUAAACUCUAUGCUUGAUCACAAUUUUAGAAUCGUUAAGCUAUGAUUUCGAGCUAAUCGAUGACUUGCAAAAACGGCUAUAGCUCACAGAAUGAUUCUAAGAAAAUCUUAACACACGCAUCGCAUCAAUUACAUGAGGGCAAUGGAAAUAUAUCAUUACUCUCCAUACAUAACAUCGAUCCAUUGACCGAGCAACGUGCAUGAAAAAUAUUCAAAACGACGCACCAUAAUUUGAAGGAUUCAAUGUCAAAGAGAAGAAUGAACAAAACAUAAAAGCAUGUAUAAGAUGGGUGUGAACCAUGCUUGCAAUUUGACAAAGAUUCUCUACUUAAAUAUAAACAGAACAAACCGUGAAAGUGGGGGGGGGGGACCAUAAGUGCAUCAUCAUAUGAACACAAGAAAAACAAGAACCUGUAUGUUUUUGCUCUGGUGUUUCAAUGAGUUUCAUAAUUUUAAUUUUAACUUUUAGACAGGCAACAAAGUUGAGGUUAUCUUUUUCUCUGACUUGGAAUAACUCUGUCUUCCAUAAAGAAAAGUCUGAAAGGGAUGCCCCAUCUUAAGUUCUUCACUUGCUGAUGAUUGUAAGGCAUAAAAUAGGAUUAUGGGGUGUGACUUCUUAAUCACAUCAGACUAAUUGCAAGAUUCUUCACUUGGUUUGUUUUUUUUUUUUCCUUUCUUUUUCCUUAUUGAUUUCUCUUAACAGCUAAAUUCCAUGAAUUUGGACUUUCUGAAAUAGCCAAUGGAGAAGAGGGACCUCUAUUGUGAAAACAAGGGGCUCUUACACAUUGUCUUUUCUGAUUUCUGAUAUGGGAUUUAUGCUUUCUUCUUAAGUUCAUUUGAAGAAGCAAAUGACCCACUAGUAUAGUGGUUUAGAGCAAUUGUUCCUUAAGAAAAAUUCUAGGUUCGAGUCCUAGCAUCCAUGUAGUGUGUGUGAGUUUAGUAUGUUAUCGCCCCUCUCAAUAAAAAAUGUCCUCAAAAAAGUUCAUUUGGAGAAGGAAUAUUCAACCACACAUAAAAUGCCACCAAGAAGGAGAUAAAGAACAUUCAUUAUGAUGCAACCUUUGAAGUUCAAUGUGAAAGCAUAAGAUAAGAGACAGAGAGAGAUCAAAACGUGAACCCCAUCUGUUUUAAACCUUUCUGUAAAUGCAAUAUAUCCCAUAAUUAAGAAAACUUCAAAACCAGAUUCCCAGCCCUGGAUAGCUUCGAUGAUUUUCAAACAAUCCCUAAUUGGGGCAAUUCUCGUAGACGGAGCAUAUGCAAUGUUUGGUAGCUUAUGGCAAGUGAUCUAAUCUCAUAUUUUAAGAUGAUGACUAAGACUAACAAUGUUUUAUUUAAAUUGGGUUUCCAAAAUAAACAAUAAUGAUUAAGUAAUGCUUAAGAACUUAAUAAUGGCAGUGAUUAGUGAGGCUUAAUUAUAAUCUUAAAGUCUUCCCUUCACCAAUAAAUUGUACGGGAAAUUAAAAAAUAAUUAUGUCCUCUCGAUUCGUGAAUGGACAGGGUACUUGACCGUACAAUGAACAAUGAAAACGAUCCAUGGAUAAGUUUAAUGUUCUAGUUAUGAAUCACAGCUCUCAAACAGUGACACUUGACCUUAGGCACACACUGCAUGAAUAAUUUAAACCAUAUGGAGUCGAAACAUUCAGAACGCGUUUUUCCAAAAAAUAAUGGCUUCUCAAUACACAUAAAAAGGGAGAAAAUUUUUGUAAGUUUCUAUAGGGUAAUGUAUGCAAAUGUGUAUUCACAUUGCUGCAUGAGAUGAAAAUAUCCAAGCGAUAAUGGAGAGGGGGAUUGAAACACAAGACCUCAACUGCUUCUUCAAACAUAACCUUUGAUUUUACCACUUCCAAGUCUUGAAGUUGCAGAGAUGAUGUAGGUUAUGACUGAGUAAAAUAUCAAAAGCAGGGCAGAGUAUCUUUUAUGGUUAUUUUUUGAGAGGGACAUUUCGGAUCAUGAUCAACUUUGAACUGGCCACACCCCCACACAACUUUCAUGACCCCUGGCAUAUAAAGAAACAGGCAAACAUGCUGAGGCCAUCCAAACCCCCCAACACUGAUUCUUUGUGCCAUUGUACCUUAAAGACAGAGUAAAUUAAUUAACCAAAUUUCUGAGAACCCACAAUGGGAAUGCCUGUGAAAGUUGAAAGCUUUAUACACAGACAAACAAAACAAACAGAGACAAAGAGGAAGGGUUCCAUACAUGUUCAUCUACUAGUCAUUACUUAAAAUUUUGAUUUACAUCACAUUUUCUCCUCCUCUAUGAACAGAAGCAGAGGUCCAACUGAGACUGAAUAUGACUAGAAUAAAUGAAAAAGAAAUUAAAACAAAGGGGAACCAAAAAAGAACAUCCUUUUUUCUAGCUAAUAUUUACUUCCCCCAUUUCCUUCGCCAGUUCUAAGCAUUUGCUUUUGUUUCUUUUCCCCAUGCUUUUUGGUUUUCACAGAUGGUUGAGAACCCUUUGACUCAGUCCUUGUUUUGUGCCUCAAUAUGAGCUUGAAAAUAAAUCACCAAAAUUUGUACAGCUAGCUGGGCCAAAUUCACUGGUUUUUUCUCCAAAGCACAUGCCAUAAUUCACAUCAUAAGGCAGACCGAAAUCUGUAAACAACCCAGAAUCAUCAAGGGAACCAUUUCCAGGUAGUGAGGCACACUUGUCAACAGCAGCUAUUGAAGAAGAGUCUGAAAUGUUUGAGCCAUCCUGAGAUAAUGAAACAGUAGUGUAACUUUUCUUUGAACUUGCACCAAAAUCUGAAAAAGCCAUGACCUUGGAGCUGUAUAAUUGAUCUGGUGAGUUUAAAGUCCAGGUUUGGUUAUAGGCAUUCAGUCCAGAAUUAACAUCAGUUAACAUGUGCAAUGUGGGUGGAAUUUGGGUUUGGAAUGUUGAAAAGGCAGAGUCUUGGGGUUCAGCUUUUGGGACACAAGGCAGGGCCAGUGAGGCUGCAGAGCCAGGAAGAGUGGCAUUGUUAGUGGGCUCUUUGCUGUUCUUUGUUGUGAGGUUUUGUUUUCCCCCAAAUAGCUUCUUCUUUAAUUUGGUGUUCCAAUAGUUCUUCACAUCAUUAUCUGUUCUUCCAGACAUCUGAGAAGCUAUCACUGACCAUCUGAAAAAAAGUGGGGAAAAAUGUUAGAAAUUAUUAAUAGUGUUGCAGAUAUAAAAACCAUGAAAAAAUUUAGUAUAAAGAAUGAUAAAUGGACUUGCCGGCUCCCCAUUUGGUUGUAGAGGCUACAUAUAAUGCUGUCUUCCUCUUCAGUGAAGCAUCCAUGUUUGAUGUCUGGCCUCAGAUAAUUGAGCCAACGUAAACGGCAACUCUUCCCACAUCUCCUAAGACCUGAAAAAAAAAAGGAAAAAUACAAUUGUAAGAAGAAGAAAAAAAGUUCAACCUUUUCUCAUCCAGAAAAAUUCUGAGAGUCAAACUGAUGAAUGGGUUUAGUAUGGACGAUUCAUUGAACAAAUUGGCAAAAUAAAAAAAGAAGAACCCUUUUGUUCUUUUUUUCAUAAUUUUCAUUCUGUGAGGUCAAAAGAUAGAACUAAGCAUCACACAGAGACAGAGUGUGUGUGUGUGUGUGUGUGUUUGUGUGUGUGUGUGUGUGAGAGAGAGAGAGAGAGAGAGAGAGAGAAAGAGAGAUACCAGCUUUUUUGGGCAAAAGGAUCCAAUUUCCACCAGUUCCAUGAGUCUCAAGGUAGCUCUUGAGAGUUGCGUCUUCAUCAGGUGACCAUGGACCUCUCUUCACAUUAUCUUUGUCACAACACGGAGUGCGUCCCAUGGCUAAUUACUCACUUCCACACACACACCACCAAAAAACUAAUUUCAGAGAGGGAGAGAGAAAGACUUAGAACCAGAGACAGAGACAGAGACAGAAAGAAAGUUCAGACACGCUGAUGCUCCAAAAUAAGCAAAUGCAGGAGCUUUUGGUGGAGAGCUUAUAAAGAUGGUGGCACCUUAAAAUAAAAAACAAAUAGAGUAAAUGAAAAAAGGCUUGACCUUGUACUUGUACGACCUCCCCAUUUCUCAACUUUAAUUAUAAUUUCUUUUUAUCUGGUACUUGUUCCUUGCAUUCCAAGACAAAGACCCAGUCAACAUUCACACAAAAACUGUAUUGACUUUAUUUUUAUUUUUAUUUUAACUUUUAAUAUCGGGUAGGGUAAUAUCAUGAUUCAUGAAGAUGAAUGAACCGUUCAAAACUGACGGUCCAAAAUGUCCCUUAGUCGAAUUUUACUGCUUUAAUUAGUUGUGUUCUUCUAGCUCUGGUCAGAAGAUAUGGACUUAGCCACCACACAGGCACAGGGGAACAAAACCCUACUCUUGCCUUGAUCCACAUCCACUGACAAGUGAUUAGCGGUAAAUAAAUAUUUGAUUAAAUAGUAUCAUAUGAGAAAAUUGUGUCCAAUUAGCAAUAGUAAAUCGAAAAUUGGAACUCAUACACAGACAGUUCUAAUGGUGAAUGCUUCAAAUGAACUUUUCAAUGUGAGCUUGUACUAUUUUUGACAUUUUACUAUUCAAAGUAACCCAUCAAGGCGAUGAGCAUUGAUGUCUUGGUCACAGCCAAAAGGGUUUUAAAAUAUCAUAAAAAUUAAUUAUUUAAUUUCAAGUUGGUGUGGCUGCUUCUCCAUUGUUUUCCUAUUGACUUCUUGGUAUUUUGUUGUUUUCUCUGCUUCCAGUCUAAAGAUUCCAUGUCACGGGCUCAAGUCGUUUUUAAUGUUUAUAUAUAUAUAUAUAUAUAUAUAUUGGUAAAUACCAUGAGAUGUUCGGGCCAGUUUGUGUCUACCUCAAUUAAUUUCCACUCGCGAAACUGAGCCUGUCACUGACCACCGAGUGUUGCAACCUUCGGGACUCAAUCUGAAAUACAAAUCCAAUAAAACCCCAGAACCUUAUCCAAAUGACGGACAAACCACUGGGCACUUGCUAAACCAGUAACUCGACAUCACCGUGUUUUUUUUCCUUUUAACCCCACCACGACAUCAUUUUGGUGCACAUGGGUUAAUUUAAUUGGUUUACUUAAAGCAAUAUUUCAUACAUUCACAGCCCAAGUCUCCUUAGGGCCUUAUCAAUGGACAGAACAAGGUGAAACUGACCAAUUUCUUUCAUUCAUUGGGUUCACUUGGGCUGGGCUCAUGUGUGAGGGUACCACAAAGGAAAAACGUACAGAAUUUGAGGAGAAGGCAGCUCUACAUAUCUUUGAUUUUUCCUGCGGCUUCAUAUAUAACCGAUGAGAUCCCUUGCUACUCCCGUCCAGACACUCCCGUCAAAACAUUAUUAAUACAGCGUAAGUAUUUAGCAAACAAAUGAUAUUUCUUAACUGACGUCCUAGAUUUGAUUUCCUCUUUUUCAAUAUUGUAUGUAUAAAAAAUAAAAUAAAAAUUAUCCGUCUUAAUAUGUGAAUAAACUAAUUAGAUGUAUAUAUAUUGAAAAUUUGCAAUGAAGGGCCUUUGCAUAAUCAUUUGAGGACAUUAAAAGAUUGGAACAAUAUGAUUGAGAAUUUGAGCCUACGUUACUCCUACUCCUAUACUAGUGAUAAAUCGUAUAUCGACUAAAUAAAAUAUUUUAUAUGCCCAACUUCCAUUAAUUUACCCUUAUCAUUUUGCUGGAUGCACAUACAAAAUCCAAUAUGCUAAAUUAUUUUUCUAAUAACUUAGAAAACAAACAAAAUAGCUAAUCAUGACAUAUUUAUUUUACACUACCUAACUCUUUCUAUAAGAUAAAAACAAGAUUUGGAUAAGAGCCCAACUUGUCACAUCAUUUUUGUGCAACCACCACAUUUUCAAUCCAAAAUAUAUAAAUAUUAUAUGGUCCUCCCCAUAGCAAACAACAACGUAACACCCAACGAAUAGAUGGCACAAAGGAGGGAGGAAAUAGUGCCAAAUAUUGGCAUAUAAUUGUCAAUCAACUUAGCACGAUAGCGACAAUGUUUUGUCCAUCGGAAAAAAAUUACUUGGGUCCCUUCAAAACGUUCGUUUGUCCCUUCAUUACCAAGUCAAUGUCUCGCAAUCUAUUUAAGCUUGCAUUGCAUGGCUAUACACAUUUUGGAGUAUAAUAAAUAUUUUCUUGUCGGGAGAUAAAUAAAGAUUUAUCUGAUUGACUUUUAUUAUAAUAUAUGGUUCAAAUUCAGUCUGAUAAAUUAAUAACGCAAGUCUGAUAAGAAAACAUUACCCUCUAAAAUAAUAAGUUCUUGCAAGUAGGUAUAAAUCUUUAGACAACCGAUGGAAAGUUAGGUAUGUACUAAUAUUAUGGCACUCAUGAAGAACUUCUACUCCAUAAGAUAUUUUGGAAUUGGUUCAAGUCCUUGUCCUGGGUUUUGGAGAUGAAAUUACAUGUAACCAAACAGAGCCCAAUAACACACUCUCCAAGGGAUUUUGUGAUGGAAGCUUUUGUUUUUGAUUUGAUGGUAAUGUAUAUAAUAUAUAUAAGAGUAAGACCCACCAGCUCAAACAGUUUUGAUGAGCACGCCACUACAGGAUCCCUCCCACUCAAUAAGUAAAGUUGCCAUGCCACUGCAAAAAUCAACGAAACCCUUGGAACCACCGUCCACUUUGUCUGCCUUUUUCAUUCUUUUGAAUCAUUCAGUUCCCUUUUUCUUUUGUUUUAUUUAAUCCUUCUAUUAAACCCAAUCUCAAAGGAGUGGUCUUUUUUAUUUAUACACAUAAUUAUACAACCAAGAUGUUAUAAGAAUUUAAAUUAGAAAAAGAAAAACUUCAUUGUAACGAAAUAAUACUGUUUUAUUAUUCUGACCAAUAAUACGACACGUGAAAAAGUUAUGUCAAGUGAACAAAAAAUGAUAUUCUCGUUACAUGAGAGUUUAUCUCCUAAAUCUGAGACCUCUAAUCUACAUGCCAAUGUACUUUUCUUACUUUCAAUGAGAUAUAUUAAUCAUAAACAGAACUAAUGAUUUUGAUUGCUACAUAAAACAAUUAUUUACACGGAUGUGCUUCUCUAAACCAUCACUUUCAAACUUAAUGGAUUAUAUAGACAUUAGUUCUUGUAUCUUUGUAUGAUUAAGAUUAGAUUAAGUAGGAACAAGUGUGGCCGUUGAAUAAGAUACGUGAAUUAAGAGGUAAAUUUAUUCAAAUCUGCAAUCUAAAAUAAAUUGACAACGUGCGUAAAUCUUUGUAUGGUUUAUACUCUAGUACAUUUUGUGAGAGAAAUGCAAAUAAAUAACACUACAAAUGAUCAUCAUCACAAGAGAUCAUGACGAGAGAUUAAUUUGAUGUGGAAGUUGUAACAUAAGCAAAUGGUGCCUCCUUGACCAUAUCCUCUCUUUGAAAACCUUCACAUCAAAGACAUUAUUUUUACAGAUAAAAUCCACGAAAGAAUAGUCAAAGCACAAGUGGUGGCACAUAGUGGAUAAAUUAAAAGAUUUCCAAUGGAUAAGGACGGGCUUAUCAGCUCCACAAGCCACGUCAUGAAUCCAAUCGCUGUGUACAUGAAAACCAGAUAUAAUUGUUUAUAGAGGGUGGUGGGUUUAAAUUACAAUGAUUCUUUUCCACAGGUUUAAUCAUUUUCUUAAUCCAUAUAGCUCUAAAUGAAUAAUUUGUUUACAGGACACUUUAUUAAAUAAAUUAUAAUUUUCUAUUGCUUCAUUCUUUAUAAUAAGCUUGGAAAGCAAGCUUGAUCAAAGCGAAAGCAUCAAUGAAUUCUAUCUGCUUAGAAACCCACAGAGUCAGUUAAUUCAAUAAAACAAAUGAUAGUCUAAAUCAAUCUAAUGUUCAGUAAUCUAAAUUAAUCUAAUGUUAGGAGAGUUUAAUUAAUCUAAUGUUCAAUAAAACAAAUGAUAUUCUAAAUUAAUCUAAUAUUUGGAAAGAGAAACUCGAAUUACUAAAUUUCAUAAUUCAUUCAUAUGACAUGUCUGAGAAUCCAAAGCUUAAGACUGAAGCUUGAAGACAAAACACAACUUUUUUCAUCAUAAUGUUAAACUAUCCAGAUUAAAUUACAACAUUUUCUUAUAUGUGCAAGACAUUAAUUAUGGAGAAUAAAACACAAUUCAAUCGCAGAAAUGGGGAAAAACAAAAUUGAGGAAAUGAAAUUUACAUUAAUUGAGCCAUGAAAAUGAACUUACAAUAUGAUUAUCCGAGAAAAUUUGACAGAAGAUGCAAAAAGAAAAUUAAAAUUCAUAGACAUUGAUCAAAGAAAGUAAACAACAGCUACCCAAAUUCCCAGCAGCCUCAACAAAUUCUUCUUUUUUAUCUGUACAAAUUUGCAGAACGGGACUUUGGAAAAUCUCCUUCCUUCCUUCACAGUUCAUCACAUCAACUAUUUACAACAGUUUCAAAAUUAACCUCUAUUCACAAAAGGUCAGAAGAAUCAGAAGGCCACUGAUAUUUAACGCAUCAGCCAAAAAAUUGAAUCAAAACGGAACACGAUCGACAAACGAGUUCACACUGCACUCGGGUUUCAUUCACUCACUAGCUCCGAAACCCAGCCCACAUCAGGAGCUGACAUGCCCGAGUCGACUCGGCCGACUCUGCCCAUCGAGUUUUCCUUACUCAGCCUCGCAUACAUUCUCGCUCGGAGAUCCCUCCCGGACUCCACCCUCUCCAUUGCCGGCUCUUCCUCGCAAGGGUGGUCCCAAAUAUCAACCGCCCCGGGUCCAGCCCGACCCGAGGUCCGAGUCGGAGUCGAAGGAAGGCUACAAAACGCGGGUCGGAGCGCAGACCCGCGUGGAGAAGAACCAAACCCAGAUCCCAUUUGUGGGCCCCAUGCAGGCGGAGCACUCAUUUUCAUCUUAGCAAGCUUAAAGUUCCGCAUCGAAGCGACGAGUUCACUCACCGAGUUACAGCCGAGUUGAGGGCUGUUGGGCGACAUUGGUGGCGAGUCAGACGGCGGAGAUAUCGGCGGCGAUAUCAGGAUCGAGGUGGGUGACGAACCGUACGAAUACGAGUCGAAAGCGCCCGACCCGUGAGUUCUCGGGCUCUGCCCGGGCAGGACCCGAAGCUGUUCGGGCGUGUGAGCAAAGAAGCAGACACGGCGGUGGCAGCCCAGCCCAUCCUUGCAUGGCUGCGUCCGGUAACGGGCCGGGUGGAGCCAACACUCGAAAACGCCGUGCGCGAACUCGCACGAGUCGCCUUUGGCGCAAUGGCCCUUGCGGAAUUCGGGGCAGGCGGCGCCCGAGUAGUGGUACUUUCUCGGGUCGCGGCGCCGGGCCUUCUCGCCUGGGUGGGCGUACGGACACUCGGUCCAGUCAUGUGACCUGCCACGCGCGCACCGCCGGACCUUGAACUCGAACAUGCGGAACUGGUCGCAGGAGAUCGGGUUCAUGGGCAUGUCCGGGUCAUCGCCGAGCGAGUCAGACUCGUUUGACGGAAGGUAACGGUGGAGUGCGGCGAGCGAGUCGAGAAACAUCGGAGACAGUGGAGAGUAGUCUCCGUUGCCGGCAUUGCUGUUUACGUUGACGGAGGGAUUUGGGGCGGAGAACGGCGACGUUGGGGUGAGAUCGUCGAAUGGGUCCCACGGAGGGACUUGGAGGGUCGGGUGCAGUCGGGUCGGUUCUCCUAACAUCAUUUUCGGGUGGGGGCUUGGACUCGGGAGUUUCUGCAAAUGCGAGAGAAGAUGGUCGCUGAGUGUCUCAUAUAUAUAAACGGUUUUGAAGUAGCAGGAAGAAGGAGAGAGAGAGAGAGGGUAAAUGCCAAGUAGGCCACAUAGUCACAGAGUGGGGUUGGGUUUUAAGUUAACCGUGGUGGAGUUAAAUACGUAACUGCGGUCAAUUAACUCUAGUAAAAUAUCUACCGCCUCCAGAAUAGCCCCUCUAUUUCCAUGGAAAGCCAACGAUUUUUCAAAUUUUAAUAUAUUUUACAUUUUUUAAAACAAUAAAGCUGUACUUGCACCUUUUUUAAAUAUUUAUUAUAAUUCUAACGUUACAUCUAAAUUGCUUCGCACCCUUCAAAAAUUAAAAAAGCAAAAAAAAAAAGAAAAAAAAAAAGAAAAAGGUAUUGCUUGGAAGAAAGCCAACCAACACUUAGUUGAUCUCAAACAAAGAUUUAUAGGAUCGAAUCCAAUAAAUCGGUGCAUGAACUUGUAUAGAUCUGGUUUGAUGUUUAAAAUGUUUUAUUUUCCCCAAUCAAAUUUGCUUUAUAACGUUUAUCACCUAAAAAUGCAUGCAGAAAUGAAGGAUAAGGUUCAUGAUCAAACAAAAAAGGAAGAUAAGAUCAAGCAAUGAAAGUCAUGCAACAUUUCAACCACUUCGAUUAUGAUUGAUUAUAGACUUAUAGCUCGUUGCUAUACCUUAAUCUUCAAGACAAAAAUAGUACUUGCGUAUUUUCUAUGGAAGAGCUAUUUUCACACAAAUUUGUGUAAAGUUUAGAUUUCUAAAAUAAUAUUGCCCAAGAUUUUUAUGUUCAGUAUUUGUUAAAAUGGUAAUUGGAUAAAUGUUUGUCCGAAGUAAGACAUUUGUUUAUAAGGGGUUUAUAACUUAAGUAGUUUGUGCUAAAAAAAGUGAAACUUUUAAUUGUUAGUGGUGCUUGAAUUUAUAACCGAGUUUUAUUAUUCUUGAACUCGUUUGUGUGUUAUUUUUAUCUUUCACUUUUCAUACGUGUUAUAAUUUAGUCAUUUCCUCACAUUAUAUCAAUUCUAUCUCAAGGGGUAAAACGUCAAUUUUGAUACUAUUUUAUCCUCUAAAACCAACAAAAAAAUGUAACGGAAUAAUUAAAUUGGAACUUUAAUGAGAGUUGAAAGAUUAAAAGGUCGUAAUACAUGGAGAUUGUGCAUUCAUUCCAACGAGCUACUUGGAUUUAUGAACUCACGGACCACGGGCCCUGGUUUGGUACGAAGUAGUACCACCGGAUUAAAAUUGCACGUAGAUUUGGGUCCAGGUUAACCUAACCGGGUCAAGGUGGUGAUAAGAAGCUUGAGACAGAGAGGUUGUAGGCCCAACCCCUUCAAUAAAGAAAAGUUGACAGGUCGGCAAAAUGUAAUCGCUGUGGGAUCCUCCGUCAAUGGAUGGUUCAUAAAUACUCUGGGAUGGAGGGAGGGUUACGUGUAAUUUGUAAACAACAAAUUCUGUACGGAAAACACGUGUGAGCUCGUUAAGCGAUGCUGUACAUACACGUGGUUGGUGGUUUCUCGAGGUGGCGGUGACUUAACUUCGUCCUUGGCUGAUAGUCGCAGGGCUCUAGCUGAACGGAUGGUGUACGUGUGGCACCUGAUUAGCUCCUCCGCGUUUGCCCUCCUCGAGAUCCUCAUGAUCUUGUCGACUCAGUCCACUGGAGAUUUUAUUUUUUAUAUUUAUCUUGUUUUUCCUAUAUGUAAAUUUCAUCAUGGAUAUUAGAACAAACAGAAUCUUAAACAAAUGGUUAAAAAAUGGCAAGGGAAGAUAGUCACAAAUUAACAAUGUCACUUUUGUUUGAUUUAUGUUUAAUCUUCACUCUUUUGUUAUUGAGAGUUAUGUUACGGUUAGUCGCUCAUGUAUAUUAGGAAGUCUAUAAAUUAAUCAUGAUUUGUUUUGAAUGAAGAUAUAAGCUUAGUUAAAUUGAUUAGAAUAGUUAUACUCCUUUUUAUGCAUCUGAGUUCGAAUUUUUUAUCUCGCAGUUUUAAUGAAUUUAAAAUAAAAUAAAACCAUGCUCUUAGCUUUGGUUAUGAUGUUACCUAAUUUAAGUGGUUGGAUGACGGUGAAUAAGUGGAUAAUCAUUUAAUCCCAUGCAUUUGGAUGGUCUACUUGUAAAUUAGAAUAAAGAUGCUAGGCUUAGCAAAAAGAGAAUGAAGAUAUUAAUAAUUGUGAUUUGGUGGGGGUUUAUGCAAGACAAAUCUCAUCGGCCCGUGGUUUAGGGCCUCGUGCUUAGUAAAUGUCGCCAGGAUAUGCUGCACAUCACAAGAUUAAAUCACUAAAUAAACCCAAAUUGAGCACCAGGUUCUAUCUUAAUCGCAGUCAUAAAACCCUUUUAAAAGCACUCGGAAGAGUUAAAGUCUUCAACCAUUAAAUAAUUAUAAAACUAAUGAAAGGAUUUAUUCUCAAAAGGGUAAUGAUUCGUUGGGUCGUUUUGCAUCAAAAUCGGCUUAGGCCCAAAAUGAAAAACGGGCUUUUGAAAUUGGGCUAAUUUAAUUUUAAAAAUCAAAUUAUUUUAAUUCAUAAAUCGUGGGAAUUAUAAUCCACAUCAAGCUAGGGUUUUAGAGAAAAAAUUCGCCAAAUCGGUUCUGACAAAGCUCGAAAAAUUGGCCUAGGCGGAUCCGGUCCUUUUUUUCCUUGAGGCCGAGAUACCGAGCUCUCUCUCUUCCCCGACUUUGAGGGGCGGCGCUGAUUCGAUCACCUCGCCGACCUCCUCAUUUUGAAUGUCUGACACGUCUGUGGCUUUCUCAACCUCCAUGGUGCAAUCAGAACUCCAAGCGACGGUAGCAUGGAAGUUGUGAUUUUUGUACGGGUGAGAUUAAAUUAAUAUAUUUAAUAGGUGUAGUAUAGCCGAACGGCUAUACCCGUUAAAAAAUAUAUUUAGUGGGGCGGCUAUACUCUUUAAAUAAUGUAUUUCAUGGGUAUAGUAAAGCCGGGCGGCUAUACGCUUUAAAUAAUAUAUUUGAUGGGUAUCAUAUAGCCGAACGGCUAUACUCGUCAAAUAAUAUAUUUAAUGGGUAUAGUAACGCCGUCUGGCUAUACUCGUUAAAUAAUAUAUUUAAUGGUUAUAGUAUAGCAGUAUAGCCGAACGGCUAUACGCGUUAAAUAAUAUAUUUAAUGGGUCUAGUAUAGCCGCGCGGCUAUACUAUUUAAAUAAUAUCUUUAAGGAGCAUGCGGGUAUACGUUUUAAAAAGGUAUAGCCGCGCGGCUAUACUAUUUAUUAAAAUGAAAAAAAAAGGGGAAAAAAGGACCCGGCUAGCACCCACAAUUUUUUUUUUUUUUUUAAAAUUUUCCUGGGCGGGGGGCGAGUCUGGCAUCUCUACAAAUACAUCAAGCUAGGAUUUUAGCACUCACUCUUUCUCACCAUUUAUCAACAACGUAAAGGUUGGCUCUUCCAACAAUUCACUGUUUUUUUCUGUGCAUUAUUUUUGCUGCGACUUAGAGUGCGUUCAUUUGAAAUUUGUGAAAUUGUCGAUAGCUCUGAAGAAGUUGUCAAGUUUUGUGAUAAAUAUUGGGCUCUUUGUAUUGAAUAAGUCCAAGUUUCACCUGAAUUGCGUCUCUUUGAAAAUUCAAACCCUACAAGCUGAGAAAUUGCAAUUGAAAAUCAGUUCCAUUUUCUGUUUUGGUUUAUGUUAUGUUUGGUUUGUAGGAAGCUGAUGAUGAACAAAUAUUCUCUUACCUAAAUAUUCAGUUUCAUGUUUCUUUUGUUGUAUUGAUUGAUUAGUUACAAAGUGAGUUGGUCUGGUUAACUGACCCAAAAGGAGUAGGCUGCUUUAUCAGGAACACUUGGAGAGCAAUGAGGGUGAUCCUGAGUUACUUGUUGUUUUAUGUGUUAUCUUCAGGACAUGAGUUAAAGAAUGCAUAAACAUGCAAUGGAUGGGGACAGGGAGAUCCAUUGGUUGAGUAGUUGUACCCAUUUUUCCAUAUUUUCAUUCAAUUUCAAUGGUAACAUGUUUUGUUACAUCUCCAUAGUCAGAUCUGUAUGAGUUUUGAGUAUGGGAUUUAACCACUUAAUUUGUGUUGCAUCUUUAGAAAUUUUAUUAAAACCUACCAUUCGAAGACCAACUUAUUAGAUGAAGUUAUCUCUGGAAUAUUUUGUUCAUUUAUUUCUGAUAGAUUUACAUCAGAUCUCAAGAUCAAGAGCAUUUCAAUUAUUGGUGGUGCUAAAGAUGCCUGCAAAUUCGUGACAUUUCCCAGUCUUAAAAUUUGGUUCCGGUUUUGGUUUUUGCAAUUUGACCUGCGAUGCGAGGCUGCAACCACAAACACACACACACGUUAUCUUCGUAAGGCUUUAUAGCUCCGUAAUGAACUUCAAUCCGAAAAGGCAUCAAAUCAAAUCAUAUCACUGAAACUACAAUUUGAACGUUAUGAGGGAAGUGCGACAUGUUGAAUCUGAAUGAUUGUAGCCAAAAAUUGUAGUACGAAACCAGAGAGCAUUUCGAGCUAUCUUCUUCCAUUGGCAACAUAAUUGGUUCUUCUCCAAGCGGCAGUCAAGGCAAAGGCACCACGGAAUAUAAUUGGUUCUUGCUGUUCACUCGUACAUUUAGAGCCCAAAACACUCUUUCAUUCCUCUCACAUCACAGUCUUAGUUGUUUUUCAUUUACAGGCUUAUUUAAUCUGCUUCUGGUGAUUCAACAUUUGUUCUGGUGAAAUCACAUUUGUUCUGGCUCCAGUCAUAGAAUCUAACAAUUAAUUUACAGGUCUUUUCAUAUGCAUAAAAGGAUUUUUGUGGACACGUCACCUGAACUUAAUACCUAAACCCAACAAAUUGUUAUGCUCCAACCGACUCAAAAAAUUGUUAUAAAAAUGAAAACCAAUUUGCUUGAUGUACUCAAAGUCAAAGAUAGAACAAAAAAAUUCAUGACUUUUGAGUAGAAUACCAAACCGGCCUUAAAGUUUUCGACGAAUAAAAAUGGAGGAUUAUUUAUAAAACUAAUUAAAGGAUUAUUCUCAAACGGGUAAUGGUUCGUUGGGUCGUUUUGCAUCAAAAUUGACUUAAGACCAAAAAACAAAACGGGCUUUUGAAAUUGGUUCAUGGGUUCUCAGUUUGCCAAGAAAUUUACCUUCCAGUUCUUGGGUCAAGACUCUUGAACUGUUAGAUACGUUUUGAGAGAGGCAUGGAUACCCAGUCCCAUAUAUAUAGAAAACGAUAGUUCAAACUAUAGGAGAGAGGGGGUUUCUCACACACACAAUCAAGAAUCAAGGGAUUCGAAUCUAAGAUCUCUUAGAACAUCGGCAAUGGUUGUUCAAUAGUUCAAGAAAUUGAUCUUUUUUGGCAUCUAUUGAAUUGAAUUGCAGUUUUACUUGCAAUAGUAUAGUUCAAUAGUUUCAGAUCAAUAGUUAUAUCUAUUUAUAUAUUUUUUUUACAUACUCAAAUAAAAUAAAAGGGACAAAUUCAAUAACACUAAAAAUUGUAACAUUGCAAUAUUCUCAAAGAGAUCUUUAAAAAGAGACCAAUUUUGAAUAUAUUUGAAGAAAAAAAUUUAAUUAAUGUAUUUUUUUCUAUUGCAUUGAAUUAUUGAACAACCAUUAUGGAUGCUCUUAAAAACAUAAUACAUUAAUUGCUGUAUUUUUUUUCAAUUUUUAUUAACAUGUGGGUCCCAUAUUUAGCUUAUUACAAUUGCGUCUAUUGCAAUGAACUAAAUCACACCAUUGCAAGCGAGAUUUUACUGUUUUAAUUCAAUUUCAUGCAAUAAAAUUGCAUUGAUCCUAACUAUUGCAGAUACUCUUUAAUACAUUUUUCCACUGGGCUAGACCAUUGACGUAUUAACAUUAUCUUUAAUUCUUCAUUUAUUUGUCAUAUAGAAAAUUAUUACCCUUAAUAUAUUUUGCAAAAACAAAAACCCAUUAAUUUUUGGUCCUGCCUAAAAUGAUUAUUUCAUAUUGAUGGAACAUUUGUACCCAAUCUUAUAUCUUUCUGGGCCUGCAGCCUUGCACACAAAUUUGAAAUUUGCAAAUGAAAGGAAUACCGGAAUGGCUUGCAUUCCUUGACUCAAUGAGCACGGAUAGUUAUGAAGGCCCAGUCUCACCUAAUUUUGCAAAGGAUCCAACAGCCAAAAGAUUAAUAUCAUUCAUGUAUCUUGCAGUCAAAGGCUAGAAAGGCAAAUGAAUAUUCAAAUCAUAAAUUAAACCCUCUGGAGAGCUUCCAUUCCAAUACAAGCAUACCACCAAUCUGCAAGACAAAGCAAAGCACAAUCCUUGGAACAACAAAGAAAGAACCAAGAUUUUUUGUCUUGUUUUCUAAUUUAUUUGUUCAGAUUGGUAGAGUCGUUCGUUGCUUUUAAGGUUUGUUGAUCCAAAUGUUUUGUUUGUUUGGGUUAAAUUAAACCCAGGUAGACAAAUAAAAAAAUGGUCCCGCGCUUUUCGUAGUCUUCACUUUACUCGAAAAUUUGCAGUUGGGAUUGUGUUUAUAUAUGAGGAGGCUCAGAGCUUGGUGCUUCAGAAGCCAAGUCUCCAAAAGCAAUCAGCAGAAUCAUCCAAAGGUAGUGUUUUUAGUUCUCUAAUUAUCUUUUAUGAGUAAAAUGCAGCUACUCAUUUUGUAUUUAUUUAAUUAUUUUUGGUUUUUUGGUGUUGGGUUAGAGAUCCAAAGAAGAAGCCAUGGAGAACCAAAAACAGACCGACAAUGGCGCCGACCACAAGGAGGUUUGGCCUUUUUUUCUUCUGUUCUGUUCUGUUUUGUUCCUCAAGUUUUGUAGACGCUUUUCUUGACAUUGGGUUAUUCGUUAGGUUGCUUUUGGAGAAUAUUUAAUUCAGGAGAAUUGCAAUUGUCUUUUACUUUAUAAACAUGUAUUUUACUUUAUUCUUUUUUAUUUUACAGAACUCACUGAACUUUGAAAUCGAAGCAAAUUAACUUUUGAACACGAAAUAUAUAUAUAUAUAUAUAUUCAAAAUAAUGAACACAAAAAAUAGAAUUAUUUAUUUAUUUAUAAAUAAAUCUAAGCAGACAAUCUGACGUUACAUGGUAUUUGAUUUUGAGUCCUUAAAAGAGGAAAAUGAUGAUAAAGGGUUUUAAGAAGUAGCUACCUGAACUUAAAUGCUCCAAAUGCUCCAACAUUUUUAUGACUUCUGCUUUCUCCGGCUAGAAAUUGGUCAAUUCAAGUAGCAGCCAUGCUACAAAUAUCAUUCUGAACCAUGAUUUCUCUGGAGGGCUGCAUUCUUGGCACCCCAACUGCUGCGACGGCUUUGUAGUUUCAGCUGAUUCUGGUCACCCAGAAGCAAAGUCAGCAGGCAAUAAUUAUGCUGUUGUUAACAAUCGAAAAGAAUGUUGGCAAGGCUUGGAGCAAGAUAUCACUGGGAGAAUUUCCCCAGGUUCCACUUAUGUGGUUUCGGCUUGUGUUGGAGUCUCUGGACCUCUUCAGGGAUCUGCUGAUGUCCUGGCAACUUUGAAACUUGAAUACCAAGGUUCAGCAACUAACUUCUUGUUGAUUGGAAGGUAACCGAUGUUUUUACCGUAUUACUGCAUUUGUUUCUUUAUAGAUAAGGAACUUGUUUUAACAGUAGUAACCACCUGCAGAAUUUCUGUAUCGAAUGGGAGGUGGGAAACGUUGGAUGGAAAGUUUUCACUGUCAACAAUGCCUGAUCGGGUUGUAUUCUAUUUGGAAGGGCCUUCUCCUGGAGUUGACAUUCUUAUAAAGUCUGUUGUGAUCUCAUCUUCUAGUCCAAAGGAAUGCCAGGUACUUAUAGUCCCUUUUCUUGCUUCCUCAGAAGUAUAUAUGGAAGCAUUAGAAAGAGGUAGCAAUGAAGUGUUGUUUAUGGAAGAAGUUUGCAGCGACUGCUAUCAAGUUUUUUUCAAGUAGGAAAAGGUCUUUUUCUUCUUUGCUAUCAUCUAUUGCUGAUUGAUUUUGGAAUGUGUAUCUUCCUUUUGUGUUUUGAAAGAAUGGAAGCUCAGGAAAUGUCAAUCUUGGGGAUGAGAAUAUAAUCCUAAAUCCAAAAUUCGAUGAUGGAUUGAAUAACUGGUCUGGAAGAGGCUGCAAAAUUGUUCUGCAUGACUCAAUGGGAGACGGGAAAAUCGUCCCUCAAACUGGAAAGGUAUUUGCAUCUGCAACAGAACGCACGCAGAGCUGGAAUGGCAUCCAGCAGGACGUCACUGGAAGACUGCAAAGGAAGCUAGCGUAUGAGGCCACUGCUGUUGUUCGGAUAUUUGGUAACAAUGUCACUAGUUCUGAUGUACGGGCUACCUUAUGGGUCCAGUCACCAAAUCAACGUGAACAGUAUAUCGGCAUUGCUAAGUUAUUAUCUUUCUCCAUGUCUCUUUCUAAUGAAAUUGUCAUAUAAUUUGUUUCUUCAAUUAAAAAUCUUGAUUAUUUUGUUCAUUUGCACCUUAUCAGAUUAGCCUUAAUCUUAAUCGAAGUUGGUUUGCUAUAAAGUGUGCAGGCAACAGACAAGGAUUGGGCACAGUUGCAGGGGAAGUUCCUUUUAAAUGGCUCCCCAUCAAAAGUAGUCGUUUAUCUAGAAGGUCCACCAGCAGGAACGGAUAUUCUUCUCAACAGUUUUGUUGUCAAGCAUGCUGAGCGAGUCCCUCCCUCCCCUCCACCAGUUAUUGAGGUUUGUUGAUUAAGUGAUUCUUUUUCUAUAAUAUUUCUGAGCAUGUUUUCUUGGAGCUGACUACAAAGAUAUAAGCACUCAAGUUUUGGCUUUUGUUUUCAUAGAAUCCAGCCUUUGGAGUAAAUAUAAUUGAGAACAGCAAUCUAAGUAAGGGCACCAAUGGCUGGUUUCCGCUUGGUAACUGCACUUUGAGUGUCGGAACUGGUUCACCUCAUAUACUUCCUCCAAUGGCAAGAGAUGGCCUUGGACCUCAUGAACCUUUAAGCGGUCGCUACAUCCUUGUAACGAAGCGCACACAGACUUGGAUGGGUCCUGCCCAGAUGAUUGGUGACAAACUGAAACUCUUUUUGACAUAUCAAGUAUCUGCUUGGGUUCGGAUCGGUGCUGGAGCAACUGGUCCACAAAAUGUGAACAUUGCACUUGGUGUGGACAACCAGUGGGUGAAUGGAGGGCAAGUUGAGGCGAGUGACAACAGAUGGCACGAAAUCGGUGGUUCCUUUAGAAUUGAGAAGCAACCAUCCAAAGUAAUGGUUUAUGUCCAAGGCCCUGCUCCAGGUGUAGACUUAAUGGUUGCUGGAGUUCAGAUAUUCCCUGUUGACAGACAAGCAAGAUUUAAAUACUUGAAGAGGCAGACUGAUAAGGUAAAGGGGUUGUUCUUUCAUUUGUUUUGCAAGUAUCAUUAUAAGUAUUUCCAGCAUGACAUUAUUACAAGCAUCAUCAAACUUGUCUCACUGAGCAUUGCUUCAUAAGAUAAGAGCCUAAAGUAUAUAGUGAUCUGAAUUCGCAUUCCCCUAAUUUGUUCCAAAUUUGAGUAUUUCUCCUUUGUUGGAAUGCAGAUCCGAAAGCGUGAUGUUGUCCUAAAAUUUUCAGGAUUGGACUCAAGCAGCCUGCUUGGCUGCUUUGUGAAAGUUAAACAAACGAAAAACAGUUUUCCAUUUGGGACAUGCAUAAGCAGAACAAACAUUGACAAUGAAGACUUUGUUGAUUUUUUCGUUAAGAACUUCAACUGGGCUGUAUUUGGAAAUGAGUUGAAGUGGUAUUGGACUGAACCCCAAAAAGGAAAUUUCAAUUACAAGGAUGCUGAUGAGUUGGUGGACUUAUGCAAGAGUCACAACAUAGACAUCCGAGGUCAUUGUAUCUUCUGGGAAGUGGUGGACACAGUCCAGCAAUGGAUCCGUUCAUUGAGCCAAAAUGACUUGGCAACGGCUGUCCAAAGUCGGCUCACAGAUCUUCUUACCCGCUACAAAGGGAAGUUCAUGCACUAUGAUGUCAACAACGAGAUGCUGCAUGGCUCAUUCUAUCAAGACAAGCUGGGUAAAGAUAUCAGAGCAAAGAUGUUCAAGAGUGCAAACCAACUGGAUCCAUCUGCAACUCUGUUUGUGAAUGAUUAUCACGUUGAGGAUGGAUGCGAUACUCGAUCAUCACCAGAGAGGUACAUUGAACAUAUUCUUGAUUUGCAACAGCAAGGUGCACCUGUGGGUGGCAUUGGAAUUCAAGGACAUAUAGAUAGUCCAGUGGGGCCGAUUGUUUGUUCUGCUCUUGAUAAAUUGGGCAUUCUUGGCCUGCCAAUCUGGUUCACAGAGCUUGAUGUGUCAUCAGUCAAUGAACAUGUUCGAGCGGAUGAUUUGGAAGUGAUGCUGAGGGAAGGUUUUGCCAAUCCUGCAGUAGAAGGUAUAAUGAUGUGGGGUUUCUGGGAGUUGUUUAUGAGUCGACAAAACUCGCAUUUAGUGAAUGCAGAAGGUGAUGUGAACGAAGCUGGAAAACGCUACUUAGAGCUCAAGAAAGAGUGGCUAUCUCAGGCUCAUGGCCACAUUGAUGAGCAGGGAGAGUUUAUAUUUAGAGGCUUCCAAGGAACAUACAAUAUAGAAAUUGCCACUGCCCCAAAGAAACUUGUGAAGACAUUUGUUGUCGGCCAGGGUGAGUCGCCGGUAGAGGUGCCCAUUGCCCUAUAAAUUUGCUGCUUCACUCAGUGAAGGGAUCAUUAUUUUCAUACCUUACAUUUCAAAUUUGUGUUGCAUUGUUGUCACAGUUGUGCACAGAAAAAAGGUUCCACAUGUAUAAAACACAGAAUAAGAAAUAAGAAAUAAGAUGAAGUUUGUUGGUUGUGAUCAGUCCGACGCAGAAUAUGAAACAAGCCCAUUUGGCCUAUUGAGCUAAUGGGCCAAUCUUUCUUUUAAGAAUCGGGCCGUUAUCGAUAUCGUCUCUUUAACUGACUCACACACAAAAAUGUUACGAAUUGAUGUACAUAAAUCGUGUGGAGUUACAUUAAACUUUACCAAAUAUGUAGAAGAAAAAAAAUUGAGGGAGGAGCAUGUACAAAUCGUGUGUCUGCCUAUCUCCUCCUAACAAUCAUUUGGGUCCCAAAUUAUAUAAAUCAUGGAAAUUGGGCCCAAACCCAAAAUGCCUUUAUCAAAGGGAAUGGGCCCACCCAACACCAUCACAUCAAUCUGAUAGACUCCCACCAUCUACUACUACUAGCUAUAUAUCACUAUCACUAUGACAACUAGUUCUCUACUUCUCUCUCUCUCUCUCUCUCUCUCUCUCUCUCUCUCUCUCUCCCUUACCAUGAUUAUGAUGAUAAAUGGGACCCAAACACAGUCCCAUCCCUGUCUCUAAAUACCUGGUUCCAGUGGACCCCACACCCCACAUGGGUGCAUAGUCAGGCUUGCCCGUGGCUCAUAUUAGCCGACCCCCUUCUAUAUCUCUCUUAUUAAUGCCCAUUUUACCAUCCAUAUAUAUUUGUUACUGAGCUUGUCUAUUUCAAUUAUUAUAGACAUGAAUUUUCGCCGUUUGUUUGUUUAAUGUGUCCAGAUUGAACUUAUUAAAUUUAACAAUAAUUCAAUAUAUUGUGUUUUAUAAAUUAUACUUAUAAAAAUUAAUUUCAAUUUAAUUUCAAUUCAAUCCAAACAGACCGUUAAACGAUUAUGGAUGUCAGCAUCACGAGAGUUUUACGAUUGAUUUGAUGGGGGGGUGUUCGGUGGGUCGCAGACGUAUCAGAAGGUUUGAAAGAAAAGUCUAUUUUCUUCUUAAAAAUGGUAAAAUAAAUUUUUAUGAAGAGAAAGAAAAAAAAAGUUUGAAGGGAAUGAAUGAAUGAAUGGUGGAGCGAGAGACUGAGGAGAGAGAGAGAGAGAGAAGUGGGGACUGGUAGGAGGAGCAGAGUGAGUGAGAGAGUGAGAGAGAGUUAUGAUGUCUAGUGCAUUGGGAAACAGCUCCCGCGCUGUUUUCGCGCGCCUUCCCCCAAAACGACAUCGUUCGUGGGACCCACCCACCCGCUCCUGAAAUAAGCUCCUGUCUGUCAUUAACCAACACCUCCGCUGCCACUCACACACAGUCUCUCUUCUCACAUUUGAAUAAUCUUUUUCUUCUUUUUUUUCUUUUUUAAUACCUUAAAAAAUAAUAAACUCCAGAAUUUCUUCACUGUGUGCUAAUCAAAAUGACUGAUGGGUCAUCCACUGGUAGUUCUCUGAAACCCUAACCCUAUAGAUUAAUAUAAAUCCUGAAAUGAAAACAUCAACUUCUGGCACGUGCUACAUUUUUAAACAUUUUAUUCAACUUGUCAUAAUUCAGAUUUUAUUUUUAAUAAGUAGAAUAGAUAAAUAAAGGUUUUCUUGCUUUUGGUUUCUUUCUUCCUUCUUUUUAUUUUAGGGUUCUGAAUCUGAAUCUGAAUCUCUACCCAAGGAUUCAGAGUCAAGUACUGAUAAGUGACAAUUAACACAAAUAAUUCUUUUUAGUCAAAGUGCGUUGACCCUUUUCCCACGGGACAAACUCAUCUGGUUAAGUGGCUUAAUCAGAGAAUUUAUCAGUAGACAUAAUACAGUUGUUCUCGUACACUGCUGUAUGUGUUUGCAUAAUCCUCAAAUGGUUGUUUCUGUCUUCUGAAAAAUAAAUGUUAUGGGCUGUUUUUUCGUUUUUGCAUUGAAAAGUUUAACCAACCGCAUUAUAUGAAUAGAUUAUAUCGCGUGAUCGUAUUACAAUAUUACAAUAACAUGUUGAUACCAUUAUAUUAAACAAAUUUUUUACGCGGCCACGUGGAAGACAUGCAAGAAGAUUUACUGAUAAUCAGAGACAUAUGGGUCACCAUGAGUGUCUAUGACAAUAGUAAAUUAUCAUUAAUCAUAGCUACGCUGCUACGCAUAUAUGAAUUUAAGUAAUGAAUUAAAGUAAAGGCUUUUGACUGAGAUUCUCUCCUGGUUGUUGGAGUGGGCAUCAGCAUACUUACCUACAAUUAUUAUGAUCUGGGACAUUCAAAGUGCAAAGAGAAAGCAGAUUCUGUCCUGUUAGCUUUUGCUAACUCGGGUAAUUUUUAAUGAUAGACAUGUGGAAAACCAAUUUGAAAGACUAUAGAUGAAAGUCCAUGCACUAAAUUUGUUUUGUGAGGGCUAGCUUUAAUUACUUUAGAAAAAAAGCUUGACAUUGAGAAAGAAACGUUCUGAUUAAGAAUCAUUAAAAAGUCGCUUAAGUUAAUUCGUAAUAUCAUAUGCUUUCAAUUCAAUCAUCCAGAUGUCAUGAUUUACAUGCAGCUUAUAACCAUUAAUUAAAUCUACUUUGAAACUAAUUAUGAUACGCUGCUGAAAAUUUUAAACUUUUGCUGGAGGGAAGCCUUUUAAUAAUAAUUACUAGAUUUAUAUUCCUCUAAUAUUCAAAAUUAGUUUUUUUGGGAUUUUUAUAUCCAACAUAGAGCAUAAAGAAAUGCCAAAUGUUUUUUGGUAUGCUGACAUUCUUAUUGAUAUUGUUUAUUCUUGUAAGAGGAAUGAGGAAUAAAAUACUAAUUUUCGUUUUUCAUUCUCAAAUUAUUCUCAUGGAAUGAAUUGUGAAAUCAUUUGGAAUAUAAGCGAAAUUCUACGCUAAAUUACAGGAAAUGAGAUUCAAACUCGAGUAAAUACGACAAAUUCAAAGUUAAAACAACAUUGCCAAUUUACAAACUCCCUCAUCAAUAAUUCAACCCCUUACAAAUUACAUGUCCAAUGAAAAUGAGACUCAUAAGAGCCAAAAAGAAAAGAAAAAUUGUACAGAUUCAAUAGGUUAUUGAUGCAUGAUAUUGCAAAAAGUCCAUGGGUAAAGACAGACAAGAUACCUUUUCUUUUUUCAACAACUUGAGUCUUUAUGUUUACGCUAAUUAUAUUAUUUUCUGUUCCCAUCAAAUCCGACUCUUAAAGAAGAAAUUAGACAUAUAAUACCUUAUUCUUAAUCUUUUAGUCAAUACUCAAUACUUAGUGCUCAUCACUGUACGAUUGAAACAGCCAGCUUUGAUCUUUACCCUUACAAAUUAAAGACAAACCUUUUAUUGUUUCACAUUGGUUGCGACCCUCCAACCUCUUCGCUUUCAUAAUUAGACACAAAAGUCGAAUACUUACCGAGCUAAUAAAGCCAAGACAAUUGUUUUAACUUAUGCUUUUGUAUGCUAAGCAGCUGGGUGGGGACGAAUGAUUAUCUUAAUCUAGGUCUUCAAAACUUGAGUACGUGGACAAUAUCCUUCCACGUAUAGCUUCUUAAUCUGGAAUCGCAGCCGAACAUUAUCUCCUUGGAUGCUUUUCAUUAACUUUGAUUGGUUGCUUAACCAAGUAUUUUAAAUACAUUAUCUCCUACUACGGUACGUAAUGUAUGUCUUGUCUUGUGAUGUAUUCAAAAACCUUUGUCUCACUCUCACUCAUGAGACCAACAGUUCUCCCAUAAUCAAACAUACCAAUCUUUCUUUUUUACUAUUACUAAUUAAUAAUGAACUGCCCAUCAAAUUUCUGGUAGGUCAAGGGUAUUUAAUUUAUAGCAUCGUAUUUAUUUAUGCUAAUUUAAAUUUACAAAAAAAUAAAAAAUGUAAGUUAAGUCAAUCGGUUUAAAAAAAUGAUAAAUUUAUAGCAUCAUAUUAGUUUAUGCUAAAUUUAAAUUAAAAAAAUAAUAAUAAAUCCGAGUUAGCUCAGUCAGUCAAAAGAGCAGUGCGUCCAUCACUUAGAAUUGUUUGAAAUGUUGCAUUCAAAGAAAACAAAACCAACUACGGAUAAAAAUGUGAAGUAUUAACCUGUUGCAGUGAAAGUUUUUCCUCCAAGUUAUCUUAGUUAGCUCUGGUAAGAAAAUAUUACCAGCAUAUAUUGAAGGAAGUUUUGGGUUGAUGUUAUUUAUUUAUGCGCUCUGUUGUAAGUUGUGAGUGAGUUGACAGGAACAGCUCAUUCAUAUGAUGAUGAGAAGAUGGUGAUGUGAUUGGGAAAAGGGAGGCACCAAUAAUAGACAGGUGAACUGUGCAUCCAAUCUAAUCCCCGCCAACUCAAACCCGAUGGUGCAUGUAUAUAUUCGUGUUAGGAUCACAACUUGCCACGACGUUUCUGAUUGGACAACAUUAAAAAUUAAAAUAAACCAAUACUACGUAUGUUACUUAUGUCCUCCGAUGUAUAAAUUAUUAAAUUUCCUCCCAAGUUUGGUCAUCUCUUUUUAUCUUUUUAGAAUUUAACUUUUAAACUUAGUCGGUAGUUUUUGUGAUAUUCUGUGGAACUAUUUCUGCUCAAAUGGAAGCCAAACUGAUGCGCACCAUUUUUUCUAAGAAAGAGGCCAAACCCAAACUGGUAGCUGCCCCAAAUAAGAAGGGUGCCAAGUGUAUUUAGCUUCUAUUUUAAUUUAUUUCUGUUUUUGUAAUUGACUUAUAUUUUAAUGUCAGUUGGGAACGAAUGUAUCUAUUUAAGUUUGUUUUCACCAACCGGUCUUUAUUCCGUAGAAAAAUAAACUUGACUCGCAAAUCUGUGAUUUCAAGUUUAAACUCCCACGUGUCUAUAAGAAACUCCUCAUUCUUUUGUAGUUUAAACUAUCAAUUGUAUUUAAAAAAUAAACAUUACAUUCCACUUAUCCUUACAUGAUACCCAUUAUUAAACCCUUCAUAGGGUGUCUCUUUAGCAAAUUAAAUCUACUCUUUUGAACAUGAAACCCAGUAUUUUUCACUUUAUAGGGUGUUUGUUUAGCAAAUUAAAUCUACUAUUUUUCACUGCAUAAUGUCUAUCUUCUCCUUCUUCUUUUUUUUUAGGGGUCAAAGAAGUAUUGUUCUUGGGGAGUGAGUGAGUGAUAGAAAGAAAGAAAUAGUAGAAGGUGCAUGGGGAAGAGGCGAAGAGCAGUGUGAGUGAGUGACAAGUGAAGAUGGGGGGCACCUGCUGCCAGUACUAGCUACUAGCUACCACCCUGGUCGUGUCUUCCUCUUGGACACGUCCAAUCUUUCUCUCAUCUCAACUCUGAAAAAAAGCAGAAAGAAAAUGCAGUUAAAAACUUAAAAGCAUAUAAGCUUACUGGCUAAGGACAUGUUUGGCAAUUGGUGCAUGGCCAUGGCCCCGCCCAACGGCUUUAGGUGUACAUGUAGCGCGAGUCUCCCGGGGGGAUUCUUUACACGCUUUAUAUAUAUAUAUAUAAGGCCCUCUGAUCAUCUGAUCAGUUUUCAGUGGGGUCUUUCUCUCUCUUCUCCUCUCUCGCUCUCUUUAAAUUCUCUGGGUGCGUGCGUCGUGCGGGCGAGAGAAGGUGGUCGUCGCCGCCAGCUAUACCUCGUGUUGCAGUGCUGCACAACCAGCAAAACGACGUCACACCACACACCCCACCCCUCCCAUUCCCUUCUCUACAUAAUAUUUUAAUAUUAUUAUGUCACUGUUAAGGUUAAUUUGUCUUGCUCUGUUUUGCUGUUUUGCUCUUUUUCACCUAUGUAUGCGUCAUUUGACUGACUCAUUUGUACACACAGCCCUCCUCUGGGUCCCAUUCCACUGUUUACCGUUGAAAUUUCGUACUCCUACGGCCCUACCUUUUAUAUAUGUGUACAUAUAUUACUAAUAAUACAGAUUGCACUACGGAUCAUCUUCUCUAGUGACCUAGUCCUCUGUAUGCAUGUAUGAAAGUGAAUAAUACGAUAGUAUGAUUACGUGCUAUAUAUUGUAUAGGUGUUAUAAAUUGAUAUGUAUUGAUAUUAUUUCUUAAAAGAAAGGAAAAUAAACUAUAUUGUCUAUUCAUGUUGUAACAUACGUACAUAAAAUAUAUCACGUGACCAUACUACUAUAGUAUUCUAUAAUUUAUUCUUCUUUAAUGACCUAGGCCUUUGUAUGCAUGUGUGAACAGUGAAAGUGAGGCCCCCCCCCCAACUAUGCACAAUUGUACGUUAUAUUUUGUUCCAUUAUUAUUUCAUCUAUUAUUUUUCAAUUCCUUUAUUGCACCCCCUUUGUUAUAACAAGAAACCCUCACAUGAUGAGUGAUACAUUAUGGGACUCACAUGUAUAUAUCAACGCUUCACGCUUAUAUAUGCAUAUAGAUGCACAAAGAUAAAGAAAAAGAAAACCAAUUUAUCUUGUAUUUUUAUAACAAAUCAAUUUUCUCUCCCUUCCUCGUUCCUAACUUUGGCACACCAAAAAAGGAGGGAGUUUCAAGGUUAGGGGGUCGCUUGUUUAGUAGUUGUACUCUUAAAUGUAAACAUCUUUUAAGAGUAUACUACGUCGUAUCUAUUCUCGGGAAGUUAAGGGGAAGUAGAAAUUUUUUUUAUAGUUUAUGCUCGAUAGUUAUGCGACAUUAAGUCAAUCAAUUGUCAUUUCAUUAUAAAUUCUUCUAGGUGUUCGAUGAGAGGUUAGCUACUGAGAUUUGCAUUCAGAUCCUGUCGAUUGAAGGAAAAAAUGAAAGCGGAAUAUUGCUGACCUGUUAAAUGUGUAACUGGUUUAAUUUGAUUGUAAGCUGUAAAAUAGCUAAGCAUGUGUGUUAAGGCAUUAAGAUGCUCUAAACCGUUGAAUAAAAAAAUCCAAGUCAAUGGAAAAGAAGAAAAGAUGGAGCGUCUUGUAAGUAAGUAAAUAAUACACGUCUAGAUUAUUCUUAUCGUCAUCAAAUCAAUAAUUAUUUGAUGUUACAGUGGAUAAAGCAGCUCCAAGAACACAGUAAAAACUUGAUUAAACAACACUUUUGUCAUGUUUAACUAAAACAAUUAGGCAAUGAGAACAUCAUCAUUUUAGUGCUAUGCUUAUCCUUUAAUUGCGCCUGUCAUUAGCGUGCUUUGGUUAAUGAGACAAAACCCCAAGGGAACUGUAUCCCCAAUUUGUUUGUCCAUCAAUUUCUCUUUCGGGUGCUUAUUGGACCUGAAGAAGAAUGAUUAAUGAUUGUUAGUGCAAAUUAUAAUGGGGUUAUGGUAUGGAUAAGUUUUUUUUAUCCAUUGUUUAUUUGUCUUCUGGUUUUAAUUGAAGAGGGAUUAUAUGAGAUUGAUGAAGGAAGUUGAGGUUCUACUUCAAAAUUAAUUGGCUUUAUAAGCUCUUUCAAAGUUUGUUAGUUUUCAAAUGUGAGACAUUUCACUUUAACAGUCUCGUUCUAUUUCUUCAUUCAACUGCCAAUUCUCGAAAUAGAAAAGGUGUGAGGGAUUAUAGUUUUAGUAUAAGGUGCUUAUUUUCACCAUAAAACUCAAAUUAAAGUGAUGGUUGUGCACAAGUUCCCGCAUCUAAUUUAAAUUAUACAUUUCUAAUGUGAAAUGAAGGGUUUAGCGGAAUGUGUAAUUGUUGAGUAACCAAUAACUAUUUGGUGUAGUGACAUUUAGGGCUUGUUCGGUAACUUUUUUGGAGAAUAUUUUAUGAUAAUGAAAACGAGAAACAAAUUUGCAUUUACAGGAUUCAAAAAUACGGCUGGUAGAUUAAUUGAAAAAUAAAAUUAUAAAAUAAAGAUAGUGAAAACGUGUCUGGUAUGACAAUUUGAGAAUAAUAAUAUGGGAGUUAUUUUUUGAUAAUUUCUAUCCUAAAAAAAUGUAUUUUUUUAAAAUCUGAUAUUUUAAAGGUUAAAAUUAUUACAAACAAUGAAAAAUGUAUAAUUUGAGAAUAACAAUGCAUAAUUAAAAUAAUAAGAAAAUCUAAUUUUAAGAAAACCUAAAUAAUAAAAUUCGAUUAUCUUUAGUUUAAAAUAAAUAUUUAAAAAUAAAUAUGAAAUUGAAUAAUAUUUGAUAAAAUUAAUAUACACUGGUGUAGCAAAAUAAAAUAAUGAAGUGGAACAAGAAAAUUGAAAAAAUAAAAUAAAAUCAGACUAACAAAAAAAAAAGGAAAAAAAAAACAAUCAGACCAAUGCACUGGGUAGAAAAUGAUAAUUUGUGGUUUUCAAUUUUUCUACAUGAGUUUUAAUUUGUUUUUAGAAAAUGAAUUUCAGUAAAAAUGAAAAGAACAUACCGAAAUCAUUUUUGAUAGAAAAAAAAAACGGAACUUUAAAAACGUUACCAAAUGGUCCCUUAGUCACUAUUUUGUUAGAAUAUAGUAUCUUGAAAGUUGUCCAUGAAUAUUUUCAUAAUUUUAGUAAUAGUAACUUGUUGAAUCUACAAUUCAAUUAACUAGUAUAAUUUUUUUUUUGUAGUGUCACAUGAAAAAAUUAUCUCAUGUUUUAUUGCGCUAUUGGUCGGGAAUAGCAAAAAAUGCAAUACCCGUUGCAUGAAAGUCUUAGUGGAGCUAUACUAACUUAAAUUUUAAAAAAUUAAAUAACAAAAAAAAAGAGUAUUUUUUUAUAAUAAAGAUUCAAAAGAAAAGAAGAAAGUUAAAAUAGUGCCCCAAAUGUCUAUAUAUGCAAAAAGAAACGAAAAUCAUAUUAAAUUCAAUUAAACGAGAAAGGAGCAAAUAAAAGAUUCAAAAAUGGGAAACGUCCGUGAAACAAAGGUUAAAAAUCAAGACUAAGAGGGAGAGAGCAAGAAGAUCAGAGAGAGAGAUGGAAGAAAAAUCUACAAUCUAUUGAGUUGCCUUAUCGCUAGGUCUCCUAGAGAGUCAUAGCUUUUAAGCAUUUUCAAAUAUUUCUCUUUUCUUUCAACAAAGCAAAGCCAGUCUCUUUCAACCUCACCCUCACAACGGGGAGCCCCUAGUUGCCGGUUCCGGCCACGCUAUCUCCUCCACUUCCCUCCUCUCUCUGAUAUUCCCAAACCAUCACUCAUGAUUCAAACGCAAGCACAAUUGAUACAUAUUCUGUAACGCAAUUAUAACAUGCUUAGUUCCCCGUUUAGCUUCACUUCCUGGCCUCCAUAAUUUCAUGGCUUGCCAGUAAUAUUACUUCCCAUUUCUCCCACUUAACUCCUUGACCUUUUUUGCGUAUAAAAACUCCGGCCAUGCUUUGUUUGUCCACUAGGGUUUUGGUCUCUUCCUCUCUUGCUCUAUUUCUUCUUCUUGCUUUAGGGUUUUAGUUUGCUCUUGUUGAUUGGAAAUCAUCUGGGUUUAUUGAGAGGAAAUGGAAGAGUACAACCAAAUGGAUCAUGAGAGCUCAGGUGGUAGAGGAAAUUUCCUGUACGCCUCACCAAAUCUUGGAGGCAACUAUGGGAGGGCAAGCCAUGAUCAUCAGAUGGGCAUCAACGCCUUUCAUCUUCAAUCGAGCGGUGGUGGUGAUUUCCACUCUCCAGGAGGAGCACACCCAAUUAAUGUCAAAACUGAAGCCAGCACAUCCCAUCAUGGCCAUCACAAAUUUCAGUACAACAACAACAACAACAACAACAAUAAUAAUCCUCUUCUGUCAUCAAGAGGACACCAACCAGUAGUUCAACAACAGCAUAAUCUGGACCGUCAAAACGAUGAUCACACCCUGAGCUCCAACGAAGUGGAAGCCAUCAAAGCCAAGAUCGUCGCCCACCCUCAGUACUCUAACCUCCUGGAAGCUUACAUGGAUUGCCAAAGGGUAAGUGUUUUAUUAAUUAAUCAGUUAUAUUCAUGUUUAUUUAAGUAAUUAAAAACAAACUUAUAUGUGUGUGUGUGUGUGUGUGUAGGUGGGAGCUCCGUCUGAAGUGGUGGCGCGGCUAACAGCUGCUAGGCAGGAGUUUGAGGCAAGGCAGCGGUCUUCUGUGGCUUCAAGAGAGGCUUCAAAAGAUCCAGAACUCGAUCAGUUCAUGGUGAUUCAUUUUCCAAUUUCAUUCCCUAUAUUAUUACAUGAACAUUUGAUUGAAUUUUUGUUUUUCCUAUUUCUAUUUGGAUCGGUGACAAUAAAAUAAUAAGCAGGAAGCUUACUAUGAUAUGUUGGUGAAAUAUCGAGAGGAGCUAACAAGGCCCAUACAAGAAGCCAUGGAUUUCAUGCGGAGGAUUGAAACUCAGCUCAACAUGCUUGGCAACAAUAAUGCUCCUCCACUUCGCAUCUUCUCACCCUCUGGUAAUUUUAACUCGGUUUCUCUCUGCACACUCACAUCACACACGUAUAACUUUUGGGGAAUAUAUUCUUAAAUAUUUAGUAGCAUUGGAAAGGAGCUUGUUGGAGUGACAAAAUUGAUGUGGGUUUUGCUUUGGUCUUGGGAUGGUGCAAAAAAAAAAAAAAAAAAACUGAUAGUCCGACUGUUUUGUCUCUCUUUGAGAAACCAAAACUUGUCAGUUUCUUCUUUUCAUUUGAUUGAAGUGGCGGGUCAAAUCCUGUGUUCAUGUUCUGAGUUGAAGGGAAGAAUUUUGACCCCAUCAAAUAAUGUGCCUUCCCAUAGCGAAGAACAAAGAGGGAUGAGUAAGCUAGACGAAGAAGAAGCAAUAACCCCGCACCAACCCUUUUUAAAUUGAUUCACGAGUGAGUGGCUUAAUUAGUUAACAUACCCAAAUGAUCACGAGCUUAAUAGUGUGAUGAAGACCUAAUUUUUUGCUUAUUUGUUUUGAUUUUUAAAGAAGAUAUAUCCACAUUGGAAAGAAAAGGAGUAUUAAUUAAGACAAAACAGAAUUCGUGUAGCUAAUCUCUGACAAAUUCUCAUUCUUAUUAGGGUUUCUUGCCCCAAAUCAAGACGUCCUUUCUGGUUCAUAAAUUCUAUAUGGGGAUGGAAUGAUUGUCUUCAUUCCCGAGCCUCACUAGAUCUGCUAAAAAGGGUAGUCUCUAACUAUAAUGUUGUGGAUAAACAAAAUCCCUAAACCUCAUACAGACCAAAAAGAGAAGACAAUCUUAUAAUAGAGAAAACAUAGGAUGCUGUUUAAAUCAGCUACACCAUGUAGUCAGUACGGACAUGUCAGAAUUAAAAUAAAACACCACCAUUUAUUAAUUUCCAUGCUACUAGCUAAUAGCUAUACGCCCUAUAUGUACUGAUCCAGAUUUGACUUAUCUUCAAUUCAUGCAUAUUAUUGUUGUUUUCGUUUCUGGUGUUGGGAGUUGCCUAGCUAACCUAUUAGCUAGCUAGCUACAGAAAAGGUAAUUCUUUUGUUAGGUACCUGUUCAGUCAAAACUGAAACUAGUGGCCAUGGAGAUCAGUCUGUUUAUCACUCCACACGCAGGCUUCAUAUAUCCUGACCUUGAUAGUAACUAACGUUGACCGAUUCAUUGAUCUGAAAAAAACUUUUUGAGAUAAACUAGAUAAUUAUAUUUUCAAGAAAAAACCCUUUUUUAUUGUUAAUUUUUACGUGAAGAACUGCAAAAAUCCUUUGGUUGAGCUUCUGUUUCUCUCUACCAAGGUUUUGAAUAGUGUAUCCAAAGUGGUGCUUCUCCCAUAAAAAAUAUUCAUCCUUUGGGAAAAUUUUAUUUUUUGGGGUGUAAAUAUGUAAUCAAUCAUGUUAUGAAUUUCAAGAUGUGUUUUUUUGUUGUUGGCGAAAAAUGAUUUAAAGAUAUGAUACAAAACCCCAGAGUUUUGCUGAGAAUAUUUCUUCUUAAUUAAGCUAAUAGUCACAAGUUUGAGUAAUUUGAUUGGUACAUAUAUACUGCAUGUACACAGAGGACAAAUGCGAAGGACUUGGUUCAUCUGAAGAGGAGCAGGAGAAUAGUGGUGGAGAAACAGAAGUGCCUGAGAUUGAUCCAAGAGCUGAAGACAGAGAGCUCAAGAACCACCUGUUGAAAAAGUAUAGUGGUUACUUAAGUAGCCUGAAGCAAGAGCUUUCCAAGAAAAAGAAGAAAGGGAAAUUGCCCAAAGAUGCCAGGCAGAAGCUUCUCAGUUGGUGGGAGUUGCAUUACAAGUGGCCAUAUCCUUCAGUAUGUUUCCCCCCUGAAUCCUAAUAUAUAUUAUAUAAACAUUUCUUGCUUGCUAUAUAUUCGUGCUAUGUUACGAGGCCUUAAUCUAAACAUUGAUUAGAUGACCUUUUAUAAUUUGACGACAUAACAUGUCAGAUAUGUGACAAUAGUUUACUACAUACAGGAAUCGGAGAAGGUGGCAUUGGCGGAGUCGACAGGCUUGGAUCAGAAGCAAAUAAACAAUUGGUUCAUAAAUCAGAGGAAGAGGCACUGGAAACCCUCAGAGGACAUGCAGUUCAUGGUGAUGGAUGGCCUACACCCUCAGAAUGCGGCCCUGUAUAUGGAUGGACACUACAUAGGUGAUGGCCACUACCGUCUGGGGCCGUGACCGAAACAAGUCAUCAAAAGAGGUUGUGGCCUCUUCUGCUCGUGCAGGGCUCUCACAUGGAAAGUUUGGUUAAAUUAAUUCCAUAUAUAUCCAAAAGACAAAGCAAACUGCUUAAAUCAUAGUUUGUGAUUUGUAUUGCUAGAAACUUGGGAAAUGAAUGUUCUACAUUCCAAUCUGAUAAUUUAUAUAUAUUUCUUUUCUGUUAUUACAAAUGUUGUACUUUGUUCUCAAAUUUUAUCCAGUGUGGUCUACAUCUUUCAGUUUCUAUAGUCGUCUUCGACUCGUUUGCGUUUUAAAAAUCGAUUUGGGAUAUUAUUAAGACGUUCUAGAAUUAAUGUUGCCUAAUUGUGGAAAGCCCUUUUGAGUAGGAGUGCAAAAACAUAAACUGAUUUGCAGCAUCAGUUGGGCUGGUCUGGUCCAUGGUGGCUGGCAGGGCGGCAUAACUUACUUAUAAAAACAUGAUAUUUUAAAUAGGAUCGAUCCAAAUGGUAAUGAAGUUAGGUUGGUUCGGUUUCAAUCAGAUCAGACCAUAAAGUUCUAAGAGGAAAAGUUUUUUCUUUCUCCUUGGGUUGUUUGUUAAGGAUAUGAUAAAUUAAGUUUAAUCCACAAUUCUAGGAAUAAUUGUCUUCAAUAGUAGAGGGCAGAUUCAACUGGUUUAAUGGGGCGGACAAAACAUGUUAGGUUUAAUAGUUACAUGGUGUUUGAUAGGCCUUCACGAGGUCAUAAAAAAAACAACAACGAGAUAAAGACGACAGAAAGCAAAUGCCCACGACAAUUGUAACGUCAAAAACACAAAAACAAGGAAACCCUCCUCCAAUCCAAAACACAAACGUUGGCCUAUAGUCUGCCCAUUAAAGUUGAAACUGAUCAAUUUGAGUCAUUUUCCGAUAGCAUUAUUAUAGGUAGUUAGGUAAUUAAUAUAUAUGUAAGCACUUUCGGAAGUUGUGGAUGGUGCCGUGCUCUUGGAACCCAGCUACAGUUUGAGAAAGAAAAAAAAUCAUGUCAUGAAUAAUUGGUUUAGGUAAAUCCCAUUAUAAAACAGUACGAAUCUUAUCUUUUCACUAUUACUACGGAGAUAUAUUUGAACCAUAAGCAAUUGAACAAUUAAUCCACGUCCUCAUCAACACUACGUAGCAUCUCUUUCUCAAGGAAAAUUAUAACAGCAAAAGAAACUUUUGAAGGUGUGUGUGUGCAUGUGAUUGGGAAGUCUCAAGACAGAAAUGGGACAAAUUCUUUCUGUUCGUUUGUGAUAAAUUUGAUGCUUAUUAUGAAUUUGUAUUACAUAUGCGUUGGCAUUUUCCAGUUCCUUUUUGUUAAAUCCAAAAUUUUGAUUACGUUUAUACGACAGUAAAAGAAGAGGUGAAAGUAUACCACCCAAAAAAUUAAACCCUUAUAAAAACACAAAAAGGUGACAACAAGAGAUCUGUGGGUCAGUGGCUAUGGGCUGAACAACCCAACCAAUUUUCCAUUUCCAUGGUUUGGGCUCAAUGUUAUGGAACAAGUCUUACUGAACGUGCAGUAGUGGUCUGACCGUGACUCAGUCUGAGCUCAACUGCAACCCAACUUCGGCUCUUUCAAAUUAUAAUCAGCUCACAACUGAGAGAGGAUCUCUAUACCAAAGUGAUGGGGUAUUGAGAAAAUCUGAAAUUUGAGAGAAACUUAGAUAUCACGGGUAUGUCAAGUGAUAAAGAAAGAUAGAGAGAGAUUAGUAAACUUAUUCUGUAAGACUUGUUUAUAAUAAGUUUGAGAACAAUUUUAAUCGCUGCCCUAUUCUGUAUGCAGAUUAGUAAACUUAUUAAUUUUAGGGUAAUAUAAGAAUAAGAAAAAUUAUAUCACCGACUCUGUAAUUAACUCAUCACAUUGCAUAAUAAAAAAUUGGCUAUACGAAGAUUAGGACACCUAAUAAUUUUGUAUUAAGUAAAUAUACCGCAGCCUCAGACACUAAAUGGGUACUUUUCGAGUCAUUAUCCAAUAAGCAUUAGCUUACCACUUGGUGAAGUUAUGGAUCCAUGAUAUUGACCCAUGCUGGUUAGGAUAUAUAUUUCUCUAGGCAGAGACAAGAAAAGAACAAUAUCUUUUUUCCCAGAUUACGAAUUAGAUUUGUCUCCUUCACCCCCAUGCCCCGACCUAACACGGAACAAGCACUCACUGAACAAUCAUCAUCCCGGACCACAUUGGCUAAAAUAUACGUAUAUGAUGCCAGGCCUAACCCAAAUCUAGUGGUAUAUUUCAAUGUUUUUUUCCCAUUUAAUUUGUCCAAAAGGGAUAUGGAUAUUUAAUUAUUCAUUAUAUCUAGAGCGUUGGAUAUUUUGUUUCUAUAUAAUAUGCCUACCACUCUACAUCCCAAUUGGUGAGAAGGCUGCCUAAUUAUAUUAAUUACCAUCGUCAUUAUCAAGCACGCAAGUCUAAAGCUAGCCCGAACUCGUUCUCCAGGAGAGUUGGAGUUAGGGUGAGCGUUUGAACCGGUGAAUUGAUAAACAAUAAUCAAUUGAGAUGAAAAAGAAUUAAUAAAUUUGAUUCGGUUAUCUUUUUUGUCAUUUAAAAAGCAAAUGAUGCCGUUAUUUGUUUUCACAUGUGUUUAUUUUGUAUUGGGAAUAAUAUUGUUUUGUUAUCUUCGGCUAAUAAUGCAAUGAUAUAUGAAAAAGUUAUUUCGCGUGUUAUUAUUCUAUUGACUAGGAAUAGCAAAAAGUACUAUUCCUGUUGCAUGAAAGUCUCUCUCCUUCAUCUCUUCCUCUUUUUCCUUCUCUUCCUCAAACCGAACAAAAUUGAUUGGUCGAUUUUUGGAGUGAAGCGGCCGAACCAAGACCCACCCUAGUUGGAGCAAUGUAGAAAGAAUUGUUGGUACUUGAGAACGAAGUUAGAGGAACAGAUAACACGAUUACGACCAUAAUUAUGAUGCCGAUGUUAAUUAACCUUUUGAUCAUGAUUGCAUCAACGAACAACAACAACAAUCAAAUUGUGAACCGCUAUUUGUAUUGUCUUAAUCAAUCGAUCAUCUUUUACACUAUAUUUCAAAUAAUUUAAUUAAAAAGGUUUUGAAGUCUAAAAACGUGCAUACUCCCUGCAGCAGGCAAGUGGCGACCAACUUGGUCACCCAACACCAUUAUUUAUGAUCACUACUCACUAGUAUCUUUAUCUAUACCUAUCUUAGGUCUUACUCAUGCCAUAGGCCCAUAGCUUAAUUAGGCUUUUCCUUGUGCUUCUUUUCUCAUUCGUUGUCUUUUAUGAACUGUUUCUUUUGUUAACAAAUUAGACUGGGGAGUGGGCACAGCUAGCAAACUUUAAUAUACAUUUCAAAAUCACAAACCUGUAAAUACUCUCCUAUCCUAUGCUACUUCCAAAGAUAUCAUUAUCAGAUUACGCAAAACAAAUGAAUAGUCGGUUUGUAAGGCUUGGAAAGUAUCCCUUUUCACCUUCUUUCUUGCUUUCUUUAAAAUAAAAUAUAAAGUUUUUCUCUCUCUUUUCUUUCCUCCGUGGAUGGAAGAUUACAACAUACAAAGCUGCACACGUCAAGAGGACGACGUUCAAGGAUGGAUGAUAAUAAUAUGAUAUGGACUUGGCAAAUUCGGUCGGUUGUUAAUUUCAACCAAAAUAACAUCUAUUUUUUUUGGUUGGGUUCCUUCCUUUCCUUUCUAAAUAAUGACAUUUGGAAUUAUCACAAGUUUCAUGAUAGGUCAUGGACUCGUCACUGUAUUAGGAAUGAUUUAUUUUUUCCUGUUCUUGGGUUUCAUACUAUCAUAAGACAAAGCCAUGCUAUAUAAAUGAUAAAAAUUCAAUCAAAACUUACAAGUUAUGUACCUCUAAUUAAGCAAACGCAGAUUGUUCGUCGUUGUUUUUGUUUUCUAGUUCGAGAGAUUUUUUGUUCUAAAGUAAAUAUAUUGGGUUCUUUAAUUACUUCCUUGUGAAAUAUAAUUUGUGUUUGUUCAUAAAAUUAAUCAUAUUCGGUAUAACUCCCAAACCCCUUUAAUAAAGAACUAAUUAGGGCACAUUUACUACUGUUAGGUACAGAAAAAGCAACUGAUUGCUAUUGCUAUUGAAUGUUGCAAGGAAUUCAUCGAAUUGAUUUUCAAUACCUCAGUCCAAAUCACGUCCACCAACUUUGCGGAAAUUCAUAGAGGCUGAUCAAGUAGGUUUAAUUAAGAUGGACUUCACAAGCUUCCCAUACCCUAAACAUGGCAUUACGUACAAAUUAAAGUAGACCUAUCUAGCUAAAUUUGUCAUUGGACAAGAAGCAAGAAGACAAGGAUCCUUCACCAUACGACUAAAUCGUAAAAAAUUUACAAAUAUUUGUAAAUAAAGAGAGAGAAAUAGACAACCUCUCUACAGUUAAAUUUCAUUGAUCUCUAUACAAAUUAAUUUGAACUUUAGCAAGCUGUAGAUGGAUGGGUGCUAAAGGGGUUGAAGAUCAAGUGAGCCGGCUUCGAUCCAAUCAAAAAAGAACUCGUCGACGACCCAUGAUGAUUAUGGUGGUCACCGCCGUUGCAGAUUUUCUCACAAGAAGGGCACAUGGUGAGAGUGGCUGUUGGAAACUGCAUGUAAAAGGGUGGUACUGCUGCUGCUGCUGUUGCCGUUUGUUUCAUUAACUUGAGCUCUUGCAGCUCCUUGUGUAGCCUUCUGUUCUCUUCUUUCAGCGUCUCACAACACUUUUUCAACAACUCACAAUCCGCUUCAGUUUGCUUCAACUUGGUCCUAAACAUAUGUAUAUAUAGAACAAAUUAAAUUUGAGGCUAUAUAUUUCUCAUGCAAGCAUCAAACAUCUUGGAAAUUAUAAAGAAUAAGAUUUAUCGCGCCUACCUGGCCCUCCUGUUUUGGAACCAGACUUCCACUUGUCGCGGCCGUAGAUUUAGCUUUCUUGCCAGGUCUUGCUUUUGCUUCUGAUUUGUUCAAGAAAAAGAAAAAAGAACAAAAAGAAAACUCAAGCUUUAAUAAUUUGAAAAACAAUGAUUUUCCCCACAAAUUAUGGACAGAUAAAGAAGUUAAUAUGGUGUAAAAUAUUUACGGGAUUGAGGGUGGUGUGUUCUCUGAAGCUGUCUUCCAAAGUGGCAGAUUGUUCUUUUGAAAGCCUGAGCUUCUUUCUGGGGCUGCCCUCAUGAUCUUGUUCAUAUAACUCCUCGCUUGCUCUUGAGGAAGUAAUAUUCACCACUCUCUCUUCCUCUACCUCUACCUCUACCUCUACCUCUACCUCUAUCUCUUCACCUCCCAACUCUCUGUCCCUCUUGAAACUUGACGAGUUAGAAAAAGAUGAAAAGGCGCCGCUGCAGGGAGAAGAGUCCUGUUCCUGUGCGGCUACUGCCUGGUGCAAAUCAGUGGACUCGGCCUCCUCAAUCUUUGAAGCAGCCGAUGGGCCGAGCGUAAGAGAAGGCAAUAGGUGAUCAUAUUUCAACUGUAUUUGCUUGUUCUUGUACGUGUUUUGGUGAUGGUGAUGAUGAUGAUCAGGAGGAGCCUGCAAAUUUGUAUGGUCAUGAUCUGGGCUGUCACGGCAGCCUAGACUGAGACCAAGGCCGGUGUUACAAGCUUCAUCAAAACUCAUCUCUCUCUAGAAAUUUAAAACUCAGCUAGCUCAAUAAAUUUAUUUUUGGGGAGGGUUGGCUUUGUGGGGCUGGGUUUAUUUAAGCAAAGGGAAGUGAGUGAGAGGAGGAAUGUGGGGUUUUGUGGAAUUAUAAGAAUUCGAUCGACCCCAUGCUACUUUGUCCUCAUAGGUUGACCAAAUAUAUCAAAACAAAACACAAACAAAUUCUCUACUUGUCUAUCUUAUUGUCUUUCUGUAAUGUCUAAAUGAUGUCUCUAUACAAUUAAUGUGUGCUGUAUAGCGUAUGAAUCUAAUUAGUCUGUAUAAUGUAAGCAUGCGUGGAGCCACAUGGAAUGUGGGUGUACACAAGAACGCAUAAUAAAGAGAAGACAAUGAUGAUUCGGCGCUUUUCACACCUUUUCUUUCCACUUUUUUCAUCUACUGGAUUUUCACUUUACAUAUUAUUUAUUUAUACCACAACUAUUUUGUUCUACAAAUCUUAAUUACUCUUUUACAACUAGACAGGGUGCAUGAGAGAGAGAGAGAUAGAGAUAGAUUCUUCUGGUAUGUAUUGUUGAGGGUAUUUGUUCCACAUUGAAAAUUUAAGAUACUUAGUUUGGGUUUAUAAGGAGUUAGACUAUUUCUCUCAUUACCAAUUGGUUUUGGUGUGAAACCUCAACUUCCUUCAUGAUAUCAGAAUCACGUUUCACGUGUUGAGCGUAACGGCCACACGUGUUCUCACGCCACUUAAUAUGUGUUGUCUACGUGCUAGGCUUAAAACACUCAACUUCCUUCAUGUAUAUACCAUCACAUAUUCCUUUUUGGUAUAGAUUGAAUAAACAAAUCAAUAUACUCAAACAGUGUAUAUGCGUUAAUUAAUAAUAAGGCACAAAAUUAGUUACUUAACGAUUAUUGGGGCAUCUAAGUGUUUUCGUUUUUAGUAAAUAACUAGGUCUUUUAAACUAUUUAAAUGUGAGAUCAGACGAACAAUAAAUAAAUAACAAAUCCUAUUCGUUGUGGUGAAAUAAAUGAAAGCAAUCCAAGGGAGGAGACAACAUUCAUAAGAGUCUGAUGAAGACCAAUCCUUUGUGUUCCUGCAUGUAGACACAGUCGCAGACCCACCCAAAUGCCUCAACCCUCUCAACCCUCUACCAUCUUUAUUUACUUUUCUUUGCUUUUUUUACUUUUUGAUACAAUCUUUAGUUACUUUCACAAAUUCUCAAUUAUCACCUUCCUAUUGCUAUCUAACUUUGUAGACUCAUAAAUUUUAAGAGCAUCUUUUGUGAAGAUAAGCGAUGGGAAAUGAUAGCAUUUGUACGGUUAAUCCACCGACGAAUCUUGUAAGUUCAUUGCAUCCUUUAUGCCAGUCAUAAUUAAAAAAAUCUUGAUACAGUUUUGAUUAGACAUCUAACCGUCAGAGUGAUGCAUUUUUAAAACAUUUAUUUGUGUAUGUUAACAGUGUGUUUGUUCACGAAAAUAGUUAUUCAUGACAUGAACAUCACAUAAGGAAUGAAAGUUAGUUACACGACACCUAGAUGGCAUAAAGAUUAGAGAUAGGGUUAUCGUUAUCCUGGCUAAGCCUUCGUCGAUAAGUUUCUAGUGCGAUAGAGCAGAUAGAGAUAUAUUGACUUUGACACAGUGCCAAUCAA